rnacentral:lncRNA from 1 species
AGUCGCGACCGCCGUGGUGCACGCGUGCCCGCUACGGACCGCCCGUCAUAACCGGCGAAAAAACAUUCCGGUGACGUUUGUCCCGUUCCGCCGUACGCGUAUUUUCCGACCGCGGUAAUAGACGAGAAUAAAAAAAAAAAAAAAACAAUAAUUUUCUCGCGAUUUUCGCUGCGCGCGCGAAACGCCGUUUAUAAUUCAAUUUCCCCGUCACUCGCGGAAACAAUACGCAAUAUUGCCAUCGUCCUCUGGCGAUAAUCGUCAAAUUUUUCCGCGGCGCACGGCCUCGCGUACGUUUCCCGGGCCCCCCACCCCGCGCGUGCCGUCGUAACCGCAUGCAUGGUUAAGAAAUUCCGCAAACCCCAGAACAGAUAUAACAAAAGGGUCCAACGAGUCGACGCCGAAAUGGCCGAGCAACCGUCAGCCGUCAGCGAGCUGCAGACCGUUUGGAAGUGCCGGAGGAUUUGGUUCACGAUGUUGCUGUUGGUGCUGCUGUUCGUGACGCCAGGUUAAUGCCAUAAUAUUAUUUACCGUAUUGAUAUCAAUUAUUAGAGACAUCGUAUUAUUAUAUUAAUAAACGCGUACGCGUACAGAUUAGAUUACGUAUUCCGGGCGCAACAUUUUCGCGCGUUGCCGUUGUAGUCUUUGAACCGCCGUUUAUCCCGGCGUAUUUGCGUUAGAGCGCGGCGCGAUACGUGAACACGUAGGUGUUGUUUACGGUGACCGACGAGAAAGUUUUUCGAAAAAAAAAAAAAAAAAUUAAAUCUCCCCCCCCCCCCCCCCCNNNNNNNNNNNNNNNNNNNNNNNNNNNNNNNNNNNNNNNNNNNNNNNNUUUUUUUUUUUUUUUUUUUUUUUUUUCUUUAUAAAACAUGGACCGAAAGUAAAUUAAUUCAUUGUGGUUCGGCUAUGUUUUUGUCAUAGUUGGCACAAUAAAUUAAUUGAACGACCGUUUAACUCCGUAAACUCGCGAUGAAAAACAGAAAAAAAAAAAAAAUGUUAACUACAAAAAAUAUAAUAUAAAAAUAAUGUACAUACUAAAAAAUAUUAUUGUACUUGUGCUAUACAAUAAUAAUUUUCACAAUCUUCUUUCGGUUUCCGUAAAAUUCUCGAGAUUUUUUUCCGUCCCCCGCCCAGCCGCAAUCGCACUAUAAUAACGCGUAAACGUAUAAAAUGAAAAGUUGACGAUGUACAUAUUUAGCGGCGAAAACCAUUUCGCACCUUUGACGCACAAGACUGGUCGCAGAUCGAAAUUUCGAAUUUUUUUUUUCGACCUAAUGCCCGAUGAUUAUAUUGGUGUUUUUCUGAACAAAACGCCACCAUACGCCCCACAAGUCGCGUAACACAAUCGACAUUUUUUUUUUUUUUCCAUAAAAGGCGUACGUCAAUCGUUCGAAAUGACGCGAAACUAGAAAAUGUGGCGGUUUAUCCGGUGUUGUUCCGGUUUUGAAACCGCCGCCGCGUAUCGCCGUUUUCCAAGUAGAUUUCAAUGAGCGGAGGGAAAAAAAAAAUAAAAAUAAAAAAAAAGACAAUAAGCUCCGGCGGUGACAUAAUAUUGAAACUAAAGCGUCACAUAAAUGUAUUGUAACAAUAACCGUUCGGGGAGCGGACGGAUACGUUUUAAAAUUGAAUUUUCUCGAAACUUUGUGUGGUUUUUUUUUUUUUCCAUAAUUUGACCGUCUUGCGGCCGGAGGUGCGAGAUUCGUGAACCCAACCGACGCGUUUCGGGAAUAGACGUCCGCGAUCGCAAUAACCGUUUUGUUUUCCCGGCAACGGUUCGGCAACGCGAUUCACACGCGCGGACAAAUGACGUUUCGGAUUUUUAGCCGGCUUUUUUAACGCCACAGAUACGCCCGCGUCCGUAACACACACAGAUCAACGUCGUCGUUGUCGUUACGUUACGGUUCGCGUGCAUUCGCGUGUAUCCGUCGGGGGAAGGGCGGGGGGGGGCGCGUCCGAUUGAAAUGUUAACGAAAUCGAAUCGUAUCGUCGCCUCCCGGCGUCCGGCGCGACGUUCGGAGACCUCCGCGUGCCGUGCCGUGCCGUGAAAAACGGACGGCGCGACCGACGGGCGCGCGUUCGCCCACCCUCCCCACCCCGCGUAACGGCACCACGUCACGGUGUUACGGGACCGGAUUACCGAAAUUUUCCGACGAAAAUUUGAAAAAAAAAACAAAAACAAAAAACAGACGUGCGCGACCGCGCGUCGCGUCACCGUCGAAACGCCGUGGUUUCGGCGCGCGAGCGAAAUGUCCCGCUGCCGACCGGGGACGGAAUCGCAUUUCCAGUAGCAUUCCGUCACGUCGCGUUCCGUUUGCUCCCGGUCCGUGUGUACCCGCGGACCCGCGGAAACGAUUGCGCGCCGUUCGGUGAAAAGGUCCGGAGACGGCGGGCGAAAAGACCCCGUUCCCGAUAGUUAACGGUCGGGUCGACGGCAUUUGUGCAGGGCCGUUACGCGUUAUUCGCGAACUUUUUUUCUUUUUCACGCGUCGCCCCCGUGGUCUCCGUCGUCGGAAGUAACGACUACCGUCCGGACGUUUACGGCCGGUACGUUCCGCAGGCGGGAUUCCGAACACACCACCCCCGCCCCCCCCCACAUCGCCCGGCGCGUUUUGUUUUCGUUUAUCACCGCGCGGCACAUACCUUUACGCGCAACGUACUGCAUCACCGCGGUCCGGCCGUAACGGUAUCGCGUUUUAUCGGUGACGGCGGUGAGGGCGGGGGGGGGGAGCGGCAACGUUCGCCGCGAAAACGAUUUCGGAAAAAUCACCACCUACCCCGUCUCGUCUACACAAAUAACCGACCGUAUUCUUUUUUGGGAAUUAAAAUUUCGAUCGCAAAAAAAAAAAACAACAAAAACGAAAUCUAAAACAAAAAAAAAAAAACAUUUCGGUCUUUCCGUUGCGUCGGCCGCCGUUACUUUUCGGAUAAUAGCAGUGUGUAUUUUUUUAAUAAAAACAAAAUAAUACACCCCUUUCCGACCGCCCGUGAUUUUUCCCGUCACAUUCGCGAAAAACCCGAAACGCGAUAAAAAAAUUAUCGGUUUUACGGGCGGUAUUCGCGCGUUGAACGAAAAAAAAAUCGUUAAGUAAAAAAUAUCCGCCGAUAUUUUUAUUAUACCGCCGACGGGUAUUCCGAACAAAGUUCGGUUGUUUUUUUUUUUUUUUUUGAAACGUCGCGAUUGUUACGGCGGUAAUUUCAUUAAAAUUCGAACUCGCCGACAAACGCGCGCCGCCGUUUGUUUUGCGCGAUUUUCUCGAUAAAUAUUGACGCUUCAAUAUUAAUAAUACUGUUCGGCUGCGAGCCCUGCGUAAACCGCGUCUAUUUGCACGGCGAAUCUGCGCGAAAACUUACGGAAUAACAAACGCUCGAACUGAAAACUUGUAUAAAUUAUUCGGUCCGGUAAAAGGAAUGAAAAUAAAAAUAAAAAAUAAACGUAAAUAUACCUGCCGGACGAGUGAAAAAUAAAAAAAUGCCCCCGCCCCGUAGGUUUUUUUUCGUUUAAAAUAUUAUUUAUUAACGGCGAACGGACGCGGGUGCAUUACAAUAUGUGCGGAACGCGCGCGACGACGGAAACGACAAUAUUUUUUAUCAUCGUAAUUGCCAUAAUAUUGCGACGGUUCUACCGGGACGUCGAACGUCGGCGUGUUUCCCCGACGUCCGCCAUUGUCAUUUUUCAUGACAAUUUCGGUGCCCGCGGCUGUCGGACCCGACGGCGGACGUUCGGUGCGUUUCGCGAGUCGAACGCGCGCGCGUGCCGGCGUUUUCGUCUCGACAUUAAACGGACGUGUCCCGAAACGCGACCCCGGCGCGAUGAGCGCACCCACGCACUCGCUCGGGAUAUCGGGAAGAACCGCCGGCGAAACAAACCAAACAAACCAAAAAAAAAAAAAAACCGGACGUAACGAACGAUACUGUCGCCCCCGUUCAAGUCCGCGUUUCACGAGCCGGUCGACGGCCCGAGUCCGGAUUUGCCCGACGCGAAUUCGACGCCAUCCGGUUCUCGGCAUUGCCCCGUAGCCGGCACGCCUACGCAAUAUCGUACGCGGUGUGCGUGCCGGGCCCGCGUUUCGUCGACUUUCCGCCCGACGAAACCGAUUCACGCGCCGUUAGAGUUUUGACGUCGCGGCCAAUAAUAUAACGAAAACUUCGUUACACGCGUGAACAAACAUCCCCGUGUUCGUGCGUUGGUUUCCUCGCGGUAUUCGAUUUCUUUAUUUUUUUUUUCCGCGGGCAUCUGUAGUGUUACGAAUUUGGGAGAAAAAAAAAAUAAAUAACUUCGUGUCUCGCACGCAGAUUAAGACGUCGGCGUACGAAACCGAACGCACAGACGCACAGACAAAUAUUGCGCGCUGGCCUUUAGGUCCGAUAACGACAGCGGACAAUUCGCUCUGCGACAUCAAAGCCGGCGGCCGCGAAAUCGGUUCCGCCGAACGUGAAAGGUUAUCGAAUUUCCGACACCGGCUGCGUUUUCGUGUGCGAAAUGUCCGACGGCGGAAUUAUCGCAGUGCCGCGGGCCCGAUAAUAGAGAUUAAACAGAAAAGAAAUGCCGUUACGUUUUAAAUUUUUAUUCGCGGAUCGAUCGUUGUGCGCGUACCCAAUUGUCAUGGAAUAAUGCGCCGGGAGCGGAAAGUUUCUCGUUUUUCCAUUUUUCGGUGUGGCAGACGGCGCCCGCGUACGCCAAACUUAGCCGCCGCAGCGGAAUACGUCGCCGACCGAACAGAUAGCGAAGAAAUUACCGUCGGACAAAACGGACACGGCGGCAAACAAUACGUUUUUCUUUUCUUUUCUUUUUUAUUGUCUCUUUUUUUUUUUUCUUUUCUUUUCUUUUUUUUUUUUUACGGCGUACCGGUACCGGUAGCGCUGAGGUAAAAAGACGAACGAUAAUUAUGCCCGUUGUUGUUAAUCUCCGGGUUUACAAAAAAAUCAUAAUUUUAUCGCGCGAACGGUGACGCGAGCGUUGAAUCGCGGGACCGAAAAGUUGUGCUCGUCUAUACCGCCGCCGCCGCCGCCGCGUAUAAAAAACGCAUUACAAUUAUUAUUCCACUAUUGUUCCGAACGCGCGCAACACCUAUUUCGUAAAAAGUUUCCGUCGAACUUUCCCCGUCUCCCCACCCCUCCCCCCUCCGUAAAAACGUCUUUGUGUGACACGCGAAAACAAUGUGGAAUAGCUAGGUAUCGUCGUCGUCGGCGCGAAUCAGAGAAACCGCGCGUAUCGUGACGGGACGUUUUCAGUUUAGGACCGGGAAACAAUUUUUCACUGUUGGUUUUUCUCGGUUUUUAAUGCGUUUCCACCGAAUCGGUCAAUAGGCGAACAAUUCACCGUUCAAAAACCGACAGCGGAAAUCGGUUAAAAUCGGUCAAUACAACGAGCGGUGCAGUUGUUACGCCGAGUUCCUCCAACCCGACGAUAUUGAACUCGCACGCAAAUGCAGAUAUCCACGCGUGUAUAAUAGCAUAAUUAUUAUUACGUGUACAGUACGAACCUACAAUAAUUUCCACAACGGGGGGGUGCCUGAUUUUCGAAUCGUUUCGGAUUUCGUAAAAUUUGAAAAUCGCGUUUUCCCUGUUACCGCGUACGACCGCUCUAUACUGCCCGGAUAACCGGUCGAGGGGAGGGACAUGGCGAACAUGACGUUUUAGACCGACUCGCGGCUGGACCUGAAAUUCACCGGUCGCCCGAUAUUGGUUUUCGUUUAUGUUAUGUUUAGUACUCGACGAGUUAGCAUUUUAGAUACUGAGCGGAGCGAAGAAUGUAUUUGAAUUUUCUUAUGAUGUUUAUUAUUAAUACUAUUAUUUAUUUAUUUUUUUUUUUUUUACAAUAGACAACUUUUCUAUCAGCGAUUUCGCUCCGAUUUUCGAGUAUAGUACUAUUUCCGUAAGGAAAUCUAACUGGGAACAAACGGGAAAAACCGUAGGAAAUGUAUUAUUUUCAAAUCGUUAAGAUAUUACGGCAUUUGAAAACACGUCUAACCGAACUCUUCUCAGAAUCGUUUUUCGUUAACGUUAACGAUUAAUCGUUGCGCACAGAUAUGUACAAUAAAUUCCCCUCUACAUCCUACCUUCACGACUUUUCGCCUACAACAGUUGCGGCCCACCCAUCGCGCGAAAUAUGUCCGUAUCUGUUCUAUUCGUUUUUUUCGUAUUCCUCUAAAUAAACCCGUACGGGUUUUCCUCCGAAACGUCGAAACGAAAUUCACGUGUUACACGGUCGAACAUUUUUCCCGAACGGACCCGCCGCACGCGGUUGUAUUUUUAUUCCGUCGCAUCGGUCCACGGUUUUUACGAAAACGCCCGGAUUUCGACUUUCGACCGCCUUUAAUGUAUUACACACGCGACAAUGUAAUUUAUUAUUUUUCGCCAUAUUUCAUAUAACGUUAGUAAUAAUAAUAAUAAUAAUAAUGCAAUCGAAUUAAAUAAACUCGAUCUCGGCGAUAGAAUACCCGUAGACGCGUAGCGCGCCCGGAUGCGGACGGCGGCGACGUCGGUAAUACGAAAAAAUCCUCCCGUCACGUCGCGCAUACAUACGGGAAACGGACGGGUGAUGGGGUGGGGGGGGAAUACGAUAUUUUCACAGUUUCGAGACGAAACAUGAAUAGUGACAAUAGUAAUACAAAUGAUAAUACGGAGUGUACGUAUAUAAAUACAUUUCAAUGUGUGUGCAGACACCGCGCGACGAAAGAUUUGACGUUGGAAUCACGUCCAAAUGGAUUCACGCGUGCGCGCGGCCCGCGGCGUCUCGGCAAAAUUAAAAUUGCAUUUAAAAUCGUUUUCGCGACCACGCGCCCCGACGCGCGUGUACCUACCCCCUCCGCUCAGAAUUGUUUUUUCCAUUUGCAAUGGUUAAUCGUUUCUUACAAUAUAUAUUUAAUUACACAUAACAGUGGCUGCAACGAAAAAAAUAAAAACCAUUGGCUUUUGCACGGAUACGGGCUCAUAGGCGGUAGCUUCACCCUACCCGCCUUAUAUAUAAAAAAAAAAAAAAUAAAUAAAUCUUAAAAUCUACAAUUUAUUACGCUGUGUACGACUUACCUAUAUACACUUGUUUGGAAAUUAAUAAUGAUCGUACUCCGCGGAACUUUCGAGAAAAACAUUUUGUUUUUUUUUUAUUAUCGUCAUUAUUAUUAUUACUAAACAGUAAACACGACGGUGAAAAAACUUUUGAGGAAGCCUAUAUACUGCACAAACUGGCUCGGGUAAACUUUUAUAUACAACCGCUACAUAGUUUAAUAUUAGGUUUUCUUCCUUUUUUUCCGUUUUAUUAUAAUUAUUUUUUUUUUUGUGUAAAUGUUGUUUUUAAAAUUAACACAAUAUUUUAAUGUGUUAUAUUUAUGCAAUAAUUCGGUACAAAUUUUUAUCUGCAGAUUCGUUGGAUUAUUUUGACAGCAUUAUAAUAAGAUUCGUAUUAGGUAUCUAUAUUAAAGCACCGAGAACAGAUUCGAUUUUGUACCAAUAAAAUAACUUAUCAAUGCGAAAAAAAAAUACAAUCGACGAUUAAAAAGUUUAUUGCUCGGAUCGUUUAAUAUAAACUUUGCUCGGAUACGUUUCCCAUAAGCAAAAUGACUAUUACUUUUUGUGUCGGAUCCUUUACCAUAACCAGCUUCUUAUCUAGCCACGCCUCCUGUCAUUCUUUUGCCAGAAUUGCGAUUGAAUUAGUUCCUUGGUUUCUUUUUUACUCUAAUCUUAUCGCUAGCGUAUUUUCUAAAUGUUUGAUGAUUUACGAGUUCUUCUAUACGUUUAAGUCCCACAUAGUGAAUCGGUACGAUUUCUGAAAAUGGAUUUGAAUUUAACGAUAAGCGUGUACACUUCUACACUUGGGCUCUACCGCUUUUUCAAAUUUGAGUAGGUACUCUUAAUUUUCAAAAAUGAGAUUUGAUAAAUAAAAGCGAAACUAAAUUUAAAUUUUAAAAAAAAUAAUAGCCUGACCGAUAUCAUGCACGUACACCUUACGCCCAAUUCAAUUCUAUUUUCACAAUUUUUGUCGCUUCACAAACGUCGAUCCGUCGGACGGACAGAUACUUGUUCCAGAUACUAUGCUACAGAUGCUAUACGUAAUGCGUGUGUGUUAGACAAAGGAUGAAAGUAUCUCCGUUACGGAAACGGAUACCCUUAUCAUGUGAUACUAAACGAUUUUUAAAUCAUAUAUAUAUAUAAAAUCGAGAGUAUAUCUGUUUGUCCGCUACACUGCAUGUUUACAGUUAUACACUUUGAUUUCGAUGAAAAUUUGCACACUUGGCCAUUCAAAACGCAAGAGAAAAAUCUACUUUUUAUCCCGGAAUUUAAUCCCUGAAUCGCGGCUUACAAUUGAUUUUCGAUAGUUUAAUAUGAACAAAUUUAAUUUUUCUGAUUUAAGAUCAACUUACAGGUACACGGAUGAAUAUUUUUUAAAAAAAAAAGUUAUCAUUCUUAAAUUAUUUUAUAAAUUCAAUCUUCAUUUAUGACAACUAUGGUUUGUUACAAAUGAGAACGUACCCGUUUUAAAAGAUAAAUUGCCGGGCAACAACGAUUAACCGCAGUGUUAGGAACAAGAGUGGAACCGGGGAGACGCGUGUUACGCGGACAGACUUUCAAUUGUAUGUAUCUAAUAUCAGAUGAAGCACUUUUUUUCAGAUGAGCCCGAAAAAUGCCGAGAAAUUCGGUAGGUGUAUAUUAAAAAAAAACGCGGUUACUAUUGUCUCAAAAAUACUUUUCGAUUUGAACUGUGUAACAUAAUAAUAUUACGAUGGCUUUACUACUAAGUUUUACACUUAUCAAAAUAACCAUUGUUAUUACAUAUACGCGCGGAAUCCGCGAGAGGACUUAGACGCCGCAUUUCAGGUAGUUAUCACGUCGUAGUAUCUACAAAGUUUAGAUGUUUAGAAUCUUUUUACAUGCGUACACGGAUCCGCAUUAGCGGUUCGUAUUGCCGUCAAAGCUAUACUUAAAACAUUGUUUAUGACGGGAUAGAUAUUUAUAACUCAUGUAAAACCCUGCAUUGCAUAAUAUUAUGUGAAUAAUUUAUGCCGCGUGAAUAUCGUACUAUGUGUACUACGCGAUAUUAAAACAUAAAUAUUUUAACCCGACGUAUGCAAUUAUAUAUUAUAAAAGUAUACGUUAAAACCGGAAGAUCUGUAUUAUAAUUCGACGUCAUUUGAAAUAAAAUCACGGGGUACGUAUAGCAAGCGUGUAUUGAAUGAUUGAGUUGUGGUCCAACGAAUUGAGGGAACAGUCGGCGGAUCGAUAAAUCCUCGGCAAUUGGUUCAUCGUCAUUUGGUAAAAAUACAGAAUCAUUAUAGUAAUCAGUCGACUUAUCUUGAGAUAAGUUCGAAUUCAAUAUAGCCGAUGGUAAAAUUGUAAUAUGUUACGAAAAACAAAAAAAAAAAAAAAAAAAAAAAAAACCCAUGACAUUUUUUUCUACAAAUUACUCGUAGAACAGCGUAUACUUACUAAUUUUCAACUCCGAUCGAAAUUUCUUCCCCUCAUUUCGCCCCUUAAUGACGCCUAUGAUCUGUACGGUGUUCUUUUUCAACUAGACAACCUAUAUAAUAUAUAUAUAUAUAUACAUAUACAUUCUAUAGGUUAUAGCUACUUGUUCUAUUUCACCGAAUCAUAAUUAUAUUUACAAUUUCGUGACUAAUAUUUUGCUGAUUCUUUCGAGUCGCGGGGGGUCGAGCGCGGUAUAUUUUAGAGUGCCUGAUAUUUAUAUACGUAUUAAAUUCUUGUUUCUCUGCGUUUGUAGAGAAAUUUCAGUAUAUUUCAGAGAUCGAAUGAUCGCUACAUUAUGUUCUUAGACUUUUCGAUUAGCUUUGUAACAUAAUCGCCCACGCAAUUAUUAUUACUCGUAUUAAUUUAUAAUAAUUUUUGGUAUUUUACGAAAAUAAAAACGUCCCGCUUUUUAUCGCGUUCGCGUAUCAUUAUAUUACUCGAACACACGCAAUCUUCGCAAAGGGUCAAAAUAACGUCAUUAAUUCAUAUAUUAUAUUAUAGUUGUAUACUUACAUAAAAUAAUAUUAUAAUUUCAUCCGUACGCUCAUUUUCCGAAAUUGUUUUGUUAAUUUACCAUAGCCAAGGUAGGGUAUGAACGUAUAUUAUAGCGGUUUGUUAUAUUGUUUUUUUUUUGUGAUUAUUAUUAUUAUUAUUUGUUUUAAAUUCUGUUUUUUUUGUCGGGGGUGCGUCGGAGGUAGGGUGGUAAGAGUUUGUAAAAUAUCCCCGGAGUAUACUUUACGGCGGUCUAAUUUUUUUAUCCAAACCAUUAGCGAGAUAGGUUAAGGACAAUAAAUAAUCGUAAUAUAGAUAGAUACGUAGCGCAUGCUGCUUUAUGGCGUAUUAUAUAUACUUAUUAAAACUGUUGAACUACCCCAUAAGUUAAAAAUUACCGAUUCAAACUUUUAUGAAUUUCCCGAGCGAGCGGACGUUUUUAUUAUGUACUCGUAUUACGUACUUAAUAGGUAUUUUUAUAAACUAUUACCCGCGGAAUCCGAUUAAAUUCUGUACUACCCAUAUAAUAGUAUUAUGUUAUGUAUAUAUCGUGUAUUAAUAAUAGAAGAUUAAACGAUUUUUUUUUUUUAAAUUUUCAAGUUCUACGACAAGAAUUAUAGCGGUUGUCGUUGUAAUUUUCAAUCGAUUAGGAUAAUCGCGGGUGCCUUCCGAAAUUCGACUUACCGAUGGAUCCGUUGACGAAUAUACGAAAACAUUUAGAUUGCGUUCGAUAAUGAAACGCGAUCAUAAUAAGAUUGCACAAUUUUCCCUGUAGCAUCCCCGACAUAAAUUUAAAUCGCGACCAAUAAAAAACCGAUGAGAAAUAACAAUCAGACAAGUCCGGUACCUAUACAAUCGAACGCUGAGCCCGGCGGAAUAAUAGUUGACAACGUUGAAUUUUUGCAGUUCGGUACAAGACCCUGCAGUACAAUAUUAUCAAACUGUUUUGGAAAUUAUCAUUUCGAUUGAAUAUCACCGAAUUUCGGGAGACAUUCUAAGGGCAAAGUUUCCAUGUAACGCAGAAAAAACGAAGAAAAAAAAAAUGUUCCCCUUUUAUCGAUUCCGGUCGUAUUCUCGUGGGUUUAAUUAAAAACAACGACGUCUCGGGGAAAUAACGACGGAAGUUUGAAUAUAUAUUGUUUAGGUAAUGCUAAUAUUCGUUUCGACUAUUAUGUAUAUUGUAAUAUAGCCGAGCGACCGUCGGAUCGCAUGCGUUAUGCUCUUUAUUAUUAUUAUCUUUAUUUAAACCGAACGAUUCGUUUUAAGUGCUUUACCUACCUACGAUUUCGGCGGUCGCAAUAAAUUUACGAAACAACCCAAAUUACACCUAUACACGGCGGAAAUCGUUUUGGCCUGCUCGGAGCUUCAACGCGUUAAGUCUGUCAGUUUAUAUGUAUUAUAUUGUUUCAAGUUUUCCGAUUCGUUUUCGGGCGGUUUUCUCGCCACGCCAUUCAAAUAAGCGCACUAACGGCCGUUUACUAUACGCACGGUGAAAAAUCGUAUUCGCGUAACCCUCGCUAGAAUCAAAAAUAUUAAAUAUACUAACGGCAUAGAGCUACCGGCGGUGGCGUGGUGUUAUUUUUCUAUGAACUAUGAAGCGAUUACAGUAAAUAGCAAAAAUGGAUACGACCCAAUACCGCAGAAUGAAUCAGCGGCUGUAACUAAAACCUGACGUUACUGUACUUCGCCUUUUCGUUAAGGUAUCGUACAGCCACGCACCCAUCCGCCCAUUUGUACACUGGUCAUAGAUCAGCUGCUUUGUAGAAGUGUAUCCAUUUUCGCCGCUAACGUGUACAGCGUAUUAAAUGUUACUCUACAAUUCAGCGAUGUCUAAUACAAAUUAUAAUAUACAUAUAUACGUGCAUAAUAUUAUUAUGCAUUUUCCAAAAACUUGACGGUUUGAAAAUAUACUUUACUGUUGGAUAUAUCGUUCAAAACUCAACUAAUUUUCUCUUUGGUGGAUACAACGCCGUUUAUUUUACCGAUUUUUCUUAUUGAUAUUUCUCAUCGACUGUUAUUAUAUUUGUUUAUCUUUUGUGCCGGGGAAAAGGUGCCUAUAAUAUUUGAUAAUACGGGAGGAAAUGUCGCGAUCGUAUUAUUUUGAUUACGUUCCGCGAUCCAACGCGAUCCAAAUAGUUUCACAUCGAACAGCCUCCCGACGGAUACAUAUCGUUUAGUAAUGAAUUUCGGUACCGAACCGUUGUGCGACUAGCAGCCCGGUUAGGUUUGAUUAGGUUAGUCACGAUCGUACGCAUUAUUAUUACAUUAUAGAAUAUCAGACUUCUGUCAAAGUUCAGAAAUAUUGUCUCGGCGUCCGUAAACGAACCGCAUAACAAUAUUGUACAAUCUCGGGACACACAAGUACGGCGUCUUUAAAAGGGAUUUCGGGCGUUUUCUUCGCGGGAUGUUUGUUUGGUAAAUUACUAAAUAUUUAACAGGUAACGGGGAUGUCGGUUCAUUACUUAACUACAAUAUAUUAGGUAUAAUAAUAUUAUUAUAAUCAGUUUACUCGCUCGUUGCGGCGUAGAUAAUGUGCCGAUCGGGUGUGCGGCGGCGAACGCGCCAAAGGAUCUCGUCGCGUUUGGAUUACAAACACAAACCGACGGCUACAGGUUCAAUAUGAAUAAUAUUAAUUUGGCCGUCCGAGGGUCUUUGGCGGGUGUGAGAAAUCGCAGCGGCAGCAACAGCACGCGCGCGUGCACUUAAACAGUGUGUAUACACCGUUACACAGAGUGUGUAAAUUUAUGUUAAUGUGUGUGCGUGUGUGUGUGUGUGAGCAACUACGUCACACGCCGAAAGCAAACAAAUCGGUUUUCGGCGCAUUUCGGCGGUGCCGUGCCCGUAUAAUAUAAUAUACGGUCGAAACUGCGGCGUCGCAAAACGCGUCUUUAACGGCUCCCCUCCCCCCUCUCUUUUCCGUCCCCCCCCCCGCCCCUUCACCCCAUUUCCAUUUCCCGUAUAAUGAUUAUGUUGUUUCGAAACCGCAACGACGGCUCGCGUAUAAUAAUAUUAAUAACAAGGGCCGUCCCGAGAGCUGCCGGCAGGGAUUUCCUUUGGUCUCGUCCGUUUGAUCGCCAACGUAAAAUAUAUACGUGUAUUACCGCGAUACAGGUACGAGACGGGGUAUUAUAUUGUUACGCGCCUAUACACACGUUUUAAUCUUCAAAACUGGCCGCGGUAAUAAUAUUAUUAACGACACCGGGGGCCCGGUGUCCGAUUCCGUUCUACCGUUUGUUAUUGCCGUGGUCCAACACGGCUAAUGCAAUGAUAAUAAUAUUAUUAUUAUUAUUAUUAUUAUACCUAAACGCCGUUAUAAUUAUAAUCCGGGCUCGGGUUUCGACGCGAAGUGCGUUAUUUUUCCCGGAUGGCACGAUCUGAGCCCGAGUGCGAUUUUCAAGUGCGUGAUGUUAUUACGCGCAAUACUCGUUUUGCGCGGUAACGGAUAUACUUCAAAGGCGAAACGUUAUUGUUAUGCGUUGUUUAUUCGAGAUUCUAUUGUAUUUUUUGUUUUUUUUCUUUUAGCAUUUUUCGGCCGUUUUGUUAGUUUUAAGUGUGUACACACGUUUUAACGUAUUAACAAUUUGAACACGGGUGUGAUUCGAAAUAUUAUCCCAAGAAAUUACGGUUUCGUGACAUUUUCGCUAAUACGUUUUCGGUCUGUUUAUAAUAACUGCGCGGGAAUUUAUAUUGAAAUAUAUUUCGAUAUAUUUUACAACACGGCGUAUUUGAUAGUGUACAUUUCAAUUUCAACAGGUUUAGCGUUUAGGCCUUUAAGAGAUAUUAUUAACGAAUAAUGUUUAACGAAACGUUUUGGUCGUUCGAAUCGAAUUAAGAAUCGUAUUUUCGUUAUUGAAAUCAAAACCAUUGAAUCCGUCUGCGAUACGCGUUCUGCAAUUCCGCAGUGAUAACACGCCGUAGAGCAUAUUGAAAUAAUAUGGAAUUUUUCCUGCAAAUAUCCGUUCGUAUUACGCGAACGAAUCGGGAGGGUGAGACGAAUUUUUUGCCGGCGGAUUUCGAACCAUUAAGUGAAAUUUCGUUAUUUCGAAUGGAAAACCGUUAUCUUCGAUGUGCAUAAUAGAAUCUCUGUAAAUUAGAUGUUUUUUUUUUUCGUAAUCGAUACCUUGGCCGCGGUUUUCGGGAGACGUUUUCCACGCGAAAAAUAAUAUAAACCGGGUACGAUUAAUCGCAUAAUUCCGCGUGCACAGGUAGAAAAAACUGCUCUAAACUAACCUAGCCUAACCCCCCCCCCCCCGCAACUACAAGUACGUAUGUAUAGAUUCGUAUCGUACUGCGGUAAUGAUUUAUGUCCGAUAGUAAAAUAUAGCAUAAUAUAUAUAUAUAUAUAUAUAUAGGUGUAUAUUAUUGUGCGUUGCCUCGAACAAGUCGACCAACCGUCCGCCGCCUUGUGACAAAUGACGUUGACAUUACAUUUAUUUUAUGUACAUUAUAUUAUUAUGCAUAUAAUACAUACAUACAGGGUGAUUGUUUUUAUCGCGAACCGGCGGUAGUACAUAUAAAGACGCCGAGAAAAUACGCUUUUGGUUUGUUUUUUUUUUUUUCCCCCGGACAUUGCAGUUUUAAUAUCUGUAUAAAACAAAACAAUUCGUCCGAACAAAUCGUUCGGAGAUUUUAUACACAGAUACGUUUUUUUUUUGUACACCGUAAACUAUGUCGAUAAUAUAGAGAUGGGUCGUGAAACAUGCUGACGAAAGUUAAAGUUAACGUUCUACGCGCUUAUAGGGACAUUUUACUAUUUUACUAUUACUUUUCAGUUAAUUCAUACCACGGUGCGUAUCAUUACCGACUUUUCAAACCUUUACGGCAGUGGUGUAUUUACGGCUUGGUUUUUUUUUUUUUUUUUUUUGAAGGGGAAUGCAUUAACACAAUUUAGACGGCUAAGUGCAUCUAAAUCAUACCAACUACUACCGCUUUUUUUAAAAUUUUAACGCAUUUAGCACUUAGUUUAACGAUAAGUAAUAAAAACAAUUAUCUUUUCUUUGUCUUUUUUUUUACCUCGAUUAAAAAUUCUGAUCAUCAUCACUUUCAUGAUUAAUUAUCAUCAUCUAGAUAACUAUUCCGGCGGUUAUCUUUAUCUAUAUAGGCUUGAUGUUUUAAAAUGUACCUAUCUUUCUACACUAUGUACACUGUAUACCUGCGAUAUUUUAAACAUUACACGCCAAUACGUACGUUAUAUUAAACGAAUAGAAAAAAAAAAAAAAAACAAAAUCGAAUUUACUGUAAAUGUUCGUACAGAUCACCCUGUACAUGGAAUGUAUAGUAAUAUUGUUCAUAAGACCGCGUCCGAAUUAUUCAAAUAAAUAAACGAGAAUUAUAUGCCAACAAAAUCGCCACACGCCAUGCAUAGAACUGUAUAUAAUAAUCACAGUCUUUAUACCUAUUUUAUAUAUUAUUAUUAGGUAUACAUGCGACAUGCGUGUAUUACGAUUAUUUUCAAGAUAAAAAAAAAAAAAAAAAAUAAAAUAUUAUUAUUUCCUUGUUUAACGCGGUAUUAUUGUAUUUUUUUUUUUUUUUUUUUUUUUUUUUUAUUAUUCAACCGACACCGCAGGUUCGUGCGUCCGGCUCGCGAUUGUCGCGCAAACGGGUCCAAAAGCCAUCGAAACCAAUGCAGGUUUGUUUUUAUUGGCCAAUAACGGGAACGUUUUUGGAAAAACAUCACGCGUAAAUCGAACGCAUCGGUCGCGUGAUACGCGCGCGAACGUGCGCGAUACCCGCACGCGUUGUCUCGCGAACGCGCGACGCAGCGAAUUUACGCGCCCAAACGUUAGUUUCGAUACUAUAGCGAAUUCGGCCCGGGCGGCCAAACCUAUGGCCAAACGUUACCGCGAGAACGGUGACCGCGCGAGGGAGGCUGGCGGUAUUUUUCCGGUGUCCGCGUUUUUAUGCCGGACAUUGCCAAUUGCUGUUGUGCCAACUGGUCUCGCGCGGGCGAGUGAAACAUCACAGUUGCGUUUCAAUUCACGCCUGUCAGCCGCUCAAACGUCCGCUGUCUUUCGGUUCGGCGAUCAGCUGCGGGCCGCCCCGCGCGAUACUGUGAAACCAACGGCGGCGCGAACAUGUCCCCGCCGAACGCGAACCCGUACGCGUUAACGUGCGCGCAUUCGUAUAACGGCCGUGUACGUUUGCGAGACGGCCGGUACACGCGCGGUGCGCGCAUCCGGUGUCCUCUUGACGCGUUGUUAAAUUGUCUGUUAUCACAAUAAAGAUUUAAUGAAACGCAUUCGAACCGGUAAAGAGUAUCCGUACUAUUUACCGAACGACUACAUCCGUAUUCAAACAGAAUGAUUUAAAUAAUAAUAAUAAUAAAAAAUAACCCCAGAGACGUACAUCAAGUUGUUUUGUAAGUUCAGUAGGGGUUUUUUUUUUUCCGUUUUAAACGUCCUACUAUAUACGUAUACUGAUACAAAUGUACAUAUAUUUUUUUUUUUUUUCAAUUCAAUUAACCGUCGGAUUUCAAAUCCAUUAUAAUAGCCUUUCCGCCCCUCCCAUCCAUCCAUCCAAUCCAUCCAUCUUAUUUUCUUUUCUUAUUUCGUUCGUUCGGGGAAAAUAAAAUUAUCGUAAAGGACGUACGCGAAUCGUAUUAUUCCACAAACCAUUUCGAAUUGAUGAAAAAUAAUUUUCAUCGGUAACAAUAAUAUACCCAGUAGCGAGUAUAGGUAGGUAGGUAGGUACCUAUACUUACUAGGAAUUUAUUUUUUUUUUUUCUUAUUUAUUCGUUUGUUUUUAUUGUGCGUUAUUAUUUAUUUAAGUGUGUGUAGAACAAGUGGCCGGGAGGUUCGUGUUAUUCGAAAAAAUCAAUAUCUACAUCAUAGACACCCUGGUAAACGCACGAAUAACCAUAACAAAAAAAAAAAAGUACGUUUAUUUAAGUAUAAGUACCUAUAGUUUGUAUUUCAAAGCCUAUACGCGUUUUUUGUUUUUGUUUUUAGUGCAACGAAACUAUAUAAUAUAAAAGUACCCAGGUACUAUAUAUAUAUAUAUAUUAUAUUGCAUCGAUUUACCGAAAUCCCGAAAGUCAUUCCAAAAGCGAUUAAACAAACGUAAAAUGUUUUUUAACCAACGCGCAACGUGUUUAUUUACGAUUGUUCCCUUGGCGUGCGAUAGUAGAAAAAAAAAAAAAAACAAAAAAAAUAGUAAUGAUUUCGAGAAACACAAUCCCGGUUAUAAUAUAAUAACAAUAAGGUAAUUUAGGCGGUAGUUUUACGAAUAAAAUUUAAGUGCCUACACGUAUAUAAAGUUUGUGUUUUUCAUAUUUAUUCUAAAAUAAGAGAGUUACAAAUUAAAGAAAAUAUUACCGCGAUAAUCUCCGCGAGUGGGAAAAUAAACGUAUAUAUUAUAAUAUAUACAUAAAUAUUUGUUUUUUUAUAAAGCGCAGUUAUAAGUUUAAUUUCCUAAUUUCCAGAACUGUGUGUGAAACCGUUAAGAAAGGAUUUACGACUUUAACCCUGUCACCGGCAGUGCCUCGGUUUAAAAAAAAAAAAAAAAUAAUAAUAAUAAUAAUAAGAAUAAUAAGAAUAUUAAUAAAUAAUAAGAAUAGUGUUCCAGAGUUGGCGGCCCCUGAAAUGCGUUUCGGACGUUUAUCAGCUACGGUAUUAUUAUAAUAUCUCGUCGCGUACAAUUACCGUGCGCCGCGUUCAAACGUUCAAAUUUAUAUUGUAUUUAUACAUAGCGGCGGCGGCGGCGGCGGCGGGAACGAUAAUUUUCGAAAUCGUUUUCGGCGGUGGAUAGGCGGCUGGAGAGGGGUACUGUAGGGGAAUAGGGGGAGGGGGGAAAAUAAAAAAGACGGUAUUUUCACCCAUACCGUUUGCGAUGCGCACCCGGACAAUAUCCCGUCGUCUCUCUCGGCCUUCCCCCCCCACCCCCUCACGCGCCCCUCGCGCGACGCGGCCGAACAACAGUAUGAUAUGAAGUCGUAAUUCUUAUUGUAAUGGACUCGCCCGGGACGAUUCGUGUGUUUGUUAUUGUCGCGAGUAGGCAGGUAUAUAUGCGCUCCGGUAAAAUUUUACCUGUUUGUACACAAAACUGACACGCAUAUAAUGCGACAUUAUUUUAUUAUAUACAGUGUGUCCUCGUGUUUAUAGCGCUGCAUUGGUGUCUAGUCGUCGCGGCGGGGAGCGGCGCGGGGCACCGUUAGCCAGGUGGCUCGUUCGGUCUGACAAUGCGCCCGUCUGCAGCGGCGUGCGCGUGUGUGUUGCGGGUAUAAAUGGCGGUACGAAAUAUUGGCAGUUUCGGAAAUGAGGGGAAGAAAAAUAUUCAAUUGUCGUACACGUUGUCACAUACACUUACUAUACGCGAGUCUAUACACACAAUCAUAAUAAUAAUACGCGCCGAGUCCCCGGUAUAGAUACCACCCUACGGGAUGACGGGAUGAUGGGGCCGUUAAAAAAAAAAAAAAAAAAAAAUAAAAAAAUGUCAAUAAAUCUACGCGAAGAACGAAGAUUACUCUUCUACGAGUAUAAUAAUACUUGCUGUUAUUAUACUCGCCGCGAGAACCGAUAAAUCAGACUAAAGAAAAAAAAAAAUCCCCGCCUCAAAACGCGGCGUUUUGUAUGUGUACGCGCCGCGCGGUUUUUUUUUCCCCGAAUGGUACUUUUUUUUUAUUAUCUCGCGAAAAAUAUCGGAAAGAAAAAAAAAACCUACGCAGUCCCAAUUGCUGUCCGAAUUCGUAAACGCGCGGUCUUUGUCUGCGUCCCGCCGCGAAAACGUGGUGCAAUAUUUUCGGGUACCUGCCCGCGUAAUAAAUACAUUAAUAACGCAUAAUUAUAAUAAUUGUGUUUCGAAGGCCGUAAUAUUUAUGAUUUGAAAACGAUUCAUGUAGUAAAUCUUUCCGGUUUUUUCAAACCGUUGGGAAAAUCGAAAACGACCUCCUCAGAGUACUAUCCCAGUCAGAUUUCCUUUCGGAAAAAUGGCUACACUCGGAAAUCGGAGCGAGAUUUCCGGUAGAAAAGUCGUUCGGAGAUAAAAAAAAAAAAAAAAAACAAAAAUAAACACCACUGUAACACCGAAACGGAUCGCGGGACGACAAUAAAGCGAUUUCGUACAUUUUAUUAUGUUCGGUCGCGGCCGCGGUGAUUUCGAAAGCGAUUAAUAUGCCGCGCACACACACGCGUCCGCGUCGUCGUCGGCGUUUUUACGGGCCGAAAUUCGUGACUCAUAUCACUUUACCGCCUCCUUCCCCUCACCCCCCCCCCAUCCCAAUCGUCCGCCUACCGCCGUUCCCCCCGCCCCGUCGGGGCGCGCUUCUGCGUUAUUAUCUCCGACAAUCUAUUAGCGGACGUGUUCUACAUUUUCCGGGCUAUUUACGGAAUUUAUUCAUCGCUUUCUAUACGCGCGCGCCCGUCCCUCCGAGUCCCCCGUCGCCCGCGCGCGGGCCUCUCCGCACCCCCACCCCACCCUCCCCCCCUACGUCGCGGGGCUUAAACAAGUCGCCUCUUCAGUUUCGUCCUUUUGUCGCGAACACAAAACAUUAAUGGACGGCCGCACUAUAAACAUAAAUUAUUUAUUAGGUGCGCACGCACGCGGGACGGCCGACGAGACGCUGUAUGUGUGUGUGUGUGUGUGUGUGUGUGUGUGUGUGUGUGUGUGUGUGUAUACAUGUACACGGUAUCCCCUCGUCGGCGAUGGAGUUAUACGCGAAACGCGCGCCUAAACGCGUAUAAUAUUAUUACGACGACGAUGACGACGCGAGAGUGGGGAGUGGUGAGGGGCGGGUGUGUAGGGGACGGGGUGUCGUCGGCGGGGCCUCGAAUCGCGGUGCGCACACGGGGUAAAACGGACGGGGGCUCCGUGCAGUGGCGUACCGGAAAGCGCGACGCUUCGUCAACAGUAAUAAAUCCUCUCUUAUUGCUCGUGUACUCUUACGAUCGGACGGUAUUCAACAAAGACGUCGGCUCCGGGACGAUUUCGGAGGGGGGGGGGACCAGGCCGAUGCGCCGCGAGACCCGGCGCCCGUGAAUCGGUCUCGAUUCCCGCAGGUCCGGUCCGGUGAAUUGUUUCGUUGUUUUUGUUUUUUUUUGUUUUUCGUUUUUUUCCCGACCCGUCGAUGGGCCCUCGCCGAAACAAAUACAAAUCGGAACGUCAGGAUCGCGCGCCGCGUGCAAUUUUACCGGGCCACGACAAAACCGAAAAACAAUGAUAACAAAAUAAAUCCAUCUAAAUUGUAUUAAUUGUCGGAUUAAAAUUUAAAUUUCGGGCACGGACCCAUCUAAUAGAUGACGCGUGCAAUUCAAGUAACUUAGCUUGGCGUGCCUAUUUCCGCGUGUCGAACUGGCGCACAUCAUAAUCUAUUAGAUAAUCACGCAUCGCAAUUAUGUCGUAUCGAAAAUAUUACAAUUUUUUUUUCACCUAAUAGACAAAUGUUUACUUCUGAAAAAAGGAACUCGAUAUAGUUUGUGUUAUGUACUCCGUUUGAUUAAAAAAAAAAAAAAAAACCGUUAAAAGCAAAACUAAAACGCGAUAUUUGAUUACUUUUAACAACGGCCACAGUGCACGUCCAACAGCGACGUGCCCGUCUCCGCGUCUACUUUUACCCUAGUUUUCUUCCUUAUGUUUUUACCUAUUAUAAUUUAUUAACCUGUUUCUUAAUUGCUUCCGUAGCACUAUUUCUCAUUACCAAUUUCCACGCGGUUGAACAGUAGUAACAGUAACUGUACUGACUAUACACAAUUUCUGUUCCACAGUUCGUUUGUACUCCCCAUUGUACAACAGUCUCUGAUCUAAAAAGAAAUUAUUUUCUCAUAUUUUUCAUUACACAUAAUGGUAUACUAAUCUUUUAAAUAAAACAACGAGCGAAAUAUAACGAAACGGCAUAGUACAUACGUGGGUAAUUUAGAAAAUCGAAAAAAAUUUAAUUUUGAUUUAUCAGCUUAACAAAGAAAAAAAAAAAAAAUGAAUAACUAAUAAUAACAUUUGUAUAAUAGGACACCCGGUCACACGAGUUUUGUUUAUCAAUUAGUCAAUCGUAUAGUCCGCAACAUUUUUCUGAUUGCGCAAAUCGAUGUCGCAACGGGUCAUUCUUGUUGCUUUUGGUUUUUUGUUAACGUCCAAUAUUAAAAUAUAUUAUAUACCGGUCGCUAUAUUCGUUUGUGAUUGUUAUAUUUACCUGGGGCGUUUGUCUCUUGAAAAAUCCUCAAUACUGUGACGCACGACUCUGUCGAUUCGAUACAGGAGGCUCUCAAAACUCAAACCGCAGUGGAGUCAACUAUAAUGCCCGGCCAUUAUCACAUUGUAUUUUAUCGAGAAGACGAAACCUGCCAAUCGAUUGGAAACCGUUAUUCUCUCGUGUCGUCCGACGAUCAUAGUGUAAUAUUCAUAUGUAGUUUUACAAAUAAAACCGGGAACAAUCGUUUUUUAAUAAUAAUCAUUUUUUUUUUUUUUUUUUUUAGAUUCCGAGCUAGGGGUCUAUUGGUUUUAUCAUGAUGCGUGUUUAUUUUUUUUUUAUUCACAUAUGAUAAGUCACAUUUGGACGCUAUUAGUUUUACAUAAUAUGUUGAUUAUAUAAUAUCCAGAGUGCUCAUAUUUAACAUUUUUUUUUUUUUUUUACAGUUACAUUCAAAACCUAUGACUAUACAUUUUAUAAUAUUUAAUAUGCGCAUAUUACCUAUGUUUACAUAUUUUACAAAAUCCGCCAUCGUCCUAUGCAUCCGGUCACAUAAAUAACUAUGAUAUUAUUUAUUUUUCAUAUUUUUUUUACUGUACCUGCUAGCUUAUACGCUAACGGCUAUUUAUUUGUUGUUUGUUCGGAUAUAUUGUUAUAUGUUAUCACCAGUAACAACUCAAAUAAAAUGAUUUUUUUCGUUUUUUUUUUUUUUUUUUUUACGCGAUAUUUCAAAAAAUAUAUUUAUAAAAAUGAUAAUAUAAAAUGUAAUAUAAUAUACAAAAUAAAUAAAUAAACAUACAAAAUGAUAAUACAAUAUUUUAAAACAGUAUAGAUACCUAUGCAAUUUUCAAAAUUUCCCGGUGGUGCAACUGCAAGACAUUUUGCACAGACCAUAAAUCGGUGGUGUCGAUUUUCAUUUUUCCAUAAGAACGGGAAGGAAAAUUAGUAUUUUUAAAACGUUCAAAGAGUUUUUUUUUCUAUCUAAAUAAAUUUUUGUCUGCCGAUUUUUAUCCAAUUCGGACCGAAAUAAAAGCGGUUCGACCUUAUACCCACAUUAGAGUUUAGUAAAGUGCCCGCAUCAUAUUAUAUAGGUAAUCGACAGUUUUGUUUCGGAUCGAAAUGCUGUAUUGGAGCUGUACUGAGAAUACGUGCGUUUUUUGUUCUUCGCGGAAAACCGCAGUAAUUGAUGCGAGAAAAAAAAAAGUUUCACCGCGAAAAACUUUGUCAAUAGUAGCUGUGCUGUAAUUGAACGCAAAUAGUAAUUUAGAAAUGUCAUUUUUCUAAAUUAUCCGAAAAAGCGUCACGAAAAUAGCGCCGCGGCAACGGCGGUGGCGAAAAGAAAUACUAUAUACGAGUAUAAUAUAUCGUCUUGAAUUUGUUUCGUACCAUUAUUUCUCCCACCCGACAACAUUAUUAUUAUGUUUUAUCGUUACUUUUGUAAAUCAGACGUACAAUGUAAUACAUAUUAUUUAAUAUCAGACCGUGAUGCCUUUGAAACAACGUUUUUUUUUAAUAAAUACGAACGCUGACGAUUCGUAUUUAAAAAAAAAUAAUCUGCUCGAAAUAUCUUUACGUUAUUGUUUUUAUAGUUUUUUUUUUACAUUUCGUUUCGCGGAUAUUAAUAUCGAAGUCCACAAAAACUUUCUAAGAUAAUAAAACUGUUGGUGUGUUAUGGGAUCGACGUAAUAAUAUCUGUCAGCGAAUGUUUGCAGCCGGUUUUUAAUUUUUAAACCAACUACUUACAUUUCGUACGUACACAUUAUUAUUAUAUAAAACACGCCCCGGACGAGAAUAAAGAAUAAUAUUUUAUAGUGAGAAUACAAAAAAAAAGAAAAAAAAGAAAAAAAAUGAAUGAAAGAAAAGAAAGAAAAGGUUAACUUUGAUUAAAAGAACGAGAAAAAAAAUUAAGAAGAAUAGAAAAUAAACCAUUCAACAAGCUUAGUUUUUAAACUUGUCAAAUAAAUAUAUUAUUAAGUUUUUCAGCCGAUGCUAUUGAAAAAAAUCAUUUACGCGUUAUUUUCAUAAGACGCGUCGUCUGACAAAAAUAAAAUAAAAAAACACUUCAGAGAUCGAAAGUCGUAAUAAGAAUAAAUACUCUUACCUCGGGUGUAUAGGGUUUUAAUAGAUUUUUCUUUUCUUUUUGAUUUUUAUAGUAAAAAAAAAAAAAAAAAUUUAAAAAAAAUAGCGCAUUGUCGUCCUUCGUUCGCUCGAACCAUGACAAUAUUAUAUUGUUAUUUUAUUUUCCCGCAUUAAGAUAAAUAUUCUACAAAGACUAGAUUAUUAUAAAUAUAUAAAUACUAAUAUACAAAAUAUUGUUAAAGGAAAUAUAUUAUUCGUUUUUUUUUUUCUUUCUUUAAGAGUUAUUUUCGUCAUUUACAUUGUAUUCGUUUUUUUGUUCGAUAUACGUGUAUAUAUAGGUAUAUUAAAUAAAGUAACUAAAAUGAAAUCAAUUGUAUCAUGUUUUUUUGUUACGGCCCGACGUCUAUACACAGUUUUUCGGAGUAAAUAUAAUAACAUAAAAAAUACUUUGGCAAACAGUGUACACAAACCCGUAACAAUAGAUGCACACACCUACUCCACGCGAAACACCAAUACGUUUUUAGUAUAAUAAACGGAUAUGUGUGUGAAUGAUUUUUUUUUUCUGAUCGUGGAGGGGUACGUACUCGUGUCAUCGGCCUGCCAUUUCGAGUGUCUUCCCGAGUCCGAGCGCGCGUUACACAAUACUGAUGUUUAAACGAUUUUAGACUCCGAGUGUUUUUGUUUUCUGUUCUCUUCCGUCUCUUAACGACUUUUCUACCGGAAAUCUCGCCUGGAUUUUCAUUGAGCGCGUAACGUCAUUUCCGAAAUCAAAUUUCGCCGGUUGUUGGCGCGUUCGGGGUAGUCGUUUUUCUCGUUUUUUACUCGUGGUUUUUUUUUUUUUUUUUCGAUAACUGCGGGCGCAGAGGCGACACGGGAGGAUUGAAAAUUUCGGCUGGACGCGUCGUUGCGGGGCGGACGGCGUUUUCGAAAUGCGCGCGCCCUUAACACACAGCCGCCCCGCGAGCCUGCGGGCCGAUUGAGAUUUCGCGGCCGGAACGGCGAAUGUACCGAGGACGCGGCGGUUUCGGUUUCGCGGCCCGGGAGUUCGCGCGCAAACGCCGCGACGGACGCGAAACCGGCGCAGUGCGCCGCGCCCGUCGUGCGGCGGUGUGCGCGAGUGAAAUAUUAUCAAUACUCGGGCCGAAAACCGAACGACAGGCAAUUUUCGCGCGACAGUAAUAACGGCAACAGCGACAAUAGGUAAUAACGUGAUAGCCGGCGGCGACGCCCGCGCACGCUGGACGCGGCGUCGCGGCGUUGCGGGACGGCCGCCAAGCGUGUCGGCGAUCAAACGCGUUCGGGAGUGCGACGCGCGAAACCGGCGUGCCGGGGCCGUUUCGGGCAGUCCGCCCAACCGUCGUAAAUCACGCCGCGGGUCGAUAUUAUCGUUGUUUCGGCGAAAUUUUACGGUUUUCGAUCGCGUGUUACGCGCAUUAUUAUUAUUAUUAUUAUUAUUAUCGUUAUCAUUGUUGUCGUCGUCGUGUUUUGUCGACCGCCGCGAUGUAUCGCGUCUGUUUCGCGAAAAGCGGCCCGUUUCCCCCCCCCCCCCCCCCCUCCCCCGUUUUCGGUACGGUCUGUUUUCGUUCGGUUUCGCCGUUAUUCUAAUACCGUACAAUAUACGCGGUGCCCGGCUAUAUAUCGUAUAUCGCAUGUUAGCGACAUUUUUGGCGCGGCGUGUAAAACGUUUCGCGCGGUGUAUUUUUUAUUUUAUUUUUUUUUUUUUUCCUCCCGUCGCGUUUUUUUCGUACGGAAAUAUACGCGCGUUCAGCAAAACGCAAUACGCACACGCACACACACACACACACACACACACACACGCGCACACACACGCGCACACAAAAUCUAUUAUAGAAACAACAAGGAUAGAAUACCGUCGAAAACGCCGACAAAAAAUCAUUAAUAUUUCAUCGGACACGAUGUUCGCGGGGAGACUUUAAUGCAAUUCUUUAUCGUCGCGUGUUCACCAAAAAAGUUUUCGUUUUAUUUUGUUUGGUUUUUUUUUUUAAACUUUUCUCUUACGCAAUUCUUUGGCGGUUGUCCGUAUAGAAUUACGAUCAUCGUCGUCGUAUCAAUAGCGCGUCCCUCAGUGAUUUGAUUUUUAUUACGUAUUUUUUUUUUUUCGCCCACUGCAAAAGUUCACCCGAUCCCGUCCCUUCUGCAGCGCCGUUCUAUAUCAUUCUGUAUUACCGCCAAAUUCGCAUCCGAUGGGCCCGGAACUAAACUAUAAAUUAUUUGAUGACCCCUCAGACGCGCAUCGUGUACAGCGGUGUAUACUGUAGUUGCACCCUUCCCUUAUAGCUUAAUAGAUUUCCUCUUUCCGAUCAUGUUUCUCCGGUCACUGUUCCGGAGCCGCGCGCGUUGACAUAAAAUAAUAAUAAGUUACCAAUCACUUCGAAUCAAUUUCAUUCGGGUUAUAUCCGGCUGCGAAAUCAUCGCGUUUCGUUUAUGUAUAUAAAUAUAGGCAGUUUUUUUUUUUUUUUUUAUAUAUAUGUUUGUAUAAUAUUACUAACAAAAUAAAUACGCGACUUUAGUUUUUGGAUGCAUAAACAGAAUAAAAAACCGUCCGAAUAAAUACGCCUGUAACUUUCUUAUUUCGGAAUAAGCGAUGGAGAUUUAAAAAAAAAAAAAAAAAAACCUUUAAACGCGUCGAAAACGAAUCACGUACAAUGUUAACAUAUAUAUUAUUGUUAUUUUCGUGGACGAAAACCAUAGGUAACACGUAUCAAAGAUACAACAAUGUGUCUGGUGUCUGUUCGGUUUACGCAAUACAUUACUCGUACAGAAAUACAUAUUUUUGUUUUUGCACCGAGAUCCAUCGACCGUGUUUAUUGUACUGUGAGACCGUCGCCGUCCGUUCCUAUAACGGAUUUCUGAAGACGAAAAACGCGACGGCGGCACGAACACAAAUUAUUAGAUUCGCUAGAAACGCGCAACUAUUUUAGUAUUAUUGUCAUCGGGCUUGUCGGCCGGGCGUGUACAGGAACCAUUGAAGGGCUCAGCGCGACAGCGGACGGGUCCGCUUUUCGGAAUUGUUAAGCGGAAUGAGAAAAACCGAUAGACGUAGCCCGUGACUCGGCGCAAGAAGUGUUGCCGACCAAAUACGAACGGUUCGGUAAAUCACGUCUUAAACAAUUAACAUUAACCUGGGCCGUGUCGACAGGUUCAGUUUGAAAACACAACCGCGGCAUUGGGAAACAUCAGACGCACAGUAUACCGUGUCGACGGGAUUCGCGAUUGGUCAGGAUUUCGAUCGAACCGCGCCGGCAUUGCCCUCCGUAGGUAUUUAUCGCUGUUGGACAUUUGCGCUGUUGUCGCGCCGAAUCGCGUGCCGUUCGAUACGACGGUAUCGUCGAGCCGCCGCCGCGAAAGAAAAGCCCGAAAAGCUUUCCGGCCUUUCCCGCGCCGAGCGCGCGUAGUGACAAUACCGUCGCUUUCGGUCCGCGGGCGCCAAACUCAAACGGAACGAUUGUGCGUUACCGCGCGCCCGCCGUCCGUCGCCGAACGCGACAAAAACGUUCCGUUUUCUCGCAAUAACCGGAGAACGUCGGAGGAGUGUGCGGCGGCGGCGUAAGAUUAUACAGCGAGUAAAGUGCUUUUGAUUUUUCGAUUUAUCAAUAAUAACAAUAAUAACAACAAUAACAACAAUAAUAAUAUACGGUAAACAUCUGUCGCCGGGGCUGCGAACGCGCCGCCGUUUUCGUACGUGUAUAGAUAUGCGCGCGCGCGUGCCCGUGUUCAAAACAAUUCGUUCGCGUUUAUUCUGGAACGGCGACUAGCGACAGCUAAGGGCUAAAUGUUAUUUCUUCGGAAAAUCGCAGUCCGUACGCACUUUCGCGGGAAUACGAGAAAAAUCGAAAACAACAACAAUAAUAAUAAUAAGCCGCGCUCAAGCUGCCGGUGUUUAUAUUACUUAUACGCGUGCAUGUAUACCAAUAAUAACAAUGAUAAUAGUCCGCCGGCCCGGUCGGUUAUUGCGCGCGCUCGCCCCGUCCGACGGGGACCCGACGGGCGUGGAGAGGCCGCAGAGGGCGGACGGUAGGCGCACGGUUCACACGGUUGUUUACGGAUCCGUAUCGUUUCUCGCGUAUCGGCAUUGUCGCCGUCGAAUAUUUAAUUGUUUUUAUCGUUGCGGGGCCGCGACCGCGCGGCCGUAUACGUUUGUAUUUUUUUUUUUUUUUUCAACAUCCCUAGUGCGGCUCCGUUCUCCGUGUGCAAUACGCUGCACCGCGUCGGAUCACGGUACCCGACGGGCGGGCGUCCCGGCGUCGAACUUUUGAGAACCCGAACGCGAGUCCUGCACUUUGCGCGCAUACGUUUUCGCGGACAUUAUACGUGCACGGGUAUAGAGGUGCUCGUGUAGGCGCUCCUCUACAGGGAGAUUCACUAAUCGCUUAACAUCGAUCCGCCGCCGGUCUCGUUGUAAACGCUUUUCCUUUCGAGAAAAAAAUAAAAUACUAUCAUUGUGAAUCGCAAUGAAACUACUGGUAGAAAAUUCCUAACGCGGGGGGGAGAGGGGAAUGCCGUAAUAUCACGUUAUCCUUAUCGUUUAUUUCACCUUAAUAUUUGAUAGUGAAAUCACUAUUAGAUUUUUAUUACUCGAAAUCCGAUAAACGUGAAGCUACUCGGUGGUAGUUUGAAUGUUUGUAUAUAUGCAUAUUAUAUUUCUCCGGAAAACUGUAACGCGUUCGUGUAUACCGGCGAAUAAAAAAGGAAAAACAAUAAUAUAUACGCUCGUUUUUUUAUUAUUAUUAUUAUUAUUAUUAUCAUCAAACGUAUUUAUAAUAAAUAACGUACUACAGAUCGGUCGGUUGUAGCGGUAUUGUGUCGAAUAGAGUCGGUGUAACACUGUGUGUUUACGCAGACUAAAAAGCUCAGCCGCCGACGAAAUGUAAUCACGCGGAAAAAAAAAGUUUUUUAUACGCGAAAACAAUUGCGCCGAUACGCGUGUACCGCGUGACAACGAUGACGAAAACGGAAAGAAACAAAAAAAAAAAAGAAAAGAUAAUAAUAAUAAUAAUAAAAUAAAAAAAAUACAUUAAACGACAUUUCGUCCCGAAAAUUACACACACACGAAAAAAAAAAAAACGCCCGACAUGUGCCUCCGUCGCACAGUGUUUAUAGCGCAGUUAUGUUGCAUAAUAUUUAUUUUAAAUCGAAUCGUCGACAUAAUAAACGCAUUGUACCGUGCAAACUCGAUUUCAUUUUUUCGGCAAUAAAACACGACGAAGACGUCGUCGUCGUAAACACAAAAAUCCAACUGCAUUUUCAAAACAUUCGACGAAGUGCAUUUAAUUCGAGAGGGGGAGCAACUGUUCUAGAGCCCGACCCGAGUACAUAGUAUAUACGUACAUACACAGUGUCCCGCGAGUUUUAACUUUUUUUUAUUUUGUGAUUUUUUUUUUAGAUUUUUUUAAAAUCUUUAUUUGAACCUUAAUUUAAUUCUGAAAUCUCGAUGUUGUUUUAAAAACAAAACCGAACAAAUAUAUAUUUUCGAUCCGGAGCCGGGCGAGGAUUGUAUUGGUUUUACAAUUGUAUGUUUAUUAUGCAUUUUUUUUUUCUUUCUGUGAACAACUUGUGUACCGGAAAUUUCGCUGCGAAUCGUUUUUCGUUAGCGAUGGUUUAUCGUUGCGUACAGAUACUAUAAAUGAAAUUCCCCUAUAUAUAUACAUUAUUUUUCCAAACUGUCACCUACAACGGUGGCCCACCCAUCGUGCGAAGUAUGUCCGUCUUUUUUUAAGCUGUUUUCACUCGUUCACAAUAAAUCAUCGUCGGUUUGUACAACUAAUUUUUUUUUUUUUUUGUUUUUUCAAUAUUUUCUACAUCCGAUGUUCGAUACGGCCAAUAUGUUUGUGCGAAGAGAAAAACUUUUUUCCACGUUGCGUAUUCGUGCGAAAUGUUAAAUCGUUUCCAGAUUUUCAGAUAUUCCGGUAAAAGUUUUUAUACUAUAUCGAAUCCGUAGUAUUUUUGUUUUGUAUUUUUUUUUUUUUUUUUUACAACUUUUUCCUUUAAAACACGUGAAACGUAUCAAAUGUUAGGUUUGGCGGUUAAAAUAGUCGAAAUAUGCAAAAUUAGAAAAAAAAAAAAUGUUCCCAUUAAUUACACCCCGGGGUUAUGGUCUUAUCCCGGUUCACUAUAAAACAGACGCCCGUAUGAAAACACGCAAGCCGCACAUAACUAUAUUCUCGUCCCUAAGCAUAAUAAUAUUAUAUAAAAUAUAAACGACGCGCACGAAUUUCAUCCCCGGGAUUCCGAUCGACGGCAAAAUAAUAACUCGCCGUUAUUAUAACACGCAUAAUAUGACGAGGUGUCUACGCGCUUAAAGUUUUCUCGAGGAAUUCGCGCAGGCAUAGUAAUAAUAAUAUACGUAGUGUACCUGCCUAGGGUUGAAACGCGGGCGCAUUAUUAAACUAAUAUACGCAAAAUAUACACGAUGGUAUUUUCGCUAAAAAAUAAAAAAAAAAAAAUAAUAAUAAUAAUAAUAAGGGACAGAGGUUAAAAUGCGACAUGAAUAUUCGAAUGCGUUCUAGGGACGUAAACUCAGUAUAGGUACGGUACGGUGGCAUUAUUAUAGUCGUGGAAUUACGGUAUUCACACCUUUUAGGGUACCAACGAUUAUACACGACACAAAAAUAUUUCCUCGCUAUUCCUUUUAUUAUAAUAAUAACGUAAUGGGAACAAAAUAUUCGGUCGCCACAUGGUACGCCGACACGACUGCUGUAAUUAUUACUUACGUGUUGGUCAGUUACUUAAAAUAACUACCGUUCCUAUAUACUUAUAGCCGGAAAAAAAUUUCGCGGCGGUGGUCCGACAUUUUUCGUUUUCUUUCCCCGGUCGAUUAGCUGACCUAUUUUUUUUUUUUUCUUGAUUUUCCUUGAAAUUUUCUUAUGUAAAACUAAGUGCUUUUUUGAAAAAAUACCGGAGAUCCCUGUAUGAUAGAAUAAAAGUUGCGGUUUUAGAUUCUGAUCUGGUUGGUAGUUUGGUACUUUGGAGGACCAUUUUUUUUUUUUUUUCUUGAUUUUCCUUGAAAUUUUCUUAUGUAAAACUAAUGAGAAAAACUGGCAAUUUUUCGUAUACUUUUUGUUGUUGAUUUCUGUGUUACCUCGAUAAUGCUUUGUGUCUGGUCUACGAUAUUUCUAGGACCUGUAUCAGUCGUAGGCCCGUAACGAUUUCCCACUUUGCCCACCUAAUAUUUACGUCACUUGUCGUAUCCAUUAUGUAUUAUUAAUGUAUUAAUACACUGUUGAUAUAAUUUAAACUGUCAACGAAAUAAAAUGAUCCACAAUUUGAUAUCGACUUUCAUAGGACAGAACUAAAGCGAACAAUAUUAAUUUUUUCGUAACUUUAAAAACCCUUUUCCCGAGCAAAAGUUCAAACAAUUUGCGUUCUCGUUCCGGAAUGACAAUAAAUUGGUAUCCUCGUUAUAAAACGAAAUGCAACGUAUAAUAUUAUAAUAAUGUACCGCUGCUAUAUAGAGCCGAACGUUCAUAAUAUUUUCUAUUCUACGCAACUCCUCUAUUCAUUUAACUCGAUUUCGCGAAAACCCAAUAAGCGUAAAAAAAGUAUACCGUUCUUCGAAACUUUCACAUCAAAGGCUCUAUUACGGUAGUGAAUGGAGGGGGGGGGGAAUACGGUAUUAUAAUAUUAGAAUGUCGCGUUAUUAUAGCCCAUCAGUCACGGAUUUCGGAACACGUUUGACGAAAUAAUAUGUAUUUUCGUUUUUAUUCCGUCCGUGACAUUAUAAACAUCGUUUCCGCUGCGAAAAUGUAUAUUGUUUCCUUUUCGAUGUCAUAUUAUAUGUAUGGGGCAGGUAGGUGGGUAAUAGUUUACAGGCGGCGUAAAAACCGACGGAGAGACGUGUUCGGUAUUAUUUUAUUUGUUUUCGCAAAAAGUAUACGAUGAAGCGCGUGCUCCGGCAGCUGCGCUGCAGUUACCAAACGCCCGAGCCCUUAAAAACGUAAUGGUUUCGUUAUUUUAAAUUCGAAAAUUAUGGUUUUACGAUUUAAAAGGAAAAGCGGCGGCCGCGGCGAUGUUUUUCGUAUACAAAGGCGGCGCCCGUAACAAAACGGCGGCGUGUAUUAUACGAAUUAUUGCUCUCGCAGGAACAGCGAAACGCCAUCGUAAACUGCAUACUUUUUCCGUUUUUGCGCGUUCGGCGGCCCUCACGUGCGGGUAAUUUUUUUGAUUUAUAAUGUCUCGGUAUGGUUUUCGAACCCGAUGGGUAGGUGCUUUCGCGCUCCAAUUGCCUUUUGUUGAUAACUCUUCCCGCGCGUUUAUAUUUUUAUUAUCAAACAUUAAUUUGCCGUCCAACCUAUCAGCGUUUCGCCAAUUUGAACCGCGAACGAAAAUAAAUCAAGUUCUUAACCGUAUAUAUACUGUGUAUCAUAUUAGACGACGAGGGAAAACGGUCGGACGAUUUUGAUCGAGCGGGCCCCAUUGUGGCAGCGACCUGCCAUUUCGUUCGUUAAUAUAAUAGAGUGAUUUCGCGAUGAAAUUCGGUAACGGUUAUAGCUCUGCUCUUUCGUGAGCAGCCAAACGGUUGACAAACGAUCACGGGUUUCAGUUUUUUUCGAAUUUAAAAUAAUAAUAAUCGUCAAACUACCUUUUAAAAUUAUAUUUGAAAAUACUUCAUUAAGGUAUUUUAUCGGUUUUUUUUUUUCCAGAAAAUUACAAAUUUACGAGCAACUUUUUCAAAACAUUCUGUAUAGACGAUUUUACGUUCUACAUAAUAUCAAAGUCUAACAUGUUUUUAUGUUAAUGCUGUAAUAGUUUUUGGAUUAAAUCCGAAAAAACUCAUCAAACUACCCUCUUUGGCAAUUUGUCCAUCCCAUUGCGUGCCGCAAAUUGGUCGAGUCUACAUCACCAAAUUUCACCCUCUUAUAUUGACGAACAAAAUGGGCGGGGGGAGGGUACUCGAUCAAUAUGAUCUAAAUGUUUUUCUUCAUCUAUAAAAUUAAAAUCGUCUUAUUAUAUUAUAUCAUAGACACGUUCGAACGAGUCAUAUUGUCUGAUCUCUUAAUAGGCUCCGAGAUAAAACGCGUUGUUUAAAAUUGGACAAAAACUAAACGUUAAAAUGAUCAGUCGGUUUCGUUCCGUGCACACCUACAUACCUAUGUCGUGUUUUCAACAACUGUUUUGAGAGUAUAACAUCCCGUGCGGAAUGUCCGACAUCGUUUCCGCCAAAAAACAUAAUUUUCGUUUCCGUCCUAGUGGACGUCCCUUCAAAAAAUGCAAAAGUUUCGAUUCUCGUUCACCCCGAAUCUAUUUCUACCUAUACUUUUACUUGAGAAACCCUAAUCGUUAUUACGAUAAGUCUAUAACCAAUCUUGUUGGCGAAUGUCGGGAAUUAAUACGCAAUUAUAUAAACUACAAUUAUGGGUACACAUGAUUAAACGUAAUAGUUAUUCGCAUUACACUGCAAUGUAAAAAAAAAACUUUGUUACAAUUUCAAACGCACUCGGAGAAUGACAACCAUUUCCGGUAUUAAAUUUUCAAAAACGUAUACACAAUUGUGUAGACGCUUUACCGAAUUCGUAACUCAAAUCGAACAAUAAGAGUAAUGGUGAUUGUCGUUGUUAUUGUUUUUUUUUUUGGGGGGGGGAGGGGCGAGGUUAAUUAGAGCCGACGAAAACGAAAACCGAUUCUUCGCGUGUAAAAUGUUAAGCGCGAAAGAUUACCCAAAAAAAAAAAAAAAACGUCUUCGAGAGUAAGAUGUAUAUUAACGCGCGCGCAGGGGGGGAGGGGUACGUGCGGAAACGCCGCUGGUCACUCUGUACCGUGGGGGAAAUGUACGGGCGAACCCCGGGCGUAUUAAUUACACCGUUAGAGCGAAGUAUUCGCCGGCUUUUGGACAACGGGCACGCAUGCCGCGGCGAAGCGUGCGGGCGGACCGUACGCGCGGGGCGUAUAUGUUUGCGUACGUUUCGCGAAAGUCGAUUAGGAAAAAAAAAAAAAAAAAUUAAAAUAAAUAUCCGCGCGUGUGUUCCGUUCAACGGGGGCGCGAAAAAAGUGGGAAACUUCACGCGGCGCUCGGCAAACCGCGACGAACAAUAAUUUCCCGGCGCGUCGUUGCGACGUCGUCCGGAAUUCGAGAGCGCGCGCCCGGCCGUUUACGCCGUCGCCGGUACUGUCGUGCAGGUUGCAGAACGCGGCGCACUGUCACUGUUAUUGGUCUCGACGCGCGAACGUCGCGCAUAUUUUACUGUCGCGCGGAAUCCGCGAUCCGGAUCGAGUACGGGCACAACGCGCGGGAAAAGCACGCGGCGGUAGCGUGUAUUAUUGUCGUCGUACCCGCGUGGCGUGCGACACACGUGACGACGUACGUGGCGGCGAGGGGCCGCGGACGCGAUAAAAGGAGCGCGGGGUUUUUUUCCCCUUUAUUUUUCAUUUUUCUUUUGUUCGCCUCGUCGGAUUUUCAAUUAAUUACGUCUGGGUCGCGAAAAAAAAAAAACCAUUGCCGAUUUUUCGUCGGCCGCCGCGUACGCGCGACAUUUCAACAGCCGCGACUACGCGGUUACAAUGGCGCGCGCCGGACCCGCGCGUGUUUAUCGAUCGGCCCGCGGACGAACGCGGCGCGCCGCUCUUGUCGCGACAUUACGUUUCGCGCGAGCUUCCGACUUUUGAGGCGUACGCGCCGUCACCGGUUGGCGGGGGCGCGCGCCGAGGACCGCGGACCGCCGACCGUCCGAGGACUCCGCGGCGUGCGCCGCCCCUACACUGCGCGGCGGCCCCGCGCGUACACAGACCGAACGCGCGCGCGUUUUAUUACCGUUAUUAUCAUAUUUGUCGACCGGAACCGAUUUCGUGCGUAAUAUGCGCGCGCGUUAUGUUCCGUUCACGUACCCCGCGGAGAUAAUGAUCGGUCCCGAGUUCCGGAGGGCGGUCGGACGGACGAGAGCGCAACGCCGGCUCCGAGACGAAACUCGACAAACGGCCGUGCGCUGGUGACGUUGUCCGUCCGACGGCGCUGAUGCGUCGGCGGCGCGGCGAGGGGAAAACCGACGGAACGUCAAAAGUCCAAUACCGUUAACCGAUAUCGCGAGAUUUAUGGCGAGCUCUGACGUCGCGUUCGGGGUCGUUUUCGGCCCCGGAACGAUAUCGUUUCGUCCCGCCCGCGGCCGCCAUUGUCCACCGCGGUUAUAAAUCCGGCGUGAAUCACCGUGUCCCGAAGUCGAGCGGUGCCGCGCCGAUGUCGCGCGAGCGCGUCAAAAAAGCGAAAUCCCCCGGACGAAACGACGACGACGGCGGCGGCGGCGGCGGGGACGAGCAGAGACGUUACGGACGCGCGGGCCGUCUCCGCGGCGUUCGCGGUUACGUGUUAAAUCGCGCGUAAAUAAUAAUAAUGAUAAAAAAAAAAAAAAACAAAAAAAAAAUACUUAUACACGUAUAUUAUAUCCGUUGCGGCGGCGAGCACUUGCACGGGUACGACCCGUGCAAGCUCAUUAUUUCGCGACCGCCGCUCGGUAGCCUCUCGACUCGCGCGCCGUUCGUGAAAUCCGGUCCAAUUAUUUUUAAUUUUUAUACGAACGCGUUUUGCACGCGCGCGCGCCCGGCGCAAUAUCAUAUUUCUCGAGUGGACUAGAAAUUAAAACGAUACGCGGGCGAAUUAACGACGGCGGCUGAACUUCCGAACUUGCCGCAGUGGUUCGCGAAAGACGGCACGGCCGGACGGUUAACCGGCGCGGGGACGAGAGGAAAACGAAAAUAAAAGCGGCGUUCCCGUAGAGAGCGAAAAUACACCGAAAACAACGCCGCCGAACAAAUGUCCUCCGGCGAUAUUGCUGAUGUAUAGAUCCAACCGCCAAACACUACAAACAGCGAAAUAUUUCGAUAUAUUGUUAUACAUUUUUAGCGCGCCACUGUCGCGGGGUGAUACGUUUGUUUUUAUAGAAAUCAUCAAAACGAUAUCAAAAAAGUAUUAUCGCGAAAUUCACUCUGCUCCGGGACACUUCGAUGGGGGGGGGGCGGGGGCGGGAGGCCCGGAGAACGAGCCCGGCCAGUUUAAAUUAAGCCUCGCGGCGACCGGGUUCUACAGAGUUAAAACAUCAAUAACCGAAGAUCUCGAUCUGGUUUUGCGGUUUAUGUUGCCGUUUUAAGUCCGAAAAAGAAUCCCGCGCGUACGACAGAUCGGCGUCCGACCAACGACCCCGAGGUUAAUAAUAUCCCGUUGGCGUCGACGACAAACAAAACGAUUUCGCCGCGGUGACAGUGCCGGGACUCCGUGUGCCGCCUGCCGAUAAACCCAACCCGUCGAAAAUGCAGUGAAACGCCCGGUAUACACCCCGGCCGACGUCAAGAUUUCGCUAUCGUCAGAAUACGAAUCGGACACACUUUGGCCACGCGCAUUUCGUUCUAAUAAGCGAAAUUAUCCACCGGUAUGCGGAUACACGUCGAACGCGAAACACGAAAAAACGCAUGUUCGAAAAACGUCCCGUAUACGAACCGGCACGCGCACAAUAUUCUCAGUCUCCCGAGCGACAUCAAAGAAAUUCUCGACGGUCACCAAACUUCAAAAAUAAUCGAGUUCGUUCCGAAACGCAACCCAAUAACUACUAACGAACUCUAGCUUAAUCCGCGAUAUAAAUUAAUCGCUUAUUGUUAAUAUUAACAACAUUUGCAUAAAAAAAAAAAAAAAAAAAAUGUUUAUAAAAAUCCCCGAGGGCGAGUGAUCGUAUAUUGUUGUUAUCGCCGUCGCGCGAUUCUGCGGGCGGCAUUCGGUUUCUCGUCGCAUAAAAAAGCGCGUCCAACAUUCUACCGCGUACAGCCCCGUUGUCUGCCCGUUACAAUGAACGUCGUCUCGAAUAGUGUAAAAAAAAAAAAAAAAAAAUAUUAAAUUAAAAAAAAAACGCUCUGUCGGUAAUGCCAAAUGCUACGCGCGCGUAUUCUCCGAUAUCGCGCGCGGUCGGUGUUUAUAAUUCAUAUUGUUAUUAUUAUUACUAUCCGAUUCGAAUGUCACCAGAGGGCGCUGCGCAGUGUCCGUACGGAAUUUCAAAACGGAAUACCGCCCGACACGGCGAUAACGCCGUGUUUUGCGUUGCGCGCGCGUCGGGCCCGCGAACGCAAGUCGACAGAACACGUCGAAUGACGCGCGGCCUCCUUAUCCGGGCUUCCGGCUUGUACACAUUGUUUUUCGGCCACUUCCCCGAAAGCGCGCGCCGGGGGUCCGACCGCAGUCGAAACGCAAUGCGCGUGCGUUUUAAUAACGCGCGCCCAACGAACGUACCGUAAAUACGAAUGUUAUAUCCGUUUCCGUCGUUCGGUUUCGCCCGUUACGCGGAACGCGAAAACGUUUGUUUGUCGAAACCGCGGCGCCGCGUUAGCCCUAGGACUUUGGAAAACGUCGAGACGCCGCGACACGCGACCAUGUUAGUCGAAUAACAGGGACAAUGGAGAUUUGGGCGACGCGUACACCGCCGCAUAUGUGUUCCGGUCCACUUCGAUCGUCCGUUCGAAAACCGCCGAAUAAACACGAUUCGAAUUUAUCGAGCGAAACAAAAAUAAGCCUAUUAUUUAGAGAACCCGAAACGCUAGACGGUUGUGCCGUCACAAUACUAGUGAACUUUCAAACAAUUAAGAAAAACGACCACACACACACACACACACACACACACACACACACACUAUAGCUCCACAGUGUAAAAUGCUUUGUGCGAUACAAACGCAAUGUAUUAUAUUUCUUCAAAAUUUCUCGGGCCGUUUCUUGUUAUUCGGUUUAAACCGCCGAUAUUCCGUUAUAACGCGUACGACUACGCUGGGAAGUGGAGGGAGGGCUCGGUUUUUUCUUUUCGAUAUACUCAAUGUCCAAUGCGAUUCCGUUCCCGUUUAUUUGUUUGUCGAAAUGGCUGCGCGCGAAAUUCGGUCGCACUGUUUACGUAUUGUAACGGGCGUUGAAUUCGGUCGUCGUUCGGUAGUAUUUUCAGAGCCGAGUGUCUCCGGACGUUUUCGACGCGAGCACUUCUUCCGAACGCGAUAUCGGUUUCGUGCGCAGCUGGUGGAAGUCGAAAAACGCGGUAUAAUGCCGCGCGCCGGAGAACAUCCGUCGGACAAUAAAUUAAUAUUAUUAAACAGAUAUUAUACAUAGGCGGGACAGGCGUAUACAUCGGUGUCUGGUCUUUAUUCCGUAUUAUUUUUAUUUUUUUUUUAUCAUAAUUAUUUUUUUUUUUUUUUUAAACGCCGCCGCCGCAGUCGUCGUAAAUCUCUUCGAGUGGCUCACUGCAGUUACGGUGUAUUAUGCGCCGUACACAAUUUGUAAUACGCCGAUAACACGCGGACGCGCGUGUAGCGACGACUAUGGACGAAAAUAAUAAAAAAAAAAAUACGUUUAAUAAUAUACCGUUUGCUUGCCGCGGUGGCGGCGCGACCGCCGGCUGUUUUAAUUCCCAAUAGGACCUCUCCAAAGUCGGCCCGCAUCGUCGCGGACCGCGAAGACGACGAGCGUCCCACACGUGCGCCGCCGGACCUCGCGUAGUCCGACGACCUGCAGCACAAGACCCGAAAUAUAAUAACAAUGAUGAUGAUAAUAAUAAUAAUAAUUAUCGUCGUUCUCGUGUAAUAUCGUGUGUUCCAUUAAAUUUAAUUAACGCGGGCGCACGGUUAUUCGAUACACGACGGCACAAUACGGAAAUAAAGAAACCCCCACCCCCCCACUCCCUCCCACGCGUCUCGAACCUAGCGGCGGCUUCGCCGUCGGUCAACGACAACUGCCCGCAGCAGCAGCUCCAAACGUCGUCACGUUUUUUUUUUUUUUUUUUUUUUUUCCAUUCCCCUCCGAUUCGUAACGUCUCGUUAAAUCGUAAUAAAUAACAACAAUAAUCGUCGCCGUCGUUUCGAAUUUGUUUUACUCCGACAUAAAUACGUAUAAAAAGUGCCUGUACCUAAACGUAUUAUACGUCUUAGUCGUCGUUCCCUGUACAGCAACACUGUCGCUCACAGUAACACUACCUACUGUUAUUGUACUUGUACGCACUACGAUAUCGUAUUAUAUUGCGUGUUAAUAUACCUACGUAUUAUAGGACUACUAUUAUAAAGUUACUAACUGCUCUGUUAUUGUACUACCGAAAAUCGUUUUUAUUUUUUUAUUUCUUCCAUCCGAACACCCGACGACGAGAUAUUUGACUUAUUAUGACGUGCUUUUUCUAUGUAUUGUAUUAUAUUGUUAUUGGGUUGUGUUUUUUUUUAUUAUUAUUAUUAUUUUUUUUUUUUGUUCGUUGUAUUUUGCCGUUAUGCACUGCGGUAUAGACGUACACAUUUAUACGAGUUAACGUUUUCGACGGCGACAAUAAAUGAAGGCAAUAACGAGAUACGUCAAAAAUUUUCAAAAAUGCGUUUUGUUGUUCCAUCGAAAUAUCUGGAGGAAAAAAAAAAUUCUCUAUCGAACGGUUCGACAAGCGGAUACAUACGUCUGGACGUGUCUCAUAAACAUACGUUAAUAGAGGAAACAAUUUUUUCCCGGCGCAAUAACCAGAUACGACCGGACGUAGUCUAUUGUUGCGCAUAAAAAAAAAAAAAAAAACACCGCCGUUUAAGCAUAAUGAUAAUUAUUGUGUUUAUUUUGUUAAAUAAUUAAAAUUGAAGAACAUCCGUGUUGUUCUAUGAAAUAGUCAAUGCCGUAUCGGCCAACAUCGUAAUACUUCAACGCUUUAAAAUUUUACUGACACAAGAAAAAACAUUUUUUUCGUUUCGUCUCCCGAAAAAUUGUAAAUUUGAACGUAUCCUGUCGUUGCACACCGGUGCCUUCAAACGUGGGUGAUACCAUUACGGUUUUCCGAAGGCGCAAAACGAGCAAUAACAUAAACCGCUGAAACGUUUUUUUCUGACGAAAACCCAAAACUCCUACCGGCAGAAACCGUACUAUCCCCGACUAUAAUCCUAACCGCGAUACGCAGAUUGCGAGUACACGGCGUCUUUGUCGCACGCCGUGAUUUUUCGUAUACCACCGUCCUUUCGGUAUUUACAUUAAUACGUUAUCUUUUAUGCCGGGAAAGACGGGCUCGAGUAAAAUCGUUGUCAUUUUUAGACUGACGAGUAAUGUAUUGGUUUUACUAUUUUUUUUUUUUUUUUUAUUUUUUUUGUGUAUGUCCGUAAACGACUUGUUUGCGUAAUGUACAGUAAUUUCGUUGAAAGCUUUUUUUUUUUUUUUUGAGUUGAAAUUUCGAUUCGAAAAUCGUAAAAAUCGCGGCGUCUCGAAAAACAAAUUCAACCGAACAUGCAGAUGUAUAAUCGUGUUUCGUAAGCGACCGGCGAUUUUCGAUCGGCUGUUUUUCGGUUUUUGUUUUACGCACUGCAGCUUAUUCGGUCCCCGUUGAUUUUACAAACAAAAAUGUCAUCACUAUGACGUGUACGGUUCGAAUGGCAAGAGAGAUCAUGUAUUAAUUGUUGUACGCGGCAUUUCGCGUUGCCGUUACGUUAUUUAGCGAUUCUCGUAAUUUAAUUCGCCCGUAUCAGAAACUGCUUUGUACACGAAAUCGCAUUAAACUGCAGGCAUAAAUCGGGUCCGCAUUUCCCCCGGGGGACCGAGAACGCAUAACUGGUAAUGUUCUCAUCGGCGGCGUUUCUGAUUAAACAAUUUCGUUUUAUUAUUAUGACUUCCGUACCGGUUAACGGCAUUGAUAAAAUUGUUAUUAAUAUGACAUUUAAAUUGGAUAAACAUAAAUUCGAAAGAAAAAAAAAAAAAAAUUAGAACAGGAAAACCGCACUUAACGUUGGCAAUCUCCGCGAGUUUGGCUCACUUAAUGCACAAACGUUAUGCAGAAACGGACGGAGCGAAUCCGCAGCAGCCGACCGACCGGCGAAUGUUUUCGAUAACAAACAGCGCGAUUACAACCGAUCAUAUUAAUUUCGUAUUGUUAUUGUGAAUUCGGUAUGGCAGAGUUUAAGCGCGGUAAACAUAUCGCGCGGAACUAUCUGUUAAAUAUAAUAUUGUUGCGAUACUGGCGAGCGCUCGCGAUAAAAUAUCUGACAUUUACACCGAAUUCGGGGAGGUGGCGGUGGUGGUGGUGGGGGGGGGGGAAAGUAAUUUUCCAUCGAAACGAUAUUCGUACACCGACGUCACAUGUCGUUUUAAACGUCCGAACGAAAUAAAAACUAAAUUAUUAUCGUCUGUGCCCGCGAAAUCCUUUUAGAUUGGGUCGGAAUAACACGACGCGGGCAACAUUAUUAAGUUUUUAUUCGAUUUUCCGUUGCAUUGUCUAAAUAUUCUCUCCGCAUUCGGCGUAAAAUAUAAAUUGUUACGUUUCGCGAGAUGAAAUAACGUCCUUAUACAUUUCGCUAUAAUUUCAAUUCUAAACUUGAUUGAAGUAGACGAUUACGGAUUAAAGAAAUCUGAUGGGAUAACCGUAUUUAUUUAUUAUUUUUUUCGACACAAAAUUUAAUUUCGCAUUUAUAUAACGUGUACUAAUGUGUUUUCGCGUACAAUAACGAUGAUCGUCAAACAUAAAACGUUUUGACUUUCGAUAUUUUAAAUCGAAAAAAAAAUCGAUUAGUAUGAAAAUUUUAAAAGAAGAAAAAUACUCCUUUGUUCACCCUCCAAUAAUAUACAUACCUACCGGCCCCCACUCCGCAAAUUUAACAGUUGAUUUACUCGCGUACAAAAAAUAAAACAUAGCAUGUUAUAUGCGUAACGGUUUUAAUUUGUUUUUCAAUCGGGUAAUUUUCAAAGCUAUUUUAUCGUGAUAGUUGUAUACUUUAUUAGUAAAUAAAUACUGCAGUGGAGCGGGUGUUGGUUUUUUUUAUUCGUUAUUCGUUUUAUAAAAAUUCAAAAACAUAAGUAAGAGUAUGUAUAUUAUGUAUAUUCGUCCAUUGAAUAUAUAGUGCCGGAGAGUAUAAACAUUUAAAAAUUAAUUACAAUGGUGUAUCACCGCCGGGGAGUUGUUAAUCGCAGUCGCGUUCUCAUUAUCGUGUCCAACUCUCGUCGUCCACCGCCGUAAUUCGCCACACGUUGUUUUUUAUAUUUAUAAACGACGCGGCUUUUGACCGAUUUCCCAAAGUUCGUCGAGGUAAUAAAAAAAAAAAAAACAACCGGCGCGUAGUACAAGUACACCGAUACUUGUCCCGCAGACAUUUCCGUCGGGCAGAUAUCAGUAGUGUAAAUAACAAUGCCGAUCCACGAAUAAACCGUGGAAUGUCCUUCUGUACAUUGUAGGCACACAGGCAUGUACCUCCGAACCCGGCUGUUGAAAUUCAUAAGCCCGAUCGGAAAUAUCAACUUUUGUUCAAUAAACCGAGCUUUUCCUUUUGCCCGUGAUGCGGGUUGAAAAUCUAUAACUGCGUGCGCACGCAAUUCCCAGAGAAAAUUACGGAGCACCGACUGCGAGGUCGUUCAGCGUAUAAAAAACUAUUACGUUCACAGUUGUAUGAUUGAGACGUCGUGGUUUUGGAGAGGUUCGGCGUUUAAUCGCGUUGCACAUUUUUUUCACGAGUUUUUUUUUCCCCCGAACCAGUACGGCAGGUUCCAAUUGCAUCGUAUACGGGUUAUCGGGCGCGGAAUUCGGCAUUUAAUAUCGCGACAUUACGCGCUCGCGUACCGCAAUAACAUUGUGCGCGCGUGGUUAUCGAUUCUCGAUGGAGCCGAAUGAAAUCGCACGCGGAUGACGCCGUAUUAUGCGCCGCGAUAAACGCACACGGUAUGCGGUACGUACGCGACGGCGUUCGAACACUUCCCGUCACGUUUGACAAGCCUAACGCGUUUCCGGCGCACAUACGGGGCGUAUAAUAAUAGUAAUCAUAAUAAUAAUAAUAAUAAUAAUAAUAAUAAUGUAAUCCGACGGGGCGAGCAGACGUCAAACUUUUACAGAUAACCGCGACGCGCGCCCGCGGAGUACUCGAAAGUUGACGCGCGGUAUUCGAGUUACGCCGCCGCCGCCGCCGCCGCCGCCGCCACCGCUCCUCACGCAACAUUAUACGCCGCACGCAUACGCACGCGUAAAUGUACCUACACGUGUGUACACGUACGCGCAUACCUGUCCGGGUAUACGUACCCCCGACUUGACGUGCGAGAUCAAAAACUUAUCUCCGGUCCCGCGGUUAUAACCGCAUCAUAACCUCGCGUAACCCUUUUCGACUCUCGUAAACUUCUCGCGGAGGGAAUUUAAAACCGAGGAUCGCGAGCCUAUACAACACUCGUGUAUACAUAUUAUAUUAUAUACGGUUUCGCGCGUCGUCUUUUGUAUACGAAAGUCGGGCCGGUCGGACGGGGAUGGGACGAGAACAAACGAAAAAAAAAACCGGGCGAAAUAAAGACGGAAGCGAAAAAACGCGCCCGGGAAAAUAGAGGUUUUUUCCCCGUCUUUUUUCCUCUUCCCGCGUCGACGACGGGGCUGUACGAUUUGUUUUUUUUUCUCGUUUUCCACUCGUUAUAUUAAAAAGGACGGACACACGUACUUCGGGCCACUGCAGCUGUUGUAUAUAAAGAUGAGAAGUUGGGAAGGUAGGAUAUAGGAGGGAAAUUCGAUUUAUAUCCGUACGCGACGAUAAACCGUUGCUGGCGAAAAACGUUUCGGAGCGAAGUUUCUUUUAUACGCACGUACGUACAUUUUCCAGUUUUCCCCAGUUUUUAGGAAAACCGCUUGGAAAAUCGAGAAUUCGCCUCCUCGAAGUACCAAUCGGGUAAAAUUCACUGUCGGAAAAAUGUACUACACUUUGUAGGAUUUCUAAUAGAAUAGUAAAAAAAAAAUAAAUGAAUAUCGUUGUAAAACCAAUACAUUAUCGAAUGUUUUUUUUUUUUUUUUUUUUUUAUUCCGACACCGUAUUGGUUUCGUCGCGAUCGGGCUAUUCUGUCGUCGCAUACAAUAAACACGUACGGUUAGUGAUUCACCAAAACUCGAUUACUCGCCUGCACACAGCGUAACGUGUUUCGCGCAACCGUAAUAUCUCAUCGUAGUUAUCGUUACGCGAUAUCAGAUGUUAACGACCAAUAGGUAUACACAUGUUAUCAGCGGGCAUUUUUUUGCGCUCGCCGCGAAAACUCAAUUGUGUGCACCUGCCGCCCGCGGUUUCGCGUUAUUAGCGAUAAAUCGCGUUCCCGUCCUCGAAAUCGUUUUACCCAUAGCGAUCGAAUAGAAUCCGCGGGCGCGUUACGGAGAGUAUCUUCGGCUGUACCGUCACUAUGUUAUACGGCGGGCGAUCUAUUGUCACGUACGUUCAUAACAAUUGAAUUGUAGUCGGGGCCGGGAUGUCGACGAUGCGCCGCUUCGCAUUGUUUACCGAAGUUUUCGUGUCGGCGGUUUCGUUACGCGAGUUCGUUUGGCGUGCAUAAUCGAAUAUUUCUGGCGUUCACCGGAUUUCAAAGCGGUUUUUUCGAGAAUUCUCAAGUUUUUUUCGAUUUGAAAUUCGAAAUUUUUGAAAUUUCGCUAUUAAAAUCCGGGUUACCACGAGUUGCUCGUUUCGUUUCUCAUCUUGUUGAACGAAUCAAUUAUUAAAUUUUUGAGUUCGGUUUAUGGAAAUUUCGAAUAUUGUUUGUUUUGGCGAAUUUUUCCGGAGAGGGGGGAGGAGUGGGUUUAACGAUUCCCGGUCGUAAUGUCACAGGAACUGCGUUAAAAUAUAUAUUAUUUUUGUGUUUUUUUUUUUUUUUUUUUAUCGGCGAGAAGUCGCGGGAGACGGUUCCGCGGGGAUUUCAUCGUCGAGCUUAUAGAUUCGGAGCGCACCGAGGGAUCUAUUGGUGUUUUUUGUUUUUUUUUUUUUUUUUUUUUUGUUUCACCCGACGACCGCGGCGAUCGUAAUAGAAAUAACAACAUCGUCGUCGUUCUGCCGCGUUCACGAAUAAUAUUCUAAUACACGACAUUAACAUAAUGGGUAUUGUACUGCACGAGCUAUUAAUAAAGCAAUCUCCCGCCGUCGGACGUCUGACUGUACGCGUUGCCGAUCCGUUUAGUUACGCGGCAUUCGUCACGCAGUAUACGAGUAGUCGGCGUACACGCAUACGCGCCGACGACGACGCGACUACGUCUUCCGGACACCGAGAGGAGUAGGGGGGUGGCGGGUCACCCUAUUUUUUUUUACAUUUUUUUCGGCUUUUUUAUUGUUCGCACGAUCGUAACACACCCUACACACACACACACACACACACGCACACACAAACGGGCGGCGGUGGGUAGACGAGGUACCGACCAAAGCCCACGAGUAUAUCGUACGUGCGAGGGGAAAUAAAAUAGACACAGACUCUCGUCGUUUGGGUCAAGAUUUAUUUUCCGGGCCGCGGGCAAACCGUCGUAUUAACAGUAUACAGGGCGGAAUUAUUUAUUUUAUUUUCGCGGCCGGCGUUUAUUAUACUGUUGUACGUACGGAAAUCGUUUUCGAUUGAUAUUUGUAUUGAUGUUUGUAUAAUAGUAUGACGGAGUCAUUUAGAAUUUUUUGUUCUCGUCGUUUUACCCUUAUACCGUACGCGCCGCUGAAAUAAACUAUCGUAACACCAUCGACUUUUCGAAAAAAAAAAAAACAAAAACAAAAUAGAUAAUCGUAAUCAAUUUCAUUAUCCACGCGUUUAUCAUUCCAUAUAUAUGAUUAUACUCUUCCGGUCUUAGUUUUCAACUAUUGAAACGGAGAAGGUUUGCUAUGUAUUUAACAGUCGAAAGUCAAAAGUUGAUUUUAUAAUAAUCGCGUGUGGACGAGAGGGGGAAAAUGAUAAGGAUAAAAUAAAUUGUAAAUAAACGACAAUAUUAUCGCUACAAUACGAAUGAAAAUAAGUCCCGUGAAUCCUCGUGAGAAAUAUUAUAAUAUGCUUACGACUGCAAGAUUAGACUGAUUGUUCGAUAAUAAUAUUAUUAGCUAUUUGGAAGUAAUAAAACACGGCGAACCCUAUAGGGUUAGUGCCCGACGGGGUUAGCUAAAGGUACCAAAAGUGCGAAGGCGUACGAUAAGACCUAAUGACGUUGAGAAAGUAAUACAUUGCAAAACCGUUGGCCCGGACCGGCCGGUCAUCACUAUCCGUUUUGAGUCCAUAAUUUCUAUGUUUAGUGUUCACUUUUAGAUUCGUAGACAUGUAAAUUCUAUCUCUCUCCUCUCGUUUGAAUACGACGCUCGCCCCGCUAUUACUUACAUUAUCGCCGUAGUUUUUGUGAUGCGUAAACGAUAUCGGGUAACAAAACUUCUUCGGACGGGGGUUCUUGGCCACCGUCCACCGGGAACCCCCGAUAUUAGACUGGGUAACCGCGGGCUUAUCGAACACGACUGAUAGAGAACUUUCCUCAUGGAGUUGGGGCUGCCAGACCCACAAUUACACUUAUAUUUUUUUUUUACAUUAUACAUUUAUGCAAAGCUGACUUAUGAACUGUGCUUGAUGCUAUGGAAUAUUGUAAAAUUUUGAAUUAUACUAUGUAAAAAAUAAAUAAAUAAAUCAUUUAAGAGAACCGAAUCGAAAUUUCUUAUUUAUUCGAACGGGGAGCUCGACGUCCCUCUACAGAUUAUGCCACAUCUAGAAUAGUUAGAACAUUUUUUUUUUUUUUAUUCGACACGGUGAAAUAUUAUAUUAUGUAUAAACGGCUAUAGUUUUAGUAUUUUUUCUAAACACAAGCUCAGUUUCACGUACAGCAGUAUAGCGUUUUGAACAGCGGGUAGAACGUCACUAAUCUAAAUAUGAAUCCGAAGAGCUGUUUCACAGUCAGUAUAGUGACGAACGUGGACCAAAAGGUCAGGUUUUUUUUUUAUAGCCACGGCCGUGGACUUCAGGGACGUUUCCAUCCAUUUUUUUUUCUGCGUAACUUCAUACAAGUUUAUAGGUGUACAAUUGAUACCUAACGGAAAAUAUUUUUAUAUUUACCGUUUCUACGGUCACCCCGGCUGCGCGUUUAAGGUGGUCAGCGAAAGUUUAAAACACGGCCUUCAGAAUCGUUAAUUCGUUUAAUCUACGAUAAAUUUGAAAAGUUAUCGCGGGAUAAAUUCUGUUCACGGUACGAAAAAAAAAAAAAAAACAAACAAACACUAUAAUACUCUAAAACCGAUACAUACCUCCUCAUCGUUGUUCGCUCGCAGAAUCUAAAAUCCGAAAUCUACAUAAUGUAAUAGUUCUACGUCUUCGUAUAAUAUAGAACGCAAUUGUGAUUGUUGGGAUCGAAAAAAAUAAAAUAAAAAUAACAAGACCGCGUAGGAUGACGGGACCGGAUGAAGCCACUGUUAUAGAUAAUUUGAUGUAUAGUUGUAAACAACAAUAAACCAUUUCUUACGAAAAAACGAUUCUCAGCGGAGUUCAGUCGAUAGUGUGAUGCUCUGUCAACAAUAUGUAUGUAAAAUGAUUAAAUGAAGACUUUAUAUACAUAUAUAUAUUCUUUAAUAAUAUUUGUUUAACGUCGUACCGAUUUUCCAGGUUUUCCCGUGUUUUAUCCCGGGUUUUCGCGUUUUCCGGGGAAAACUCUUAUGGAAAUCGGGCGUUACACGUAGAAACCCGAGCGGGUGUUCCGGCGGAAGGGUGUAUGCUUCUUUCGCCCCGGUCGGAAUCUAAAAUCACCCUGUAUACAGCGUGGAGACGUGAGCCACCGUCGCCGCGGCCCGCGAGUAACAUUAACAAUAUAAUACGCGCGCGCGCGCGCCGAUAUCCGGGUCCGCGGAUUAUUUCGCGCGUGGCCGCCGCCGGACGGAGCGCGGCGUCGGGGAACGGGUCGACCGGGGGGUGGGGGUGGGGGUACGCGCUAAUCUAAUUGUUACCGGACGGGCAAUUUAUUAUGCAGAACGCGCGUUCGAACGCCGGACUCGCGGGCCCCCCGUGACUCGCACGCGAUUGAUCGACAUCGUUACGCGCGUGUUAACAAUAAUAAUAAUAAUAAUAAUAAUAACAUUAUUAUUUUUUAUCAUUAUUGUUGUUGCGCGUGUAACACAACGUCCGCGAAUCGGACGCGGCCGCGUACGGGCGUGGGUCGGCCGGUCGGCCGGUGUCGGGGAGCGGAAAAGAAUAAAUUUGAACGCACAGCCGCGGGCAGCUGCGGCCGUGCUCCGGCCACUGCGGACGGCGUCAAACUGCCCACCGCCUCCUGCUGCCAUACCUCCGCGCUCCGCUAUUUCGCGUCACGCCGGCACAGUGACACAGAACGGCCGGACGAUAAGCGGCCGUCUGCCGGGAAAUCGCCGAAAAUCCUCCGAGUGCGCUUCCGCUGUCGUUCGGCCGGUCGUCCCGUAAGCGCAGGGCGUCACGGAAUCCUCGGCUCUGCGUCCGCGUCGUUCGCGACGCGGUGUACUCGUCGGGUGUCGAAAAGGCGUCGUCAUUACGGCGCAAUCGGAACGUUCUCGGCACAGCGUAAACCCUCCGCCCGUCGAGCGAACUAUUCCCGUCGUCAGUUUUACGUCAAACGCGUGCGUGUCACUUGGCCCGAGUGAUCGCAAUUUCAUUUUCGGCGAAUUUUAACGCUCAAAGCAUCGACAUUUUCACGGUAACACUAUGUUACGCUAUAACGGCGACAUUUGUUUAUAAAUAUAGUGGGUGCUGUAAAAAUGGGCGCUCGGAGGCGGGGGACGCAAGAUAGGGGGACGCAUCUCUCCCUCUCCCGGACUUCGGAAUUUCUAUUAUAAUUUUACACGAUAUUAUUACGCCCCUCCGGUCUCCUUGAUAAAUUUCCUACGGGCGCCCGUAGGAAGCUAUCGCGUCGCCAGCUACAAUACGAUUUCGAUUCCCGAGUCUGAGCUCAUAUUCGGCCCGGAGGGAGUCACUAAAAGUGUCCGAAAUUAGCGAGUAAAAGAUAAACGUUAUACUAUAUAUUAUGUUAAUAAAUUAACAAAUUAAGAUUGUCUAUACUUUCGAGGAAAAUACACGCAAGGAAUAAUAAUAUCAUUUUUCGAAUAAAGUUCACAAACUCCAUACAUUUACGCGAAAUCGUAAACGCUUCGUAUAUACGCUUGCUAUAAACGCCCGUACGAGCGAAUAAAAUUUAGCGAUUAAGUUUUGAAGUAUAAUUUAGAGCGUGGACUUUCGUUCUUUCCCCCCCCCCCUCUGCAAAAUAAACUUAACAUCGCAAUAUUAUUCUUAAUAAUAUACGUACUUGUGGAGUAUACAAUAAUAAUGUAUCGUUUAUUUAUACUUUUUAGUACGCUCCCCCUCCCCUCAUAACUUUCGGUAAUUGUUGUUCGACCCUAACGUUAAUAUUUGAACCGGCGCGGUUCGUGAUUCCGCUUAUCCGUGGCGAAUAUCCAAAUCCUCUAACUUACACAUUGUAUAUGCACAUUGAACCGAAUUAACAAUCGUUUUUUUUUUUGUCAUUCGAAAUAAUCAGAGACUGUGUGUAGUAAUAUAUCGUACAAUGCAUAUUCGUUCAAUACUAUACACCAUUCGCUUUGUACAUUUCAAUAUUUUCGCGACUAAUGAUUAGUUAUUGAUCGGUAAUCAGAAAAAAAGUGCGCGGGUACCAUAUGCUAAACGAUUGAAAUACAAAAUCUAAUGAUUCGCAAACGUAAAAGAGAUACCGAUCGGUUUUCAAUUCCCUUAAUGUUUCUGAAAAUUCGAGAACCUAGGAUUUUUCGGGACAUCGUAUAUUGUAGUAUGAUUUUUUCUUUUUUCGACACUCGGGCACUUUUAGCCCCCGCUUCUGAACCGAACGAGCUCGAACUCGGGAAUUAUAGAGUUGUUUUGUAGGCGCAUUGAAAUGAUAAAAUUUCGAUUGUGUUUCAAUAUGAAUGUCACCGGGAGAACGGUGUUCAUUUCGUUCGCCUCUAUAGACCUCUCAAACGACGACGCCAGGGAGACGACAUUUUGUUUGUGCGCGGCGCGAGUAUCAACGACGGUUUUUUCGAGAAGAGGUACAACUCUCAAACCCAUUUCCGAGCAAAUUUCGUGUUUUUACAAGAAACACCGCGUGUGUUAAACACUCCGUGUAAACUAAAAUGUAACACGAUAAAACUCUGGCGGCCGUAACGCUAAUACGGAUUAAUUGUUAUUAUUAAAACGUAUUCUGAUGCGGGCCGAGGGAAUUUUCGACUUUACAGUGUCCGGACGGCGCCGCUCGCGGAGGAGAAUUUAAAUCGCCAUCGCGCGCAAUAAUAUACGACGCGCGUAUUUCGCUAAAAAAAAUAAAAAAAAUAAAACGCCGAGCGGACGGGGCGACGUUAUUUCGCGGUUUCGUUUUACGCGGAAAUAUUACGCGCGGUCGGCCGCAACACGAGCGUAUUAAACAACACGGGGGAUAAUGGGAUCCCGCGAUCAAUUUUAUACCGCGGUAAUUACAAUCGUAAAACUUCGGGGUUUAUUACGACGACGACGACGACGAUGAUAAUAACAACAAUAAUAUACGUACACGACGCGGUUUAAAAUCGUACAUCAAAAGUUUUAAGCUCGCGUUAAAAACGAUUCCGAAAUAUUACGCGAACACGGUAUAAUAAUAUACGCACGUACAUGCCGGUCCCGUAAACACCUAACCGUAGUACUCGCGCCGCCGCGCCCCGGCGACUCAUUAAUGCCGUCGUCGCGCGGUUGUUGCCCGUACCGUUGCCGUAUAGUUUUGCGAUUCGCCCGAGCUUAUUGCGACACGGAACUUUUCGAUUAGCCGGUGUGCCGUUGUUCGGCGCCGCCGUGCCGUUAAUAGAGCGCAUAUAUUAUUGCGGUAACGUGUACGUGCGCGCGCCUGCGUUUCAUCGUUAUACCGUCAGCAUGUAUCCGUCGGACGUAAUAAUUUUUUUACCCGCGGAAACGCGGAGGAAAAAAAAGUUUUUAAAAAAAAAAAAUAAAAAAAACACACAACCGUCGUUAAUUUAUCUAUUCCGUCCCCGUAAAUAUCACGCACGAUACGUUAUAUCGUGAUGUUACGCGUCUGGUUCCAAUUAGAACACUCGGGACACUACGUAAUAUAUCCGCGACACUACAUGCUACUACAUACAUCAUAAUGCCCCCAUGUGUCCGCCGGGAAGCUACGUCGGUGGUUAAUAAAUAAUUAUACGACGACGACUACGACGACCAUGAUGAUGAUUUGUGGAGGCCGGCCGCAUUAAUUAAGAAUCUUGUAGUUCCCAACCCGCCGCCGCAUGAUGAUAAUAUUAAUAGUAUUAUCGCGAUCCCGGAGUUUUCGUGAUCGGACGCGUUUGAUAAGCGCGGCUCGGCGGGCAACGCGACUGUAUUGUUAUCGUGUGUGUGUGUGUGUACGCGUCGUGUUGGGUCGGUCGGCAGAGUCUUUUUUUUUUUUCUACCUCCCGACCCUCCGAGUAAAAACCGACCGAACGAUCCGACGUACGGUUAAUAACAAUAAUAAUUCAUAACGCGUGGAACCCGAUUGGGUUUCGGGUCGCGACGGCCGUCGAUCGGUCGGUGUGUUUACCCGUCUGCGAACACGCGUCCCCGGACGAAACCGGACACUUUAAUGCAAAAUAAAAAAAAUAAUCAUAAUGAUAAUAAAUAGGCAGUAUUUGCGUACACGUAUAUAUAAUAUGGGUACAGCGCGCUUGUAUUACAACGCAAUGACAGGUCUAAUCGUGCGAAUAAACGUCGGGUUGACGAUCGUUAUCGACCGCGCGCGCGGGUCCACGGCGAUACGUGUUUUUUCCCCUCUUUUGUACCCGAUGCACGAUAUAACACGUGUUUCUCCGGACGGAAUGUCCCGAGGUCUGGGGAUCGACAAUCUGCGACGAUCGACCGUGAAUAACAUGUUACGACCGCCGUCGUUUCGGCGGUGAUGUAUAGGUAUUAUUGGUACAUCUGUUUCCCGAGGCUGUAUAAUAAUAAUAUUGUAUUUUAGUGGUUGAUGGUGCCGGGCCGCGUCUGUAUUACGACGUUCGCGACAACUAACCGCGCGUAGGCGCGCGUCAUAUUAUAAGAGAAGAAAAAAAAAAAGAAAUAAUACUUAAUGGCAUUACGCGGCGGAAGAAGACGAGCGUACAGCGCAGCACUGACGGGAAUGCGCAUAGACGCAGGGCGUGCGGAUAAGGAACGAGUUUUUUUUUUUUUUUUUUUUUAAGGGGCGUAUGCGUAUUACACAGCGCGCGGGCAUUUUCGACGGUCGGCGGCUCGAGACGAGAAAGAGAGAGUACGCCGAGAUGGUUCGGACGCGUUACGAUAAGGGACUAUGAGUCAUCGCGGAGGGUUUAACAGUGAUGGUUUUUUUACGGACGGCCGAUGGGCCGAGGAGGAAAACACGGGGAGAUAAGAGGUUAGAAACGGCCGCGGAGAACGACGCGAGGAGGUGGUGCUAUAACGGAGCGCGUGUGAAGUCGGUGCGGGUAACCGAGUCGAGUGGAGAGUUGUUAGGACCGAGGUGACCGACCCGAAAUAAACGGGAGGAGUGGCGAGAUAGAAAAAGCGCACUUAACGAUUUUACUGCCGCAACGUGUUUACAAUAACAUUAUUGGGAUGAACAGAAGAUCAAGUGAAAAAAAAACAAUGUUUGACGACGUAUGUUGAGCGUCAUCUGCAGAGUAAAUACCCGUCUGUCCGACUGCAGUGUUUGAAAUGUUCGGAAAAUGUCUUAAAAAACUACCGAGCGGAAAUUCGCGUUUUUUCUAUGUUUUAUGGCGUGGAAGUUUCUGAUGAUAUUUACUCCACCCCCCAUACUCAAGCACGUUUGCGCUGGUCCAUUCGAAGCAUAUAAUAUUAUUUCGUAACGAUUUAAAUACAACAAUAUAUUGUCGUGAAAAAUAAAAGAUUGGAAGUACGACAGAUAGUUGAAUGAUAAUUAAAAACAAAAAUAAAAAAAUGCCGUAAUAAACAUUCCGCGUUUAAGAUUUUGCGGCGGUUUUCUACUUGGUAUUUUUCCCGGGACUCCGUCGAACUGCACACCUCGCACGUCUCGUGUGAUGAUUUAGCCGUUGCGACCGUUCGAUCCGGAUUCCUCACAUUUUGGUUUGUAUCGGUUUAACCGUAACGUGUGUUUUUUUUUCUGCUGUGAACAAAUACGACUUCUGUCAGUAAUGUUGUUUUAGUCGAAAACCUUCCCGUAGCCAUUCGUAUCUGGUUGGUACUAGUGAAUUUUUUCCGUUCGUUUAUCGGUGACGGGGAGGGGGGGGGAAACACGAUCGAAAAUCACACGGUUUUCGUUGGCGACGGUUUGUCGCGGUGCACGGACUCUAUCUGCGUACCUCUUACCACAUUCAACUUGCCCGCGCACGUCGGGUGGUAUUAGUCGUUUUUCUUUCGUUUCUCGCCUCCCCCCCCCCCACCCGUAAAAAUCACGGUCUCUCGCGACACGGAUUUUUCGCGAAACGCAAAAAACGUUCGCCGCCGCCGGUCGGCGCGAACCGUUUCGCGCGCGCACAAUAAAAAAUAUAUUAUCAGGGACACCGCGCGCCCGACCGUUACACGCGCAUUUCCGUAACGUGCCGCGUUAUAUGGGCCGACACGCCGGACAAAUGUCGGCGCGGCUCAGCCGUAUCGAUUUCGGAUCGGACCGAAACGCCGUCCCGUGGGCCUGAAUACAGCGCGCGUGUUAUACGCGGUAUACGCACGUCGCACGCACUGCGAAUCGAACAAAGCGAAAUAAAUACAAACGGAUUCCGUUCCGGGCGCUAAACCGUUUCCGACCACCCCUUUCUCCCUUCCCCGCCUCCCCCCGCCACCCCCGCCUUCCCCCGGCCUCCGGCGAAUACAGAAUCAAUUCGGGCGUACCUGCCAUACCGAUACGCGCCGCAUAAUAAUAUUAUAAACUUCCGAAUAUUCUUAUGUACGAGUGUCACGACGGCGUUCGUGUACGCAUAGCCGGCGCAUAUAAUAAACUGCAGUGAAUACCUAAAUUAUUAUAAAAAUUCGAUUAUACGAUCGCCUCGAAAUCCAUUUUUCAAACAAGUACUGUACGACUGUACACAAAGCGUCACCGCCGCGGUAAUAAUUUCGCGGUUCAGCGCGAAACGCAAAUUUGAUUUUUAUUUUUCGCGCCGCCGCCGAAAAAUAAAUUUCGCUUUAACUGUCUAUUCUGCGAAUCGGACGUAUAUUUCGACUUUUUUUUUUUUUUUUUUUAUAAUGAGAUUGAAUUCUGAAGUUUAAUUCAAAACGAAUACCGCGUAUACUUUUCGUCAAUAACACCCCCGCGAUACCGUUUUGAAUAUCCAAUAAACUCCGUACAAUACGCUCGCCCGAUAUCGAUCUCGUUUUGAUUAUUAUGUGUCGGAUGAUUAAACGAUAUUGCACGUCACGUGUCGAUUUCCCACACGCUCGCGUGUUGUUGUGCACAGUACGCGGGUGCCCAUUGUAAUGUCAUACACUCGUAUAAUGUACGCGACGGCGGUAUCGAGAACGCGAAUCGCGCGAGAAAGAUUUCCGAUCGUUUCGACGCGAAACCGACGGUUCCGAUACGCCCCGGCCGGAGAUAUUUGCGGGUUUGAUCCGAGUACUACAUCCGAGCGGAAGAGCCGCCGAAUCGCCCGCGUCCUUACACAUCGCGGUCGAACGUUAAUUUAUCUUUUGAAAUCCGGCCGCACUAUUCGCGCUGUCCGUGACAACCGAAUUGAAUAUUCAAACGGUACGCCGUUUGGGAUUCUGCGCGGAUCGACGAGGAACAUGUGUACGCACGCGGAUUGGUUUGGCCGUACGAUGCGAUGUUUUUUCCCGUGUGACUUUCACACCGGAAAACUCGUUCCGGUCGAACGUUUUUAACGCGAGACUUUUAUUCGGCAAUCGUCGUCGAUUCGGUCGUUGCGUCGGGACGCGGCCGGUUCUUCGCGAUUUCCCUAACGAACCGCGGAAAAACCGAUACACAAAUCGUUUCAAACUUUUCCAAUUAAAUUCGUCGAUUGUUUUUAUCGUUGUCUAGUUAUUAAACUUGACUGAUUAAAGUUUCGAUUGUGUAAACGAGAGUGGAAAACGAACGAUAUUUCUCGAAAAAUAGCAACGCGACGUGACGUGCAAUACAAUUAUUUACCGCGACAGUUUGAUUCGGUGCGUUUCUAUACCUAUUGUACAGCUUAACUUUUCGCCGGAGGCUUAUUCUGUUUAUUUAACUCGGCCUGAUCGCGUCGGUUUUCUCUUGCGUUAACGUGCCGCCCUUUUUGUCCGGGCGUUACGGUCCUUUUCGGAAACGAACACGCACGGCGCAUACGCACCCGCGACGUACAGUGCAUCCUGUGCGUACUGCGUAUAAGAACUGAUAGCUUAUCGGUGUCAUCUGCGCGUGUACACGGGUCUAUGGUCACUUCAUAUUUUUUUUUCCUCCUGGUGCACGUGUAUUAAUAUAACGCAUAACAGGUGUGUUUCUGUAACCGCUUUUCUGGAAGCCGCCGCCAAACACAAUACCAAAAUGAAACGGCGUUUCUUUUUUUCAUUUCUUUUAUGUUUGAUUUUAUAACAUUGUGUACGCGUCCCCGAGUCUCGGAGACGGCGAUUUACAUAAAUCUCACCGGGAAACUCCGCAGCCGCGGCCGACUCUCGUAUCGCGUAUCGCGUAUUUAUACACGCGUUCGCAACAGCAGAUAAUAUACCGAAACGCCUACGACUGAAAUCAGCGAGUCGGCGAAAGUAUUUCCUUUUUUUUUUUUGUCCGUUUGUUUUGCCCCUGAGAAGUGCAAUGUUAUUGCACUCUGCAAUAACAACACGAAAACCGCUGUUCGUCGGAGCGCACACACGAAACGAAAAAAAAUGUGUUUACAUAAAAUUAUACAUCGUAUACAUACAAUUCGUCGUCGUGCGCUCGACGAGUUCCGAAACGAGUCUGCCAUUCCGGUUCAUAAUGUGUUUCGUGUACAAUACGUGCGGGAGCGCAGGAAGAUUAAAAUCUAUGAUAUAUCUUAUUAUUGUACGUUUGUACGUUCUUUUGUAAAACCGGGGGGUUUUAUCGUUUUUUUUUUUCUUUCGGAAAUCGAACACGACCGGUGCGCGUGGGGCGCGUUUCGAAAAUAAAAUGUUUUCGUGGGAAAAUGUCGCGAUAGAAACGUAUAAUUGUUCUGUGAAUGGGGACGGAAACGUUUCGAACGUCGUCGUAUUUUGCGGGCACGGCAUAAACACAAUAAUACAGCGUGUUGUCGGCGGAACAUUAAAAUGAGUGUAGAAGGAGAAGAAGACGAAGAAGAAGAAGAAAAAAAAAAAAAAAUGGACGAAAACGAUUCUAUUAUGUCCGCGCGAGGUUGACAGUCGGCGGAGACUCGUCAGGAGACUCGCGGGGCACCGGCGGCGACGACGACGCGGGUAACGCGCAGAAAAGAAGACAACCUGCGGCCUAUAACAUAAUACGAGUAUUAAUGUACGCGUAUGACGGCGUACGGGAGAACGCGGGGUUUGUUUUAAUGCGUCACCGGACGACAAUAAUAAUAAUAAUGAAAUACAAUGCGGGACGGGAAAAGGAGCGCGCGUUAAAAAACCCGAAAUGAAAAUCCCGCGCCCGCCGAGACCGUGAACAUUACACCGCACAAUACGAAUAUAAUAUAAUAAUAAUAAUAAUAAUAAUAAUAAUGUGACGUCGUCGUUCGACACGAACAAUGGCCUUUUCGAAAUUCCCGCGACUCCGCGAUGCCCCGUUUACGUGCCUCCUAACCGUGCCUACGUGCGCGGUACCUAAACGCCGCCGGGAAGCCCCGCCGGGUACAAUUGGGCGAUAAAAAAAAAAAAAAAUAAAAAAAUAUCCGGCCCCUUCGCGUCCCCAUUGGUCGCCAGCAGCUCCCUCCGACAUGACGAUAUCGCGGCCCCUUUUGUGAUUUUCAAUUUGUCGCGUAAACGCGGUUAUACGGCCGGCGGCGCGCGGUUGUAAAGUGCGCGUACGUAAAAUGGCCCCCGGCCACCCCCCCNNNNNNNNNNNNNNNNNNNNNCCCCCCCCUCAGAAAAGGCCCGCUACUCGUUGCCGAAUACGGCGAUCGCGACGUCUGCGCCCCCUUAAAUAACGAUUGCGUAUUGUACACUGUUCGGGCAGCUACGGUUUCGAAACUUUUUUCCAAAUCCGAUUGUACGACGACGAGCGCGCAUACAAACAAUAAUAACACGCGCGUUAGGGGGCCAGGCGCGUAUUAUAACCGUAUUAACGAACCCCCGGAACGGGCGAACGAAGGUUAUGGCGAACUCUCGAAAACCGUGCGUACAUAAUAUUUAGUGUGAUACACGCGUUACGGAAGUGAUUUUCAUCGCGGGUGUAUCCGAAUCGGUUCCCGUUCGCGAACAAAAAAAAAAAAAAAAAAUAAAAAAUGGCAUUUUACGAAGGCGAACAGUGGCGUAUUUGACUAGGUUUGAUGGUGGGGGGGGCGAGAGUCGGUGACGCUAAAAUUAUUACAAAUGAACUUAUAUUCUGCCCCAUUGAUCUUACCGUGAAGCGUUUUUUUUUUUUUUUUUUUUUUAUUAUCGAGUCUGAUGACACUUUUUCAGCAGAAAUAACGCCUAAACAUUCAGUUUCAAAGGGGAUACCGAGAUUUUCGUGUAUAUGCACGUUACAUUUACGAGAGGGGCGAUCGCCCCCGUCGCCUCCUCCUUCAAAUACGCCACCGAACGUGAGUCGAUUCGGUCGCCGUUUAAACGUGCGACGUAUCCGCCACACCGGUCGAAUCGGUUCCCACUGUUCGCAGUAACACAGUAAAACACGCUGCACAUUUCACUUCCCAUUCUUACGGGCUCUCGACUGUCGACUCAGAAUUGCUCGUAGGCUCUGCACUGGAAGCAUAUCUAGACAGCUGUAUUUUAUAUUCGCGGGUAUACACGGCUUUACGGAUGUACGUGUACUCAAACGGAUUGACGUUAUCUUCUGCGAGUCGAUCGCACUAUUCCGGUAACGUUUUUCAAACGGGAACCGAUUCGGCGUGUAGGGUAUGAGGUCGGGAACCGACUCGCAUACGUCCCGUUUUCGUUUGUAGUUCGUAACGGCGUUUUUUUACCCGCGCGCAUUCACGGUUUUAUCUAUUAUGGCGCGUGUGCGUUUUUCAAUUGUCCGUCUGUCGACGACUGCCGGAAAUCUCGUUUCGCGCUCGAUAAACGACAACAGAGAUUAAUUUUUUUUUCAUUUUUUCCUCCCCCCCCCCCAGUAUUUUCGAUCUAAUCAGAGCAUUAUCGAGGUGCAAUCGUUUUUCGAUUUUCCGAGUAUAGUUUUCGUAAUGACCGGGAACGAAACAACGGAUGAAUUUACGGUAGUAAAAGUUUUAUUAUAUUCGAUUUCGUUCUUCUAUCGGAAAUCUUGAUCUGGCACAUUUUGUUGUAUAGCGUUUGUUCCGAAUGGAAAACUUUUAUCUGGUCGGAUUGGUUUUUGAUUUUCUUCGUAGUUUCAAUAACAGAGAAAACCCCGAAAAAACGGCGCAAAAGUUUACGGGAACAAAGGUUUCAUUAUUUUCAGGCCUGCUAUUUUCACGGAAUACUCAUACCAAUUGUGUUUCCUAAAAGUGAUAAUAUUUUGAAAACACUCUGAUGAUUUUUGAUUUAUAGGUUUUUGAUAAUUUCUAUUUUUUUUUCGCUUCUAUUCGGUCGUACGUGGAUAAAAUUGUUUGAACAUUUAACGCGAGUUUUACACAUACGUUUUAUUUGACGUUUAAAAAAAAAAAAAAAAAAAUAAAGUUAAACGCGAUCCAGUAAUUUUUUUUUAAGCAUUUCAAGCUCGAAUGAAAUGACGGUAUUUAAAAACACGUUUGACCGAACUUCGCUCAGACCGGUAUUCCGUCAGUCAAUGAUUUCUCUGUGUCCGCCACUGCCCACCGCCACACGACAGCGGUGCACUCAUCAGCAGUAUUUAAGUUUUUACUUUCGGUUUCGGUUGUGUGCCCCGAGAUACGCACGGUUUUCGUAGCGCGCGUCGCGGCGUUCAAUCACGGCCUUCGAUCGGGUGUGCGUCACGGCGCGUAAAACACGCGGCGUUUCAAUCGAACCGCCGGGCCGUCCUGUCCGUGAAAACCCGUUUCCCAUUUGAACGGCGAGCGUUAAAGGGCCGCGCGUUCGGCACGCCCGUUGGCGGCGUGUCGCCGGGAGCGAGGCCGCGCCCGAGAAAACCGCGCGUUGCGGCUACGACGUCGUCGGCCGGUCGCGCGGUUACCGUCCCCGGGUGUCCGCGGACAGGCCGCGUUGUCGCGAACCGGCGGCGGACCGCGGUCGUGUCGAACAUGAAUUGCGAAUCGUCCGCGCGGCCGACAACGCGAUCCGGGGAAAUGCGCGCGCGCCGCGGCCGGGGACUUCGCGCGCACGGUCCACAAAUAUGAACGCGGGCCGACGGCGCCGCGUGAUAAGCCGGCGCUCCCCCUCUCGGCGUUCUCGAUACUUAAUUUCACGAUUAUUAUUAUUAUCGGCCGCGGUCACGUGUUGAGCUCUCUCGCGGGACUUGUAAAAUCAAUUGCCGGGCUUCCGGCAGUCGUUCGGUGCUUGCAGUUAUCGGCGCGAGUACGCGCGGCGGGCGGCACGCCGUAACCCCUUGUACACCGGCGUUACGUUCCUCCUCGGCCGCCGCAAACGUUCGAAACGCAAAUAAUCGGUUUUCACCAGCGACAAAACGCCACCUGUCCGUAGCAAUAUUUUCUGUCGCGUACACGAAUACUGUAAAACCCGCAAUCGCCGUUUGAGAAAAUGUCCGUUCGGCACCAUAGCGUCGAAUCUCGGCUCGUUUGAAUACUGUGUAAAUAUCGAAAUGCAACGCGUCUGACGUUGUAAAGUUUAGUUUCCGUACGACGUUGUCGCAGUCGUUUGUUUGUUUUUUCUCGCGUAAAUGACGAUAUUUCACCGCGGCCGCUCUAUAACGUAAAUGAAGAUCGAAUGUAUAUUUGUAUAUUUUUUUUAAUUUCUUUAUUAUGUUAAUAUCAUUCCGAUACGUUUCGGUGUUUUUUAUCGAAUAUACGUUGUAUUGCCAUAUCAUACGUGCAUAUAUUUAUAUGGGAACCCGCUAUGCAUUAUAAAGCUCGAGGAUAAUGUAAAAAGAGACGGUUCGAUUUAAAAAGUAAAAAAAAAAAAAAAAUCGGUUUGAAUAUUGCUUUCAAAUACAUUCGCAAUACGAUUACGUGUACCUAUCGUGCACUUAUACGUAUACUUAUAUUAUACGCAUAUGCUGGGCGUACACUCGGCCGUCGAUUAAAUUAGACGUGUGCUUGUCCGCUUGGAAUUAUAAACUCAGGGUCUGCGCGCGCGAGCGAUUUUUAUCCAUUGAUAUCGCGUAUACCGUUUCGGCAUUGAAUUUUCCGCGGGGCUCGUAUUAAAAAGAAAAAAAAAAAAAUAACAUUAGAACGAAAUAUUGUAACACGAUGGAAUAUUAUUAUUUUACUAAUAUACGUGAACCGAUUUACCGUCUACGCAAUGGCCGAUGCCGUUUUAUUUACAUACGUUUUGUAAACCCGCAAUUGCGUGCCGCCGCUAUAGACGUAACACUACGUGUGCGCGAUCUAAUUAUCGUUAUUAGCGAACGGAUUUGUAUGCACUUAAAAUUCACAAGAGCUUAUGAACGUCGAGAUAUCCCCGAAAAAAAUCGCAUCAAAAAAACGGCAGAGGAGUAUUUGAAGUCCCCCUUCACUAAUGGCUCUGACUUAGUAAAAGUAAUUUUCUAACGCUGCGAAAACGAUCAACACGAGUAAUUAUCAAUUUAAUACGGUUAGCAACGUUAGAGGGGAGAGACUUUUAAGCCCUUCUUCUACCGCUUGUUCUUUUUUUAAAUAAUUGUACGCGAUUAUUUUCAGAACACUUUUGACGAUUUUAAUAGCUUUUUUUUGCGGAUUUUAAAUGCACAUAAGAACCAGUUUCCUGCGGUUAUACGGUCAAAUUUAAUGGCGAGAACGUUGGCUGUGUUUGCACGUUGGUUUUUCUUUCGGUAUUUUAAUCUUCAAGCGAGUUACGGACGCGUGACAUACUAAAAUAUCUAAAAAUCGUUUUGAAAAUUAAAAUCCAACAAAUACCGUCCGCGAUAUCAAAAACAUCGCGUAAUCGGUUAAAGUAUGUGUGUGACGGCAAUACCCUCGGUUUCGCAACGUUAUCAACAGUAACGUAAUAUUAGAAUCUAGAUACGUUUAUCUGAUAACAGAUAUAUUUCGAUCUUUUAUCUCGUCUGCAUAGACAAACGAGAAACGAGUUACCCGCGAUAGAUAAUACCGCCCCCGAAUCGCCUCGAUACGUUUAUUUUCAGUGGUAAUUUAUGUAUUAUUAUUAUUAGAAAUACAGUGGCGUUUUAGGUAAAAAAAAAAAGAAAAAAAAGAAGCGAUUUAUAAUGAUAUACACCACAGCUGUGUCCCGCCCGUGCCAAAAUAAAUAACAGACAAAUUAUCGUUAUAUGCUAUUGCGGCCAUUGCGCCGGACUACCUCGCCGUUUGUUUUUCGUUUCAUUUCGUUCGGUUCGACUAACGAUUCGUCCUACCGAAUAUUAAUAACCCCGUGUCGAUCCCCGUUUCGGCGGGGUACAGUAGGGGAACAGGGGGUGAGUAACCGUCAGUGUUAUUCCCGCGGGUCUAGGACCAUGGGCCUACGAAAAGCUUCGGCUCAAUCCGUACACGCGACAAACGAAGCGGUAACGACACUCGCGUCCGCGGACGAACUUUCGCAUUUAUAAUAUCAGUGUUAUUAUUAUUAUUUAGAGUUGAACGAGUAUCGUUUUUGAAUGUCGAGUCGAGUCGAGUCGAGUUUCCAUUAUUUCGAGUCGAGUCGAGCUCAAAUGUCGAGUACUUGAAAACGUUCGAGUACUAAAAAGAAAGUCGAGUACUCGAUAAUUGCCGAGUCGAGUCGAGUUUCAAUAAUUUCGAGUCGAGUAAAGUUCAAAUAUCUAGUACUAAAAAAAGUCGAGUACUCAAAGACAUAACAUAAUUUGAAAUGGGUCGAAUACUGGGAAUUGCUGAAUUAUUUGUAAUUAUGCUCGUAAAUGAUUUUAAUUUUUUCAAUCUUUCAUAAAAAUCUUGCCCNUGCAAGUAAUUUUUAUACUACCAUAUUAGUUUAUUAUUUAAUAUUUACUAUUUAGUAGGUUAUAGCUAAUAGGUAUAGAAAAAAAAUGCAAUAAUUAUUUAAAUUAAACAAGAAUUGCCUUUAUUUAUUAAUGAAUUAUCUAAUAUCUUUAUCAUCAUAAACUAGUAACUACAAAGUAAAAAAUAUUUAAAAGUUUAAGCAUAGACUACAUUAAAAAUUUUUAACAUUUAUUUUCCAAUAAAAUAGUGAAACGAGUACUCGUUGAAGUCGUCGAGUACUCGUAUGUAUGAGUACAAAAAAAAAUUGUGUUGAGUCGAGUCGAGUACUCGAACUCGACUCGAAAAUAUUUCCAAUUUCGAGUACUCGCCCAACUCUAUUAUUAUUAUUUAAUUAUGUAAUAACCGCACGAUCGUUUUGAUAUUUAGACCACAACCGCGCACACCUUCGUCAUUAAAACUCGUAUACCACCCGCAGUCGCGUGGAUAGAUUAUGAACGAAAUUAUCUUUUUUUUUAUUUUUUUUUUUUCUAUCUAGAUAAAGAGUUUAUGAUUUUUUUCUUUAUCUUUAGCUAGGCAAUUUAAAAUCUACUCGCGUUCGACACCGGCAGUAACGGCGUUUUUUUUUUUUUUUUUUUUUUUUUUUAGGUUUUAUUUUACUGUUAAUAUUCAAAGACGUUGGAAAUAAAACGCGUUACGACACUAUACACUACCUACUAUAUAUACUUGUUGACGCGUAGUCAGGAUUUAAAUGAAAUUAUCGAACGUUGUUUUGUUUUUGUUUUUUUGUAGUUUUUGCGCCUUUAAUUCACUUUUUCAACAUUAACGAAAUUCCACGAGGUUAUUUUAACCGACUGUAAAAAAAUAUAUAUACACAAAUAUACGUAAAUAAACCGAAGCAUUUCGCACCAUUAUCAUAAUGGAAAAUACAAAAAAAAAAUAAAUAUGUUAAUGCACUUUGCUGCCCGGACCACCGAAAUGAAGUGUAAUUAACGCAUCCAGUACUCGAGCAGAGUAUUAUUUAUAAAUGGACUCUUUGAAUUAUUAUUUUUUUUUUCUCAAGAAAAACGACAAGACACCGUUUUUCCUACGCGUCACAAUGAAAAAUGAAAUAAAACGCGCACCGGGGUAAAGUAAAAAUAAUAAUCCUAAAAUAAGCCGUCGUUGUUCGCGCAUUCUUUCCCACUCGAAACGUUUUAAGUUUUUAAUCCCCCGACAAAGAAAAUAUUAUAUAAAUCCGGCGACGUUCCUUAUGAUAUUUUCGUUUAGACGAUUCUAUUGCAGCGUGUGCGAUUUCAAACUCUCUAAAUUAAAAAAAAAAAAAAAAACUAUAGCAAUUAUUGUCAACCCCGUAUCCUUUUUUCUUCUCUCUCGGUUGACGGGCCUUUUCGUUAGAUACAAACGCCGGAAUUCGGCAAAAUCGGCACCUAUACCGACCAAUAACCUAACCAGCGCGAUUUUUCAAUUAAAAACUACGACGAAAACCCGCGAGUAUACAGUCAGACGGGUCAAACUGCCGAUUAACCACGAACAACGACAAACGUCGAACUUCGAAUUAUCGGCGGGUACACAUCGUUUUUCGUCCGGUUUUAAACAUCAUCAACGAGCAGACACGAAUUCGAAACGUUCCCCCGGAGUACCUAACCUAACUUAAAACAUGUAAAGAAUUUCGUUGGUGCCGGGUAUGUAGGCCUUAAAUAAAUGUUGAACGGUCUUCGAUAAAUUUUGGACAAUUGAUAAUCGACACAACGUCCCGUAACUUCUGUUCGGCCGAACCUACACGGCUGUCGUGUAUUAAUGUUACAAAACUUGUGGUUUUUUUUUUUAUUUUUGCUAAAUUAAAGUAAAAGUGAAUUAUGAUGUAUUGGUUUUCAGUACGGCACGUGUUGGAAUAUGGGACCAAAGGUUUAAUAUUGUUAUCCCGUUUUUCUUUUUUCAUGACAUUUGAAGCUUUAACAAAAAAAUAUUAUUAUUGUUUACAUACUUCUAUGUUAUAUAAACGGAAUUUAAAAAAGAACCAAUUACGUGCAAAGUAACGUGGAAUCGUAAACAAAUAAUAUAUUUUUCAUCAGUUAGAAUAUUCGUCAUCGUUUGAUUGUGUCCUUAAUAAAUUGUAUGAAAUAAUAACGACAAAGGAAAAAAACACACGGUGUACGUAUUGCUAUUUUUUUCAUUUCUUAAAAAAUGAAACAACAAUAAUACAAAGGUAUAUUUCACUCAAGUGCCGGUUAUAUUUCGCAUUGCGAAAAACGUAAGUACACUUUAAAAACAUAAUAUUUGUACCAUUGUAGACUGUCUAACGAAAUAAAUUUCAACGGAAGCAGUCUUCGUUAUUACUGCAAUAAUAUACCUACGAGUGCAGGUAUAAUAUUUUUGACGGAACAAAUAAUAAAUAAAUAAGUAGCUUAAAAACACACAAUCAACAAUUUUGUCCUCUUUAGAUACUCGGCGGAGUGAACAAUAAAUUGGCUUUACUGCGACGGGUUUUUUUUUUUUUCUUUUUUGUGUAACUUUCCUAUCAGAAACCUCGAACCAAUCAAAAACUUUAUACGGGAACUUUGUUGUAGAAUUCUCGAUCCAGGCGGCGCGUUGUACGGGCCGUACUUCGUUGAUUUACCGUGCGGUUUUCGUAGCAAACGGAAAACCGGGCGACUGUUUGCGCGGUUCUUAUUCGAUUUCUCGCGUUAUCAACUAUCUGUUGGCGCAAGGGAAGGAAAUCCGACUGAUAAUAUUCCGCUCGGGAUCGUUUUUCGAUCCGGGCGGUUUAUCGCCGGGUACGGACGUAAAUCGAAUCACGCUCUGCGGCGCGGAAUACCGUCCGCCCUGCCCGAUCGCCUCCCGAAACAGCCGGCACAACCGUCCGUACAGUAUGAGACUUUUAUUUAUUUUUGUAUUUUUUUUUUUUUUGAUUUUUUCACCGGACGUAAUAUUCGAUCGUGAUAAAACGUCAUCAAAUAUACCGACGGGACAACAAACAGCCGUUUGGCCGUUGAACAAAACGGUUCGUUCCGUUUGCAUUGCGCGCAGGGCGCAAUGUUGUACCGGGGUGUCCGACGGCGGCCGGUAAACGGCCGACGGACGACAGUGUUGCGCGAACGGACGAGCCGACGGCGGGAAAAAAUUGUAUUAUUGUAAUUAUCGCGGCCGGUCGUCGUCUACGGCGCGCGCGUGCCGGAAAACGGCUCCGGGCGGCGGCCCCGUCGGGCAUUUCGUAAGCGGCCGUCGUCUCGCGCGCGCCAUCCCGAAACGUUCCGCGAACCACCGGCGACCGCGCGAAUACGGACGAGUUAAUUGUGUUAUCGCGCACCGCGUUCCGCGACGGCCGUUAUUUCGUAAACGGAAACGUCCCGUCGGACUCGAACUCGUCGACGCGCGUAACCGAAAACAAAACAACCCGACGGGACGCGGGCGCGAUGAAAAACGCUCCGUUAGCGGCCGCAGAGCUGUGCCGCCAGAGUCGGAUUUCCGCCCGCGCCCGUGUCGUGCAACGAAAACGCCCCGGUCCGGAAAACCGUGUCGUCCGGCCCGGCAGCGGCGCGGACGACACGGUUUUCCGUUUUCCGCGAAAAUUCGACGACGGCAAGUCGCAAAACGCCGCGCGCAAUUCGCUCAGGCGGCAGACGCGCCAGUAAGCCGCCGCUGUACGCUCGCGGUUACCAGUCGCGGCCGGUCGGGGCCGGCGGUAGACGACCCGCGACGCGCUGGGCGUUAUGCAUUUCAACGCGCGUAGAUCGGACCGUUUCAACAGUUUGUCGCCGUGCAAACCGACAAACCGCGCCGGGCCGACGUUACGUACAGGCGCACGGUCGAAUAUUAUCAAUUCAUUAUCACGGUCGUGACGGUCUCCCACGCGUCGCGUCGCGUCACAAUAGUGUUGUUGUAAUAAUAUAACAAAAAGUCUCUCUCCGGUCGUGUCGAACAAUACGAUACGUGUGUACGACGGCGACGAGAAAUCAAUCAGACGUAAUAUUUGUGAAGUGUGCAGUGCACAGCGUAAUGUAUACGGUCUAUGAUGGACGUCGCUGCGGAUAAUGUACUGUAAUAACGAUAAUAUAUAACUACUGGCUGCUGCUGCUGCUGCUGCUGCUGCUACCACACGACCGCUACAUAUCACGGGUGUAAUAAUCGAAAAAUAAUAAUCGGUUCGUUUACGGGUAUCAUUGUUAAAAAAAAAAAAAUACCACAAUAUUUUGGCCGCCGCCGUCCACUUAAUACCGUGACCGCCGACCGGACCAAUUGGCUGCUUGGUGGGUGUUCCGUACGUAACGUGCACGUAAUGCGUUCGUCCGUCGGAAAAUACGAUGUACACGUCUCCCGCGUCCGUACCCGCCUAAACGUACUUACUCUGUCAGAACUUUGAUUCAGCGUCCACCUCCACACACACACACACACACACACACACACGUCUCCCCCCGCCGCCAAUGCGCUCCGUCUACGCGACACACACCGUACGAUGUUAUACACGUACGAAUACACGUAAAUAUUCGCGUCUGUCACGUUUCGCGGGGUAUUUCCCCCGCCCCCUCCCUCUAAAAUACAAUCGUCGGAGACGACGCACGCGCACACGCGCGCUCGUUAAACAGACAACAAUCGUUGUAUGCGACGCGCAAUAUUUUACGCGACGACUGCCCGCCGGAUUCGUCCCGGAUGCCCGCGGAGCGUUAUAUUUGUGCAUUUUUUUCCGCGGUUCCCCGUGUCGUCGGGGAACAAAGCUGCGAAAAAAUCAUCGAGCAAUUUGUGCGAUUCGUAUAUUGAAAUUCAAUUCAAACCACUCUUAUUGUGCCCGUGCAAUUUGAGCUGAUUGUUCGGUCCGAAAGCGAUUCGCCGCAAAAGUAUAGCGGGAAAAAGAAACGGACAUACUUUGCACGAUGGGUGGGCCGCUGUUGUAGGCGAGAAGUCGGGAGGCUGCAGGGUAUCGAACGGAAUUUAACGUAGAUCUGUAGACGACGGUUAAUCUUUGCUAACGGAAAACGAUUCUGAACGCAGUUCGCAUAGACGUAUUUCAAAAGGUCGUAAUAUUUACAAUUUGAAAAUAAUAUAUUUCGUGCGUUUUCCCCGUUCACCAUGAAAACCUCUGGAAAUUUCCAAUAAAUUACCUCGUUUAAGUACCAGUCGGGUGAGAUUUGCUUUCGGAAAAAGUGCUGCACUUGAUAAUCGGAGCGGAACUGCCGGUAAAAAAGUCGUCCGCGGAAAAAUAAAUAAACAUCGUUGUGAAACCUGCCAUACGGACCUCGCUCCGUUCAGAAUCUAAACGAUACGCGCGUACGUGUCAUAACGACGGCGCAUUAAGUCUCUAUACGUUUUCCGGGUGAAUUCGCCGAUAAAAAAAAAAAAAAAAAACCCCCGUUAACAGACGCGCGGUGAUUUUAUGUAAUAUGAUUUUUUUGCCCGUUACAUUAUUGUCGCGUGCGAAAAACACCUGCAUUUCGCGCGAGGGUGGAAAGGAGGGGGGGGCAGGGUAAAUUGAAAGUGUUGCUCGGUGGGUGUACGUCGUACACCGCAUGAUAUAAUAUUAUAAUAAUACGCGUGUACGGCGGCUAGCUUAUUAUAACGUCACACGAUUAGGUUAUCCAUCGUCGUCACGUUUUUUCUAUCGGGGGGUGGGGGUGUGUAAGGGGAGGUUGUUUUUUUCCACGUAAUAUUAAAUCAUGUCGUUUUAAUCAACGGCGGCGGCGCGUAUAUUAAAACGAGAACGGACCUUGUUCGCCUUGUUCGGACGCGCGCACGCGCGCGCAUAGUAAAAAUAAUAUUUCAUACCCCGUAAUACUCGGGGGUCACGUGUAAUUAAAAAAAAAAAAAAAAAAAAAAAAAAAAAUAAUAUCGCCGGCGUACCUUUAUAUUUAUGUGUAUAUACGCGUACGUACACUGUUCGGUCGAACGAUUGCGCGGCAGUUAUAUGGUGCGGCGUAUUUUUCUUUUUUUUUUUCCGUUAACCACCCCGUAUACGCGUGGGUAUACCUAUGUUACGUGCGCGUACGGGGCAGCGCCUGCAAUAUUAUAUUAUAUAAACGACCCGAAAGACCUUUUGCGUCGGCCGUACAUUAUAGGCGGGUUCCGGCCGUACGUACUCGGACUUGGCACGCACGAGUCUCGAACGCGAUGCCGUAUAGAGGCAGGCGUACGUUGACGAUUCGGAAAUUUAAAAAAAAAAAAAACACACAACAACCGACCGUUGCUAUUAAUUAUAGAUAACAUCUGAGCCGCGUGACGCGAUAUCGCGGCGCGGCCAUAAUAAUUGCGGCGCGGCUCAUUGUGUACACUCGGUACAUACGGCUCGGCGUGUACGGUACGGCAACGGCAAUAAUAACAGUGCGCGCGCGUGCAGGUACACGACGCCGGCGACCGCAACGGUUGUUUAUAUUUUAAAGGCACGCGGAUUUUCGUACGCGCAAAAGCCCGACGGGGGUUUACGACGGCCCGCGGCGGAGGAAAACGUUAAAUUUCCGCGGGUCCGAGGCGCGCGCGCUGUGAUCGUGGGCGCUGCGAGCUGUACGCAACGGGCGGAUUCGCGUCUUCGGGACGCCCGUCGUUAUUGUCGGCACCCGGUCGCCGAGGCUUCGCCGGCGCGUCCGCGGCCGCGGAAACCCGAAACGUUAUCGCGGCCGGUCGGCGAAAACCGUUCCGGUGUCAAAGGCGCAGAUGGACCGCGACCGGUCGUGACGGCUCUCGGUCGAAAACGCUGCGUCGUACGCGCCGCGGGCGGGACGCGACGUUCCCCGGUGACGGGCGGCGGGUAAAAAAUAAUUCCCCGUGCGCGGCGACGGAUUCCGCAGCCGCGCGUCCUCCCCGGGGAGGGGGGCGCGCGCACGAAGGACGCGGCGGACGACGGUGUCUAGGGCGCGGAGGACGUUAUAUAUCAUAUCGUUAGACGGGAUAGCGUUUUUUUUUCCCGUCCGACCCGUCCGCUCCCGUUCGCCCGUCGGCACGCACGCGCACAUAAGUCUCGCGGUGGCCGAGAGAACACGCGAAAAUUCUUUGCGCGCGCGAGUAAAAAAAAAAAAAAAAAAAAAAACUGUCGUGUGCCGUUAAUUUAUCAUUCGGUCGCGUUUGGAACGCACGCCACGAAUUCGACCGCCGCCGUCCCGGGGUAUCGCAAAAAUAUCCGCUUGUAUGAAAAAAGAAAAAGAAAAAAAAAAAACAAAAACUCGAGAAAAAAAACUUCGAGAAUUGUAAUAAAGCGCCCGCACGAAACGACGCAGCGGCCGCGGUGUAAUACUGCGCGUGAGGGGAAUGCGAUGACAAUUUUUUAUGUUUUUUUUUAGUUUUCUCUGGAUUUUUAGAUUUACGCGGCGAAAAUGAUUUAACGAGUACCUCUACCUACCUGUUAUUUACGAGCUACGCGCGAAUGGAAUAAAAAAAAAAAAAUAAAUAACCCAAUAGAUGUAUUGAUAAUAAUAAUAAUUUGCCCUCGGAGUCGAGGGGGAAAAAAAAAAAAAAAAAUCGGGUCUUUUCGUCUUAAACGUGUUUUUCACAGUAUCGUAAACGAACGUGUAUUUCCCGAUAUUUUUCGCGAACAUCGUAUUGUUUAACGAACGAACAGAAACCGUAUAAAACGUAUCUCCGGUCUGCCGCGGAACGCCGUGUUUGUCGUUGUAAUUGGAUACCGUCGAACGUUUAAACAACAGUUUUACAAAACGAUACAAUCGGACUCGUCCGAACUAACUGACUAACUAACUAAACUAACUAACUCUCCGAGUCUGAUCAAAAUAAAACUGUAUUGACGCGCCGACUUUAAUAUUUUCUCUCGCCGCCAGAUGCAGUUUCAAUCCGUAGAACGAUUUUCCCGCCGUCUUCCUCCUCCGCGCUAUUCGUCCGCUACAUCCUUUUCAUUUGUACACACGAGUCGCGUCCCCGGGUGCUUUGUUAACCGCCGGACGUGUACGGUACGGCCCCGACCCCUCUACGAUCCGUUCCCUCUUUUCUAUAAUUACUUUUAACGAUCCCGGGUCUCGUCCGUCAAAUUCCGCCUUCAUACUGCAUGUUCGCGCAGUUUAUGAUAUGCACGGCGACGGGCAUUUCCCAUUGACGUCCCGGCUUUAAUCAACGAUAAAUUUUUUAAAUUUUCAACCGAUUUCACCGUCGCGCUCGACCCAGGCAACAGCAUUACCUGUUCCCUCGGGCCUACGACGCAGCGCGCGCAGGGCCACCGGCGCGCUUCUCCGUUCGCUCCCGUAGCUCCCCGUUCCUUGGGCCACGAGUCCGUCCGCCCCCGCCCCCCCCCGCGUCUCUCGCGUCUCCCGUGUAUCCGAGAACUUUCGCACUUCAAGUCCGCGCACACGUAUCCGUUAAAAUAUAUGACCGCGGCCGACGGGCUCGGACGUACACACGUGCAAUACGGACGCGGGUUCGCGUGCACCGCAUUAGGAAAUUAAACGCGGGCGCCAAUAACGACGUGUAGCGUACCGCCGGCCCCCGGCACGCGCGGAGCGAUUGGGCGGUCGGGGGGUCGGUCGUAUCGCGGGUCGUUUAAAAACGUCGACGGAAAGUUUUACGAUGACGGGCCGCACUUAAACCGAUGCGCGCUCGUUUAUUUCCGGCGCGGCGGUGGCGGCGUUACGCGUGAGAAUACGCGCGUCUGAUGCGCCGCGACCCGCCGCGACCUGCGCCCGCCGUCGUCGAGAAAGUCCGUCCCGCGGCGCUUUCCCCGUUUCUCCGGUUUCUCCCCGAGGAAAAGCCGUCGCGGAUAUCCGCGAACACGCGGACGCCGCGCGUGUAGCGCGUAACGUAUAAACGCGGCCGCCGCGCCGUCGUUAACGACCGCCGCCGUCGUCCCCUACACGCGCACACACACGCGCACACUACCCCGAGGUCCUACACGGUUCCUUUGACCGUGUGACCCAAAUGUUCGUCUACGAGAACGCGCGCACACACACACACACACACACACACACGGCGGCCGAGCGUAAUGAAUUUUUAAAUUAUAAACUGAACAAGGUCUUUCGUGUAGAAAAAAAAAAAAAAAUGGAAAUUAUAUACACAGAUGAUAAUUGUGACGGUAUAUCAUACCGGGGGGGGACGGAGAGAUGCACGGAUUGCGGGAGUAGGCUAAAAACUCUUUAAAUAAAAAAAAAAAAAAAAAAAAGACUGACGCAUAGCUCGCACGAUGAAUGGCCCACUGGUGUAUAGGUGAGAAGUUGGAAAGGUAAUUAUAGAGGGCAAAUUUAAUAACGAUUAAUCAUUGCUAACGAAAAGCUAUUCUGAACGCAGUUCGGUUGUACGUGUUUUGAAAGGCCGUAAUAUUUACGAUAGUACAUUUUUAUAAAUGUUCCUGCGUUUUUUUUUCCCAUUUAAUAUGAAAACCACCGGGGAAAUCAAAUAAAUACGACAUCCUUUCGGUGUCACCGCACUCAAAUUUCCUUUUUAGAAAAAGUGCUCCGCGCUUGAAAAUCGGAAACGAAAUUGUUCGAUAGAUUAGUGGUUCAGAGAAAAAAAAAAAAUAAUAAAAAUAUAAACAUGAUUUCAAAACCCAAUACGGUUCUCGCUCCGCGCAGAAUCUAAAACAACACCGCGCAAAUCCGCGCGAAAGGUCGAAAGAAGAUAAGCGUCGGGGUUUUUUUAUUUUUUUUUUUUUUCGUUUCAGUAUAUACACACCUAUGUAAAUUAUUCGGCCGUAAAGGUUGUAUUAUCAUAGGCGUAUUAUAGCGGUGAUAGCGAUGCUGACGGUGCAACGUCGCGGCACUCUCGCGGAUAGUGCGGCCGACGGAGAGAAAACAAAUUUAAAAAUCCCGACGGCAGCGGCGGCGAACCGUUCGGCCGGAUCCGCGCGGGGUUUUUAUUUUUUCUUUUUCUCUCUCGUCCCGACAUAACGGUUUUUACAUUGCACGCCGGCCGGACGAGAACAGUGAUAAAACACGAAUCGGUAGUGUUUACUGCGUAUUUACGUUUUAAAAAAUUUACGGGCGUGCGGUUCGUGUCGAUACCGAACUACACGUGUGCGUACAUACACGUAUAUUAUAUUGUGGGCACUGCGCGCGGUGUUUAUCGCGCACUCGAAUCGGAUUACGACGAGUGGAUUUUACCACGAGCGCGAAAUAAUAAUAAUAAAAAAAAAAUAAUAAUAACAAAAACCCCGCCGCGGAAUCGAACGUAUCGUUUAGUCGCGACGGCGCGCCGCGUUGUAAACCGCGAACAAUUCAUCGGACGUUUACGACUUUUGUACCUACGGGACGUUACGUGACCGCGGCGUGAGACUCGCGGAUCGACAGACGGCAAUAUUACACCGACUCGAAUGAGCCGAUUCGAGAGCUCAAUGAAAUGGCCAAUGCGAAUCCGGGUGCGAGCGCGUUUUUAGAUUCCGAGCUGGCAAUGCGCCGAUUUCUUGAAUAACAAAUCGGAAAAACCGGACACUGCUGUCGAUCCGUCGGGGUUACCCCGGCAACCCGCGCGCGGAUCGCGUUUCCGCUGGUGCGUAGCGGCUCGUCGUUUCCGUGUACGCAUAUCAAUUUGAUUGCUCCGCCAUGCGUUCUCCGCUUUGACCCGCCACUAAAACAGUGGCACGAAAUCGAAUCGGUCAUGUUUGCGCGCGAAUGAAGAAUCGCAUUGGCAAGUUGCGAUAUUUAAAAAAAAUAAAAAAACACCGUGUUGUUACGCGCGGACGCGAACGCGGGGCGGCCGGUGUUUUUUGUGCGGCGGCGCCCCCCCUCCCGGGCGGGCGGUACGCGCGGGGCGGACGACGGUGACGCGCCCGGAUUGCCCCGUCCGAUUGUCCGGGAACCCGAUUUCGAAUUUUUGAUUAAUGAACCGGGGGGCACGCUGAUUGCGUUUUACAAUAUCGUUACGUUGUUGCGACGCACACGACGCCGCGUACGCCGUGUGUGCGCUGUAUAACACGGUUGUCGGUCGGUAUUAUUAUUGUUGUUAUUAUUAUUUUUUUCAUUUUUUUUUUUUUCCGUUCUGGAAAUUUUCGGGUAAAAAGGGUUGUUUUUCGAUGAUUGAGCGGUCGUGCCGGGGGGAGGAGGGGGGGGGGGGGGUGCGACACGAGGAACCGAACGUCACAACAACAACGCGGAACGAUCCCCGCGCGCCGUUACGCACGAGUUUUGACAACAAUGGCCCGCGGAAACGCCGCGGAGAUACGCCGCGCAUGCGUUAAUGAUAACACAUUGUUAUUGUUAUUGGGCGCGCGCGUGUGGUCCCGUCGUCUAGUGUGAUACGCGCGGCGAGUAAAAAACACAAAAAAAAAAAAAGAAAAAGAAAAAACACCGACAAUCUAAACAUUAUUACGUCGACGAACAUCGCGCGUGUUAUUGUCGAGCGGGCGCGCCGGAAUCCGGAAACGUGUACGGCGUUUUGAAAAUGGGAUUUUUCGAAAAACGAAACGAAAACGCCAAAUAUACGGGACGCGCGCCGUUGUCGCAGCAGUACGGUUGCGCGCGUUCGGUUCGCGACACCGUAACGUUUGCGUUUUUGGAAAACGACCGCAUCCCCGAAAGCGCGGCCCCGGUCGCGUGUCCUUUCGGGGGCGCCGAGCGCCGCACGCGGAAACCGGAGCCGGUACGGAAAAACCGUCCAACGGUACCGGACGCAUACGAGGGCGUCGUCGUAAAACCAAACGUGUUUUGUACCGCCGGUCCGCCCGGGAUCCGAGCUGCCGGCGGUGGCGAAAUCGAAAAAUGCCGUUUUUCCCGCGCGAUUUCGGCCGAGAAACGGCAAUCGGGUCCGCGACGGGGUCCGAAACAAAGCCGCGGCGUCGAAAGAUCAAACGUACAAAUACGUAUAUUUUUAUUUAUUUUUUUUUUUUUUUUUCAUUUCAUUUUAAUUUUGGACACGAGUUAUCGCGAGGACGUUUUUUUUUUUUCUCAUCGAUUUUCCUAACAGUUUUGACAAACGAUUUACACCGAUUGCGUAGACGAAUUAAGAAUGACGUCUCGAAAAAUCGAUUAAGUCUCCACGUGUUACGCUCGGACCGUGCGCGAGACUGUUAGAUGUGUACGCGAAGGGCGAUUUUUCUUUUUUUACGUACAUUAGAAACACCCGCACAUUAGUCCGGAAACCGUUCGGAAACUUUUCGAAAUCGGUAACCCGGAGCUCAAAUUUCUGCGUACGAUGUGUACGUGUUCAAUACUCAAACACUUAAACGCUUGAACUCCACCGUCACACGGGUUACCGACGAAACCGACGUUACGUCACGGUUUUUUCGAACCAUUAGCGGGCGUUUUUUCCGCGGCUUUUUUCCCCUGCUCGUUCGAAACCCGCCACCGAAAUGUAAUGACGGCCGUAAUCCGAAAUUGCACGUGCGUUUGUUCGAGUUCGGACCGUUCGCCGAUUUCGACACCGAGGUGCGGGGGGGGGGGGUUUCAGUAGCAGUCGAAAAUACGCGGUUCGCGCGUUUCCAUAGCGCAGACAUAGUGCGAUUCUCGACACGGGUUGUAGGCAGCACGCGAAACACACACGACCCGGCGGCACUGGCAACGGUUUCCGCGAAAAACCGCAAUCAGUCGGGUAAAAUUUAUACCGAUUUUCGGGCGUUUCGAAGCGAACCGUUUACGGGGGGACGGGUGGGGGGGAGAGAGGGAUUCGCUUUGAGAGGAAAAAUCCAGCGAAACGUCGUUAUCACUCGUGUCCACCACCACCACACCACCCCCCCGGGAACGCGGGCGUUUCGAUUUCGGCCUACUCGCAGCGUGCGUUAUUACUGCACGCCGCGCAGGUAUAUGGGCGAAAAUUCGAUUAAAAAAAAAAAAAAUAAAAUAAAUAAAUAAAUGUAAUAAUCGAUACCGAAGGCCGGCCCGCGCGCUAUCACGCUUCACUCAACUCGGCGCCGAACGCGUAUUAUAUCGUAUAAUUUUGUAAAAGUAUAAAUUAUGUAUGGAUCAUAUAGCUGGCGUGGGUAGAAAAAAUGAAAAAGAAAAAAAUAUAAGAAAAAAAGACGAUAAAAAACGAUUUCGGCAGCCGAUAUCGCGCGGAAUUGCAAUUUAGUCGCACGUAUGCGGGGUUACUCUGUAACACGGCCGUGUUUGCAAUAUUUUCUUUGCGGAUUUUUUUUUUUUUUUUUUCGUUUUCCGACGAAAGUUCACGCGCACACGCAUUCGCAGCAUUUUACCUACCGCGUACGUUUUAAAUUACUUACGUGUCUAUAAAGUCGCGGCGAGCGAAUAAAACUUUUUUUUUUUUCCCGGACCGUUUUUUACAAUCGUAAAAAGUGGCGUCCACUUACACUAAAACGAAAACCACGACGCGUUGUAAAACCGAAUUUCUCCCGCGCAACACACUAAUCUAAAUCUAUGUGGAAAAAAAAAAAAAAAAAAACUCUGCAAAAUAAAUAGGUACGCAACACGUUAUUGGCAAUAAAUGUUCAUCGAUUGUAUCGAUGCGCGUUUGUAAACGUCGAUUGCGCAGUAAUGAUUUUAUCAAAAACGCGAAAACGAACGGUAACGAUGUUUACCGUGCUCGUGUCCCGUCGACAACACCCGAAAACCGUUUGACAAAACAACCCGGGCGUACCGCCGUCGCGAGGCGGACAACGGUUUUGAACGUGUACGGGCGAUUCAGCGUACGCGUCACGCGCCGGCAGAAACGAUAGGGAUGUAAAAAAACAAAAAAAAAAAACACCGAGACCCGGAGAUUAUACGCGUACGUACGCGGUUUUUUUUUUGGAUUUGUCUCUCGCAUAACGGUACUGGCCGCCGCGAUGGCUACGGGACCGGGCGUUAUAGACGUCCGUUUGCCGGCGGCGAACCGGCGGCAAUUAUUUUCCCGUUGUCAUUAUUAUCGUUUUCGUAUUCCGCCCGCGGGAUAGAAAACGUAAACGACACGCGAGUGAUGAUAUUUAUCGGGAAUCGGCCCCGGCGUCGGCCGUACCGCUCGGCCCGCGAAAUCGCUACUGUCGCCGCCGGGCACUGUCGUCGUACGAUUCGGACCGUAUGCGGAUUCCCCGCACACCGCGGGUACGCGAGCGACGAGCCGCCGACACACGGCCGACCCGUCGUCGGGAAUCCCGUUCGGUCAUCCCCCGAAAAGCGUCGCCUUCCGCUCGCGCGGUCCGAUCGCUCGCCGACGGCCCGCCGCCGACAACGACCCCGGCGAGGUUUCGCGCCUCCCGCGCCCGGCCGCGCGUCCGCCGUAACGGCGUACGUGCGGCGCGCGACGGGAAUACCCGGUUAGGUUGUCGCUACCCCCCCCGGGGCUCAAGCUCCCGCGGCUCCGCGCGGUGUUGCACGGUGUCGCGCGUGGGAACCGGGAAGAAUAAAACAAAACCGGAAACGCCGGGCGCGGGCGUUGCGCUUUAUCGCCGCCGUCGCGGGUGAAAAAUGUUCGGCGCGCGGAAAGACGAGAGAGAUAAAAUAAAAUAAAAAAAAAAAACGAACUUCCGUAAAUCGCAUACGUGAAAAUCCGGCUCCCGUCCGCCGCGCACGAGAAUCCCGUCCGGGAUUUUUUCUUUCCUGAAAGAACGCCGCGGCGAACAAAGGGAAACCCGAAAGUUUUUCGAAUGAUUUUCGCUGCGACGUUCGAAAGCGUAUUCACGGGGGGGGGGGGGACGGAGGGGACCGGGGAGAUGUGUCUCGCCCAGGACAGUUCGUGCGGCCGUUAUUUACACGUUAUUUUUUUGAAAAUUCGAAUUUCUUUGCCGCCGGAAAAAAUCAAAAAAAAAAAACCAUCGUAUGUCCGACGAUUCGACACGUACCGCGGUCCCCGUUGGCGGGUCCCCGUUUCACCGGGCCUAUGCUUCGCCAACACUCGUCGGCCGACGUUUUCCGGGUCUUCCGCGACUGCGUCCGGCCGUCGCGCCCGUCCGUUUUUUAUAUCGCCGUGAUUUCGUGCGGUUUUUUUUUUUUAACGGAAUACACCCGCUUUUAACGUCUUUCCCCCGGGGUACGCGGUACGUUCGCGCACGGGGACGCGAUGUUUUCGAUUUUCCUCGGGCGCACCGGUUACGGCGCCGGAUUACGCGGUGCGCCCGCGUCGCGCGCGCGUGCAGUGCGAACGUUAUUUUCUCGACGGGGUCCCGUGCCCCCAUCCCGCGGUUUCCGCCGCCGGAAACACUAACGCGCGCGGAAUAUUUCCCGACCGCGCGGCGCGUCGCAGCUUCCGGCAGACGGGUCGGCGUUCGAAGGGCACCGUCGGUCUUUCCGUCCGUUCCGUUCGCGCUGCGCUCGCGCCGACGACAGCCCGCGCUGACGGCACGGAACACGGACGCGGCGCGCCGUCCGAGCCGUCGCCCGCCGCGGGGUUUUCCGCACGUCCCGGCAACCGUUCCGCGGGCAGGAGGAGGAAGGGGUGGGGGGCCCUUUUCGGUACCUCGCGGCUUUUGAAAAACGGCGGAUUUUUAUUGUUUUAUUGUUUUUUUUUUUUGCUAUUUUCAUUUCUGAACCGUAUCGCUAUUAUCGUUGUUGUUGUCUUAUUGUUUUUUUUUUUUAUUCCGCACCGAGCGACGAGCGAUAUGCGCGACGCGACGGUUCCGCCGUGCCCCCCCCCCCCNCCCCCCCCCUAUCUCCGCCCGCCCCCCGAACGCCGUUGUCGUUGUUAUCGUCGUCGCCGUUGCGCUUGUGAUAUCGCCGUUAUUUCGUCCGCAAACGACUUUUCCGUGUUCGCGUACACCCUCGGAAAUCUCGUCCUAUCGUAGGCCCCCGGAACAGAAACUGUCCGGUGUAGCGGUUUUUAUCCAAUUGUUUUUUCACUAUAUUUUUCGGAGUAACCCUUCGUUCUUAAUACACGUGUGCAGUUUACGCGCGACGACGCGGAAAGACCGGCAAUUUUUCGCGUGCGUUUUGUCGUUUCGUGCCGCGGGGUUGUUUUUGACAACGAAGCGAACAAUACUCGACCAAAAAAAAAAAACACUCCGCUCAGAAUAGUUUUCCGUCAGCGCCUGUCGCGUACAAAUCGCGUUACUAUAAUCUGUACAAAUUCGGGUUCCCGUAACGUAUUUUGACGUAUGCCGAACACUCGAAUUUAGUUUUCUAUUUAGACGUUAAUUUAAGGAAGUUGUUUCUCCAAGAGUUUUCCCAAUAAGCGAGAAACACCGGGAAAAAAGGUACAAUUUUAAACAAAAAAUAUUUUUAAAAAAAAAAAAAAAAAAACGUUCAAUGCAUAUACAAUUAUUUUACCGUAAUAUGACGUAUACGUAUUUUUCGCCGGCGGUGUAGGUGGGGCGUUUUUUCAACGUCGUUCGCCCCCCGCAGAUCGGUGAAACGGAACCGGGGUGAGGGGGAGGUGAAAUUUUGUGCGCGCACGGCAUUGCGGUUACCGAGGCCGCGCGUUUCAGCGGUUUAAACUUUCGGCCCGAACUUUUCACCGUUCUCUUAUAUGUGCCCGGAUCGUGUCGCGGUUUCGCCGGAAAUCGCGACUUUUGAAUACCUGUCUUUGUGCGCGAACGUAGGUUACUCUCGGUUAAAAUAUUUAAACAGAACUAUAUCGUCGAGCACGUGGCUUGCGAGGGUCCCGACUCCCGAACCUCUUCCCCCCCCCCCGAAACACCGCCGUCUGCUCGCAUGCACGCCGGCGAGAGCUACGACGCGCGUACUUUGUACGCCCGUUCGGAUGAAAAUGCGUUUGUUCAACAUCCCCGAUCGCCGUUUACGCGAACGGCAUAUUGAAGUAUCGUAACGGCGACAAGUCACCGCGGAGUAAAAACAUUCGACUCUCGAGUUUUGUCCCUCUCGCGGAGGUUUUUUUUUUACCCCCUCCCCCCGUACGAAUUUCCGAGUGGCUACAUUUUUCGAAACGGUUUCCGGAACCUUAACCGCCCGCCGGUCGUAGUUAAUACGCGCCGUACAAUUAUUUCCGUUCGGUUCUCGGGGUUUGUAAUAACUACACGGUUUUUUUUUUUUUUUCGUAAGUAAAUAUUACGAAAGGAGAAAAAAAAAAGGAGGAAAGCAUAAAUAAAUUGUAAUACCCGGGGUAUUUUAUGCGCGCCGAUACAGGCGGCGGCGCGGUAUAAUUUUCUCGAACCCGACCUAAUGCCCGCGCGGCCGUUGUGUUUUCCGUCGUAAUUAUCCAUUCGUCCGACUCGAGUUAAGUAUACGGGAAUAAUUAUACUAUAAUAAUACACUCCGCGCGUUGUAAAAUACCCAACAGUCCCGUACAAAUAAUCGUUAGCUUUGCAUAAAAAAAAGAAAAAGAAGAAAAAAAAGAAAAAAACCCGCGUACCUAUGCGUAAUCGUAUUUAAAUUCUGUUUCGAUUCGAGUAUCUAAUUAUUCGCCGUUCCGGAGAUCUCGAGGACUUCAACGCGCGACUGUGUACUACUCGUUUGGCGCAUACAGAGCGGUCGACCUAUCGUGAGACGUUCGUUACACCGGGAAGUGUCCACGCUAUCGCGGAAUCCGUUCGACGGACCGCCCCCCCCCCCAAACCCCGAGAAACGCUCGCCGUUCCGCGAUUUCACACGCGGGCUGUUCGUUUGUCGCCCCCAUAUUUUCGACGGUAAAAACGACAGGCCUGCUUUUCCGGACGGGCAAUCGAUACGUUUGGACGUUCCGUAAACGGACGCAGUUCAGAACAACGAACGUCGCGGCGUUGAAACGUUUACUGGUUUCCGUCAAUCCGUCGGCGGGACGUUCCGCGUUCGGGUGGAGCGUCCGGGUAGCGGCGCGUCAUUGAUUUCAACACCGAAAUCCGUUUCGGCCGACGUUCCCGUGUACUGACCGAACGUCCGUGACGGGCCGCCGUUCGAGAACGUUCCGUAACACGCGGAAAUAAUGGCGACGCGGAGCUGCCGUAUUGUUUUCUUAAACGUUCGACGAAACGGAUCCCGAAAACGGUCGACGCUCGCCGAGACGGCGAGUGUCUUGCGACCGACUGAUCGAUCACCCUGUAUAUAUAUAUAUGUAUAUACGUGUAUACGGAUAUAUUUCCCCCCCCCCCGAUACGUUACGCGAACCCUGCGAGCGGAAAGGAAAAAAAUAAACGCAUUUCAAAUAGCUACCGAACGCGAAUAAUAUUCCGGAUCAUACGCGCGCCGCGCAGUUAAUUAUUAACGGUACCGUUCGCCGGGCCGUUAGUUUUGCACCCCUCCACCGCCGUCCGCGCGUAUGGUGAAAAAAAAAACGAGGCUUUUAAAAAAAAAAAAAAAAAAAAAAAAUCAAAAUUAUUACCGUGUACAGUCCCCGCAGACCCGCAGUGGCGUAUGCACAGGCCGCGUAUCGUUAUAACGCGCGCGAUAAUUGAAUUUAAAUAUCGUUUUUUUUUUUUUUCUCGCGCGCGCCGGAGUUAACAUUAACAAUUAGCGAAUCCUCGCGGGGAGCGCGGGAGGGCACGCGCGCCGCCGCCGGUGUUCGUUCGUUAACCGUACGGACGCGAUGCGUUUUCGAUACGACGCGAAUAAUGAAAUGAAAAAAAAAAAAAAAAAAAAAAAACCCCGAUUCGCGCGUUACGUUUUUCGCCAUUAAAACCGUGUUAAUAAACAACGCUGAAAAAAAAAAAAAAUAAAGAGCGUAAUACUAGACGAACGGAAUGAUGUCGGAACGCGCGCAAUAAACACAAGCCGUUUGUAAUGUAAUAUUAAUUAAAAAAAAAAAAAAAACAAACCGAAACGCGCGGAAAAAAAACCUAAACGCUAAUACGGUCGGUCCGGCGACGGCUGGUAGCUCUGUGACAAUAACAAUUUCGACGCGUUUGGAAUAAAAGAAAAAAAAAAAAACAAAAAACAAACAAAAACCCGUAUAUUCGACCGGACGGACGAUCGGCCGAGAAGCCGCGGGGACGGAGGAUUUAUAGAGAGCGGAAUUGUCGAGAAAACGUGUCCCGCGGGAACAGCGCGCGCCGCGAGAUUUGCCGUUUCUUGCGGGCGGACGGUCCCCGAUUCCGUUAUUCGCGCGUACCGCACCUAACCGCCCAGAACCUAACUGGUAUGUUAGGUUAGGUUACUACAGUAUCAAAAAGAAUCGAUCGAAAUUUCCACUGACGAGAUGUUAAGAACGAGUUUUAAGAAUGGCGAGAAAACCUCACGGAAUUUCGGCUCCAGUCUACUGUCGGUCGGAUUCGUCCCGGGCUGUCGUGGACUGUCGUACAAAAUUUAUUAAUCGCCUUCCCUUCCUCUCACGUCGUUGCGCGAGGAUUUAGCGCGGUAACGAAUCUAAUAACCGAAAAAAAGAAAUCGACUCGACGCCGUCAAAAGAGGAGACUUACGGGGAGCGGGGGGGGGAGCCCGCCCGAGACGUUCCGCGGAAACGGUGGGGGAUACGUCCCGGGCGGGCACUACCCGUUCGAACCCGUUUAAAAAACCGACGACCCACGGCUAUUGGCGAUUGGGUCGGCGGGGCGACGACAUUUCGGUAUCGACCGUGACGGCGGAACUCGAUAAGGCCGCGGAGCACGGCCAGCGUUCCCGCCGAAAACCGCGGCGACCGAGCGCUGUGCCGUCGUUCAACCCGCGACCCGCGCGCGCGUAUUUCGCGGAUUUUCAAAAAAUUUUCGAAAAAUCGCAACGGUCUCGCGAGCGAAAUAAACCCGCCGAACACUGUAAGCGCUCUGAACACUACGAAUGUCUUCCGUGAUCGAUAACCGUCGGAAACGCAGUGGGAUAUUUUCAGGGUUCAAGCCGAUUCGCCCGCCCGCGGGGCGCACGUCGGGUUGUUCCGGGACGCAUUCCGGGCCACGCCGGAAAAAAAUUACCAUUUUUUCUCUCUUUUUUUUUUUUUUUUCCUAUUGAGACGCGCACGGGACGUUGAGAAACGAUCUCGUUUUGGGGACGCACUCGGGGCGGAAGGGGCGGGGGGGGAGGGGGAACGGAGGGCGGCCGAGACGACCCCCGGGUAAUAAUCCCGUGCCGAAACGGGAGCGCGCCGGGACGCGAGGAUACCGCGGGAGCGCCCGGAAAUAUUAUUACCAUCGUUUUGUUAUUGUGAACGCGUCCGAUAUGGGAAACGACACCGCCGCGCCGACCGACACUUUAACCGCGGUAAUUGUCUCUAAUCUUUUUCUCAUUAGUACCGGAUUUCAGCCGUCGCGGGGCCCCGCGUCACAUUAUUUUACGCGUCUGUGCGCGCGGAGAGAAACACGCGGCGGCGGCGGCGGCCGGAUUGCGUAUCGCCGGCAGAGCGCAUAAUAUUAUCGCCCUAAUCCUACGGAACCCGCGCGGCGGCGGCGCGCCGGUCAUCAAUCAGCCCCGACUGACAAUCGCGGUGCGACCGCUACGGCGGCGGUGUACAUUACACGUCGCAUCAAUUGCGCCGGCCUCGUCUUUUGUGGUCGCGGGGUCGGGCCGUAAUGUCUGCGGGUUACGUUCGAGUCGUUACGGGGCGCGCGUGUGCGUUACCUGUACACCCGCGGCCGCGCAUUCCCCGAGAAAACCGAAAACAAAUAGACCGGCGACGACGGACGUACGGCUAAUGAAAUCUCGGCGGAGGCGGCGGCGGCGGCGGCGGCCUAUUACGCGCGGCGUUCCUCGCCGAAAAUCCGUUCCCGAAUUACCGCCGCACACACGGGGCGACGGUUUUCGGUUUUCGCUUUCGUUUCCCCGUCCCCGCCCGUCCUCCACGGAGUGUCCACCACCAGACUUCGGCGGCCCCGAAUUUUUAAAUUUUUCGAAAAAUACGAUAAAACGUUUACAUUCCGAGUGGACCGUAGAACGGCGUCGGUUUCUACAAAUACGCGGUUUAUUUUUAUCCGUUUUUAAUUUUAAAUUUUUUUUUUUUUUUUUUUGCAAACACUCUCUCUGCCUUUCAACGCAUUUUUCCGACGUUUUAAGGGGGUUUUUUUUUUUUUUUCGUGCGAAUAUUAACCGCAACAAGUCCCGAGCCCUGAUCGUAAGUAAAACAAAAAAAAAAAAAUCACGGGAAAACGCAGACGGUCCGCGAUCUAAUCGAACGUACUCCGAGUCGUGUCGCGAACGCAACGGCGCAACGGGGGGUCCAGGUAACGGCGCCCGCGCCAGUAAAUCAUGCGUCGGUACGGUCCGGGAUAAAAGGUCGGCGUAUAAAUUUCCCCGGGUCGCGCGGUUCGGGUCGGAGAUUUUAUUAUUAUUACCGUUGCGAUGCACAAUAUUAUGAUGUGAACGUCGCGAACGCUCCCCGGCGGCACCGUAUUAAACGCGAGACCGUACGGAUAACGCGCGUAACGACGUCAGCGCGGCGCGCGGCGCAGCGGUCCGGUAAACGGCCGUUCGCGUUUUACGCCGAGAGUGCGUUUAUACACCGGCACCGAUACCGGCCGAUCCGGGGGGGAUUAUUCGAGGGGCGGCGGCGGCGGACGAGGAGCGGUCAUUCGGGACGCGUCCGGAACGUCUCGGGCGCCGUUCGCAGAGACGUCCCCGUCCCGUUCGGAAAUAUUAUCCGCUUGGCCGACGGCCGCGUUCUGUUCGUCGGCCAUAACGUUUCUCACGGGCGAUGGGUUAGGUUUGGUACCGCGGUACCGCCCGUUAGGUCCGCGGCCGCCGCCGACGCGUUUUUCGGGCCGCGGCGAAACGCUCGGAUUGUUUCUCCCGCGCGUUUUUUUAUUAAAUGAAUACAUUUUUAUGUUGGAUGACAUACUGAUAUCAGUAAUAUCAGAACACACGCAAAGAUUAAAUUUUAAAACUCGUAAUCGUUUAUCGUGGGCAAAGACUAAUCGUCUGGCACACGGUACGCGUUCAGUUCCCCGGUGUGCCCCGUCUUCCCGUCUGCCCGCCCACAACAGUGGCCUCGCCCGUCGUGCGAUGUGUGUCGGUGUUUUUGAAAUCACGGUUUCCCCUUUCUAUCCAACGCCGGCCGCGUGUUUUUUCAACAAUCGAUACGGCCCCGCGGUAGACGAAUCGAUGCGGACGAAACCAACGGCGGCCAUAACGGGAUAUCGAAUUACGGAAUUACGCUGGUUACGAACAAUAGGAAAAUGAACGGCCUCAAAUACCUACUCGCGUUUACUACCGGUUUUCGAAUAGCGAACCGUGUAAAACAAAACGCCCUAUUAAACGCGUUUCGGCGUUGAAAUUUCCGAUUGCAGUCGACCCGUCGAUUUGUGCGCUACGCCCCCGCCCGAUAACGAUUUCGAGGGGGCGGGGAGAAGAGGGGGGGCAGAGAGUUUACGGGGAGUCUUGGAAUAGUAAAAAGACCGUAGAUCACGGCCUUUUUACGACCCUAUAUUAGCCUACGGCCGUAAUAAAAAAAAAAACCGAGCCACCCGGGGGACGAACGUUUACGACGCCCGAAAUCCCACUUCGGCCACCGCGGAUAAUAGGACAACGCGUUGAAAAAGAAUCGUCCCGCGGCGCCGCGCUCGAUUUACCCGGUCCGGCGGUCGGCGUAACGGCCGGUCUCCGGGUGUCGGCGCGCGCGAACGUCGCGGCGCAGUCGAAACCGUUUUCCCGUGACAUUGCGCGCGAACGCGCCGGCCGCGGGGGUCGACGGCGAUUACCGGCGCGCGUACAUAAAUACUACGGGCGGCGCGCGCGGAAGGGGCGGCGGAGUGGGGGGGUGGGGCAGUGGUAGUGGCGGUGGUGGUUUGGGCCGCGGUCGUCCGGUGUCGCGUAACGUUCAGAGUACCCGCUAACAAGGCGCGCGAGAGCCGGAUAGUAAUAGAAAAAAAAAAAAAACGAUAAAAAAAUCAACGGGGGGNNNNNNNNNNNNNNNNNNNNNNNNNNNNNNNNNNNNNNNNNNNNNNNNNNNNNNNNNNNNNNNNNNNNNNNNNNNNNNNNNNNNNNNNNNNNNNNNNNNNNNNNNNNNNNNNNNNNNNNNNNNNNNNNNNNNNNNNNNNGGGGGGGGGGGGGGGGAGCGGCGGCGUGCUCGGCUGCGGCGCAUUUAGGCGUACGUACGGACGGACGAGCGACGCGUUCGAACCGGACGUGUGUGUGUGUGUGUGUGUGUGUGUAUGACGACGUGUAGGGUUUGUGGUUUUUUUUUGCAAUUUUUUUUCUGUUGACGUUUUCGCGCGGAAAUAACAAUUAAACGGCGGCGGCGCGCGGAAACGGAAAGCGAACGGCAAAAAAAAAAUUGCGUAGCCAUAUGCCGAUCGCGUAGCUGCGAUUCCCAUGCGCGUAUCUCGUUAAUCUAAUAUGCGGUAAUACUACGCGGGUAAAACGAUAAAAAAAAAAAAAAUAAUAAUAAUAAUAAUAAUAAAAACGGUUUUACACGCGCACAUAUUAUACGACGGAUAUCGCUAUAGGUAGCGCGCGCACGCAUAAUAUAGUAAACGACCUCUCGCGCGUGUUGACGCGUAAACACGCCCGACCGUUUAUACGUGUGCGCGGGGGAAAAAAAAAAAAACCGGAAAAAUAUCGUAAUAAUAAAAAUCUAAAAUAUGUAUGGAAAAAAUGAAAGAAAAAAAAACAAGUAGUUUCGGAUUUCGCGCGUUCCGUUUAAAAACGCCCCACUCUCGUUGUUUACCAAGUGGUCACAAUAUCAAUAAACGUUACGAUACGCGAUGUCGACGUACAAUCCGUCAAUCGGGGUUCGAAACGAUAUGAAAAAAAAAAAAAAAAAACAAAUAAAAUAACAGUCGCCAGUGACAAUUUCGUUUUCGGUAUUUCGAUCUUCUCUGACCUAAAGACCAGCCAUUAUCUCGAUUAUUAACGAGAAUCAGGAAGAAAAAAAAACAGCCCCUUUAAAAUGCCGCCCGGAGAACAUCCGAUUUCGGAAAAACGUGCCGUGCUUGAUAAUCGGAGCACGCUCACCGGUGGAAAAAGUGAUCGCGUUGGAAAAAAAAAAAUACAAAAAAAAAAACAAACAAUCGUCGCGACAACCAGAACGGUCCGAGCCCCGCUCGGCGUCCAAAAUAUACGGAUUACGUAUGACGCGUUUGCGUCGUCGGGUCACUCGGUAUGGGACACUCGCUCGGGGACUGAACUUGUUGCGGCGGCGUAGUUCUGCGCACGAGCGGACCGGGUCUCUCGCACGGGACGCGAAAGGAGAGUGGGGAAUUUCCCGGACGGGUUCCCCGUGUCCGAACAGUCGCCGUCCGUCGGACGCCCGGUGCGAGAUACGAUUUCGCGUGCCCCGCCGACGGGGAAAUAUUAUUGUUGCGUGCCCCGCCGGAGGGGAAAACCCGCGAGUCGGAGGGGAGGGGGAGGGGGGGGGGNNNNNNNNNNNNNNNNNNNNNNNNNNNNNNNNNNNNNNNNNNNNNNNNNNNNNNNNNNNNNNNNNNNNNNNNNNNNNNNNNNNNNNNNNNNNNNNNNNNNNNNNNNNNNNNNGGGGGGGGGGGGGGGGGGGGGGGGGGGGUGAUGUCGCGGCGGUCCGUCCGGAGCCUUUUAUGAACGGGCGUGAAACGCGAAAGUCAUACGAUUGGAAAUUAGACGGCCGGCGUUCCCGGGGUCGGGAAAGCGGGAUACGCAAAAGCCGUUCGGUUUGUACGGUUCGUAAGCGACGGUUCGCACAGUGGCCAACGGAAAACGGCUGCGAGCGGAGCUCGGUCGAUGAUAUUGUUCGUCCGACAAAGCGCGUUUUCACGCGGACAAAGUUCGGAAAAAAAAUAUAACAUUCAAAGAGUAUUAAAACACUUGAAUAACAAAAAAAAAAUUAAUAAAAACCAUCGGCAACGACAAUCUUAUUUUCAAUCCAUCAAUGUUGAGAAUAUCAUCGAACGUUCCAGGCAGGGCCGAAAAGGUCUCCCCUACCGCCGUGAUUCGAUCGGGGCGAGAUUUCCGGGAGGAAAAUCGUUUACAGGCAGAAAAUAAAAUACAAAAAUAAAAAACACACGUCGUAGUAAAACCAAAAUAGAUCUCUCGCUUCACUCAGAAUCCGCCGUGUCCGUCUGCACAGGGAUCGUACGGCAAUAGUUUCGGUCGACAAGGCGCGCCGUCGAUAAUUGAAAAAAAAAAAAUAAUAAUAAUAAUGAAAAAAAUCCGCAAUAUUUUUACGCCGCUCCGCGACUUUUCUCGAUUUUCUCUAACCGUGUCUCCGCAAUCGUUUUCAAAGCGAACGCGAGUUCCGGCGGAAUUCGAUUUCGCGGGUUGCUGCUUUUUUUAUUUUUUUUUCCCGUUCCUUUUUCCCAACCAACGGGUCUGUCUUGCGCGGUUCGUUCGAGUCCGGCGUUAUUCGCCGCGCUGUCGCAGUGCCGGUUUACCGCGACGGUUCUCCCGGGUCAGCGGUUUUUACGGUACGGCGCGAUUGACGGCGAUCGACACCGACCGCGCGCACCGGGCAACGCGAAACGGAUUUGUCGGCCGUAACGGCACCCGGAAAUUCGCGGCGCCCCCCGGACAUUUUCCACAUUCCGCCCGUUCCGUUCCACCGUGUUUCGCAUCGGAAUAUGGCUAAUUUUUUUUUUUUGUUCAUCACGCACUCGGCGGGCUCUCGUUGUUUCCCCCUGAAGGUAUAUAACGAUCAAACGACGCGUAAUGCCUUUUUAAGCGCCGCACCCUGUAUACUGUAUAACCCGCAGACCGUUCGUGUAGGCGUUCUGUGUUUACGUUUCUUCGAGCGUUUCCUAAACGCUAAAUUCUAUUAUCGUUGUUACUAUCAUUGUUAUCAUUAUUAUUAUGAUACGUGUACAGCCCGCUGUAUCCGACUGAUCAGAACGUUUGCGUAACUUGCAGGUGGGUAUUAUUGUGUUGUUAUUGUACGCGCGGCGUUAGAUUAAUAGACGCGUUCUCCCGAGGAUAUUAUUUCCUUAAACGGGUCUACGCUGCAACCAGCCACGAACCGUACCGAUCGAGUUUCAAUAGAACGUUACUUUACAUUACUCGGGUCUAAUAGGCCCGGCGACGGAUUCGGGAGGAGAAUAGAGGCGUUUGCCACUACGAACCCUCUCUCCACUUCGUGUACGUUGUACACUAAUUGGUGUGGUAUACGCGCUUUUGUUCUUCCUGUUCUCCGGCUUUUAUAGGCCGUUCAAGUCCAAAACCGGCACACGCACGGCCUCCCCCGGCCCUGUCUCUCGGUUAUUUGCAAUUUCUCCCUCGGGUUAUCCCGCUUUGGUCCGUCCGUCCAGUUUUUCCGCGACCCCACCCGCGGUCUCUUAACUUCGCCCCGAAAUCGUCGUUCCGCACCCGCCACCGGGUCUAGCUGCGGCCGUUGUAAUAUUCGCGGUGUUUCGGCGCAUUGUUUCGGGUACGACUGCAGUAGCACAAACGAGAAUAAUUUAUAAAUAAAAAAACGCGUUUCCCUCGCGUACAGCAUCAGUGCGGUAAGGAUUUUUUUGAGCCGUAUAACAGCGUCGUCCGCCCGCGCACCGGGACUCAUCGACAUUCAAACCGUACAUGCAUUACCGAGAUGUGUGCGCCAUUGUCUCGUCAUUGUCGGGAGUAACGUUCGGGCGCAAUAAUUGCCGGACUUUCAACACGUCUGCACGUGUGUGACGGCGCCGGACGGACGGGCCGAAACGAAUAAUUCCUCCGUCGCGGAGGUAAAAAAAAAAAAAAAGCCCUCUGCAAAAAAACAUUUACCGCGGCGUCGUAAAUUCCGUUAUUUUCAAACGCGCUCGCGGCGUAUUAUUUUCAGCUUUUCGAAAGUUUUCUAUUGUGUGCGGAAAAUAAAAUAUAAGUACGCGAGCUCGCGCCGGCACCGUUGCAAUGGUCGAUUCGGCGAUAAAACGUUUAUACGCACGUACACACGUACGCAUAUAAAUAUACGCAUAAACACUUUUUAAUGCACGCCAGACGGACGCGAAUGCGGCGCGUGUUAUUCGCGAAAUUCGAACCGUUAAAAACGAAAUUCGCCUCGCGAUAUUUAACGGCUCCGUGCUAUCCUCGCGUCGUUAAAACACCGUCAGUCGUCGUCUGGCGCACGAUUCGGCCGGAGCGAUUGUCGUCCGUUGUUUUACCGCCGAACGCGAGUAACGACAACCGCGCGACCGGGAAAACGAACGCGGUUUUCCGGGCGAAAAGUCCCGUCGUUUUCCCCGCCGGGAAUCUCGCUCGGAAUUUCAAAAGAAACACGCCCGCCCGCCGCGCCGUGGCACCGUUGCGCGCGGAAAGUCGGAAAGGCGUAAAUGCGUACACAAAGGAUACGGCACAGAGCGGUUAGGCAGGCGGACGGACCGAAAGGCAACGCGACACGAACCGCACGUGCGCAUAGCAAUUACAAACCGGCUCCGAGGAAAAUUCGGCGUACGAAAAAACAGUAGCGUCGUAAACGGCGUUAACCGCGUGUUUACCAACCCCCCCCCCCCUCUCCCCCUCUUGAUGACACGAUUGCCGGGAAGUGCGACGAAAUAAAAUCGUUUGUUGUCGGGUUUUUUUUUUUUUUUUUUCGACAAAGACCGUCGGGAAUCUAGAAUCUCGUUUCGAACAAACGACUGCCUUAUAUUAAAAAAGUACGACGCCGGACGUGUGGUUUGAAGAAUUUUCAGCAAACAAGUGUUUCUUGUACAAGGUUAUACCGCGGUAUAAUUUUACGUGGAGGCGUAUAUUGCUUCUCUCAUAAAAAACGAUACACUGAAACGCGAUCAUAAUUCGUUAACUUUUUUCUUUAUUUUUUUAUUUUUUUUUUUGUCCAUAUUGCGAUUAAUGUACAAUCGUCGAUCCGUCCGUGUGCGCACGCGCGCGCGCGCAUGUAAAUAUGCGCUCACACGCAAUUAAUUCCGUUCCUUUUGUCUUCGCGCACUGCCCCUUUCCCCUGCCUGUCGGUAUUAGGAUCUAAACUUUUUAAUUAAAAUCCCUUUUGAUAAAACCGUAAAGACCUAUAUUCUACUCCGACUCUCGUUUUAACUUUCGCCCUUGGUUUGUCGCGUCUAAAAACCUGCACACCGCAUCGCGUUUAAUUUCGAAUAAAUCCUUUUUGCCGCGCGCAUAUUACGCGCGAAACGCCCGCCCGUAUUUUUUUAAUUAAAAACCAAUGGAAAUCUGCAUAUUAUAUUGACGACAACGACGUCGAUGAGCUCGCAUAUAUUAUUAUUAUUAUUUUCAAAGUCGUGUUGUAUUAUAUUAUAAUGAAAUAAAAUUCGUGUACAGAAUAAAGAAUUUUCGUUGAUGGCAGAUUAUACGCGGGAUCGUAUUGCAAAGUAUUAUUAUUUAAUAAUAAGUAGGGCUUAAGUUUUUUUAUUAAAAAAAAAAAAAAAAAAAACUAAUAUUGCUGACUGACGAGGAAACGAAAGGUCACUGCUAACGAAACACGAUUUCGAGCGAAGUUUUAUUAGACACGUUUUGAAAUGUUCAACUAUUAUUACGAUUAAGAUUUUCGUCGAAAUUUGAAUUUUUUUUCUCUCUCACUCAUUGUAAACAUUGUUUUAAGUUUAAAAGUUUCAAGGCAAAUUUAUCCGCACAAAACUGCCUAAAUCAAGUCAAAGAUUUAUAAUUAACUCAAAAAUCAGCGGAAUAUUUUGAGAAUUUGACCACGCGUAGAAAAGAAAAAUAUAAAUAUUUUUUUGAAAUGCUCAGACGAUUAUUUCUAACCAAAUCAUGACAAAAAAAAAACCAAUUUGAAAAUAAUGAAAUCGUUAUUUCCGUAAAUUUUCCCGUUUGUUCAUCGGUUUUUCCCAAUUAUUGGGAAAAUGACAAGGGCAAUAUAAUCGCUUCUCAGUCUGCUUAUAAAAUAACUCGAAUUCCCGAGGCGUCGAGCCCAUUCGGUCCAGAGGGAGCCUGUAAAAGUGUCGAAAGUGUCGGGGGAAAAAAAACAAUAUUAACUAUACACGAUAUAGUAUCUGCAGUAUUCUAAGCGAAAACUAAUUAAACAUAACUCCCCCACCUGCCCCCACCUGCACCGCGGAUAUAGAAAUCACGCAUUGUAGGUGGAUAGUGUGGCACGUAUAAAGGAUUUAAAUAUAUUAAGGUUACGUUUUUAGUUUAUAUAGGUACUGGGUACAGCGAUAAAACAUUGCGAACGAAAAACGAUUCUGCGCGGAGUACUACAAUAUAUCAGUCGUGUUUUUCUCUCGUGUAGCCCCCCUUCCCUCCCAAUGUAAUACGUCCACCGAAAUCGACGGAAAUGACCAAGACAAUGACGUACUAUAGCAGAUAUAUAGCAAUACAGUGAUAUAGAUAUAGUGUAACCGUUGAAAAUGUCGAUAAAUAUUUCAAAUAAAGUGCUACCGGCCGGAUGUUCCGCGUCUUUUGGGAUAAUAAUAUGACGCGAACAAAUCUGAUCAUUUUUAUUGGGGUACUGAGAAUAAGUGGGCUCUUAGAGGGGAAGGAGAAUGUAUACGCGUUCUAGUAAAACCCUAUUAAUAUCCCCUCUUACCGUUACAUUCUGAAUCGGAAAUAAUCAUAAAAAUAAAAUAUCACCGCACGUAGCUUUAAUAAAAAAAAAAAAAACCCUUGCUUACUUCGAAAUAUACGGGAAAAAAAAUAUUUUGUCGAUUCUACUUAAUACAUUUAUUUUUUUUUUUUAUUUUUAUACAGAAAUCACGCUUUCGUUUUGAACGUGCAGAGUACUAUCGAGUUAAAACCCGCGGGGGGUUUAUUCUUAUAAACGGGUGCAAAAGGAAUAACGAGAGGUUUUUACGGGUGAUAAUUAAAUUAUUAUUAUUAUUCUUUUUAUUUUUUUAAUAAUAAAACGCGAUUUAAAGUUUGAAAGCGAGAGUGUACGGCACGUUAACGAGUUGAAAAGUUAAAACGUCAAGGUAAUUUUAACUCUUAGCCCUUUGAAUUUUCAUCGCGUCGAUAAGCGAGUUAAUUUUGUAUUGCGUCGCUUUGAGUUAUAAUUUCAAUUUAUUUUCGUUUUUAUGAAAUAUGAAAUUUACACGUUCCUACCUUGGAAAAAACAAAAUAAACGUUUUCGAUUCUGAGCGGAACGAGAAAUGUAUUGGUUUUACAAUGACGUUGAUAUUUGUAUACUUUGUACGGAAAUUCUACACCGGAAAUCGUGUUCCGAAGUAUCGAGUGCAGUAGCACGUAUUCCGAAAGGGAAAUUUCCGGGGUCGGUACUUUAAAGGGGCCGAUUUUCGUUUUUCCGGGGGGUUUUUGCCGAUAAAUGACAAAAAAAAACCGUAAGAAAAACGGGAAAAUAGGUACACGCGACGUAACCCGGACGGACUCGAGCCGACAAGCCGACGUUGAACGUCCAAAGUGGACUUCUCGCCCGGGCUCAAGCUCCGACGGACGGGCGACGCGACGUAUCGGCGCACGCGGAGAAAACACGGAAAACAAAAAAAAAAAAAAAACCCCGGACGUCCGGCGGCCUCGGCGGGAACGGGGCGAGUACGGGUUUCGAGGCAUCCACCGGGCAGACGGAAAUUUCGCGUAUUUUCUGUAGAUUUCGCGCGGCGCGAAACAAAUUCGGGGCGCAUUCGUUGAUCGGAAACGCGGCGCGUUCCGGAUUCGUCGGUCUAAUGAUUGCGUCGCGGAAUUUCCUCCGGCGUUCGAUACGUUUAGGCGAAUCCGGACGUGGCGCUACUGUAGCGAAAAAAGUUUACAAAAAAAAAAAAAAAAGUCGAGUUACGCAGCGAGUCCCUUUUUGACGACAUUCGACGUAGCGGGUAACUAGUGUUAAAACAAAUAUUAUUACACAGAACUUCGGAAAAUAACUCGAUUUAUUCCUUUGAUGAAUAACUGAAACUCAACUCGAGUAAUUUACGAAUAUCCGUCGUGAGAACUGCGUACACGCAGUGGGUAGUUAUUUUUGGCAGGUAUUUAUUUUGCGUUUCGGGAUAUCCGCACGGGUCGUACAAGGCGCACGAGACUCGUCUUGUGCGACGACGGUAAGUCUACACAAGCAUAAAUAUUAGUGACUAUAUAACGACUAUAUGCUUGAAACUACCUGAAAACGUACGACUCCCGAAAACGCGCAGUCGGUUCAAGGGGAUCGUAAGCGGUUCUUUACCGUCUUUGUUUGCGAGCAACAGGACUUUAGACGUGUUUUAAACGUACCGACGAUUGACCCGGUGAAGCGCGUUCAGAAUUCCGGAAACAGAUUUGAAUUUGUCGUCGAAUUCGCGUUUCCCCGAAAAUUCAAAAUAUUUUUAUGGUAAGAGACUUUGGGGGAGGGGGAUUUAAAGGGCGAAAUCGAAAGUCGGCAAAAAGUCGACCGCGAGUUGGCUCGACGACAAACGAGUCCGUUUCCGGGUAUAUUCUUUUCGCGGUUCGGUUAUUUUUUUUAAUUUUUAACUUCUGUUCGAAAAGACUGCUCGAUUUGAACCGGGUUAAAAACAAUCGGUCGACCGGCACGGCGGCGCCGCGUUGAUCCGGUCAAAACGGAUAUCACUGUUCGUGAAUCGGAAAUACACAGCGAAUUAUAGUGACGAGAGUGAUUUUUUUUUUUUUUUUUUUUNNNNNNNNNNNNNNNNNNNNNNNNNNNNNNNNNNNNNNNNNNNNNNNNNNNNNNNNNNNNNNNNNNNNNNNNNNNNNNNNNNNNNNNNNNNNNNNNNNNNNNNNNNNNNNNNNNNNNNNUUUUAUUUUUUUUUUUUUUUUUUUUUUUAAUUUAACCAAUUGCAGGAGCCUAGAGAGAAGGGCGGGAUAACGAUAAAAACCGUGACAUUCACCUCCGCAGUUGGCGAGGAUGCGGGCUGGACUGCCAUGCGUACCUAUAAACACGAUGGGCAUGUUUUGGUAACAAACUGUGACCCAUACGCGUACAGUGUAGUAGACACGAGGAAUUACGAAGAUGUUGCAAGAGCAACUAUAACUGUCUACGUGCGGUGGCGUACAGGGAGUAAGGGGGCGAGAGUGCCUAUAAUACUAUUUACGCGAAUCGUAUUUCAACCGAAACCGGGCGAGUUUCUCGACGACUUUGGUAACCGAGUUACUUGGUUACUUUCCUUAUAAUUACUAAGUAACUUAGUUGCAAGUUACAAGUUUCCGGAAUAAAAUAAGUCACCGGAAAGUUCCUAAUCGAAAAUGUACAAGUCAUACAAUCAGUUUUAAAAUUUUUUUUUUUUUUAUUAUUAAACCCAUUUAUUGAAUUUGAAUAGUGAUGUUUUUCCAUCGGACGAUCAGUUUUCGGAGGAAUAAAUAUACGACCUCAAUGAAUCGAUAUUAUAAACGAUUUUUUCCGUAUUAUAGUGACAGCAGCGCGCGUUAUCAAAAUACCGUCGCAUUGUGUGUUAUGUCAAAUUCGAGACGUAUUCGUGCACGUCUCGGGUGGAAAUUUAUUUUAUUGUUAUCCAUCAUGACGGGCGAUACCCUCGGGAGAGAAAAACGAAAUUCCGAGUUGCGAGACAUCGGUGACGAAAACUAACUCGUGGCUUUUUCGGGCUCGAAUGAAAAGUGACUGCCGUCGAGUUAUUAUCGUACAAAAAGCGACGCUAUCGUUAAGUAGCGACAAGUUACGAGCAAACCAAACGUGUCAUUCGCGAGUUAUAAAGUUGCCGAUUUCCGUAACUUUGCGGACUGGUGCUGAUGAUAAUACUGUUCGGCUCUGGCAUUAACCGACGGCGGGCGACGCGAGUAAUUUUUUAUUUUAUUUCACUAUCGUUAAUAUCUCGACGACGAUUACGGGUAAAGUCGCGCGGGAUUUUCAUUAAGUACGUGCGGUUACCUCCCGACGUAAUAAUACGGUAUACCUGGUGUAUGCGUACGCAUUAUAAUACGCAUCGUCACGUCGUCGUAUCGUAUAUUUCAAAAAAAAAAAAAAAAAAAAAAAAUACGGAAAAAAAAUUCCAUUAUUCUCGUCGUACGGCUAUUUAUAAUACGUACGAUAUUAUAAUAAUAUAUUCGGUAUGCCGCGGCAAUAUUCUCGCGAGGCGUUCGUAUACGGUCGUUUGAAAAUUACGAUUUCAUUAUAAUAUAUUCCUCCGGAAAGGGAAAAAAAAAAAAAAAAAACCGUUUAGGUUAAUACCUCGUACACACCUUACAUAUAUAUACGUAACGUAUGAUACUCGUACAUCAUAAAUCAUUAUAUUUUUUUUUUUUUUUAGAAAUUGCAUUUCAAUAUUUCAUAAAAAUAUUGUAAUACGGCGUCCUGUGUAACGCACGCGUUUAGACGGUAUGUCACGCGGAAAUCGUCUCGGCUUGUCGCGCUCGACGGGUUUUUUUAUUUUUUUUUUUUUUUUUUUUAGAUUAUUGUGUUUCUUAUCGGUUGACGGCGGCGGCGGCGGCGGCGGCGUUUCGCUUUCACCGCGCGGUUUCGGUUUUGUUAUUGUUUUCGUUCACGACUCGAAACACGGCCGAACGACGAUUAACAACAAUCGUCUCCGAAAACAAUAUAAUGUUAUGCACCUGUGAAAUACGAGUGUGUGGUGACGCCGUCGUCAGUCCCGGUGAAAACGUGCCGUUCGUUUCGGAUACGCCGUCGGGGGUGUGUUUCGAACUCCGCGUGCCGGCAAUGGCGGAAAUUGUGGAGUGGGGGACGGGUGGGUUUGAGGGGUAAACGCCGAUUUGUAAUUGGGGGCCGGCUGCUCUCUCUGUUUAUACGUUUUGAGCGGGCUUAGAACCCUCAAGCUCCCACUCCUCCCCCCGAAAUUUUCCCCGACUCGUGACGGUCAAAUUUUUCGCAAAAUACUUACGUUACGUUGUCCUCGGAUUGUCUUCGUCACCCGUCGUAUUUUCGGAGGCGUAACGAUUGAUUUUCACGAACGAAAACCUAUGCAUUGAUGGAAAAAAAUAAAAAUCGAUAAAUUAACAAAGUUCUACUAUAAAUACAUUUCGCUGUUGAAAUUAUGAAUCGACGAACCACUCCGCUUCCGAAUUUGGUCUGGAACGGGGGGGGGCGGCCGGGAAGAGCGGCUUAGCACUUUGUGCAUUCAAAACGCUGUUUGUGCAGGCUCCCGCGAGUAAAUUAUUAUUUGCUAUAUUGUAAUCCGACCCGGCGCUAUCGCGAGUUUUUAGAAUCGAGGGGGGGGAGAUAUUUUGCACCGACCGGUAACGUCCGCCGGCACCCGUUCGAACGGUUUUUUUCGCGUCCAAAAUAUUGGCGACGAGGUUCGCCUGGUUUUUGGGAACACGAGACGUAGUUCGCCCAACGCGGUUUUCUCGCGGGAGUAGGAAGGGGACCCGUGAUAGCGAACUCGCCUGUGAUUAUAACGUAAAGCCGGUCGUGGAAAUGGCUUUUCCGUAAACCGCUGUGUAUAACGGACAUGGUCGUUAUCGAUUUUUCGCAAUCUUGAAAAACCUAAUUGUUAUUACGCUAUACGAACCUAAGUAUUUUGCCCGUAUUUUUAACGAGCGGUCACGAGCUCACGAGGGGUCCGCGGCCGUGACCUCGAAAAGGAAAACCGACUUAAAGCUGCGGUAGAACGAACGCGACCCGAAAUCUCUUAUAAAAGUACCUCCUAUAGUGUUUUCGGACUAUAUUUUUUUUUUUUUGUUUUUCGGAAAUUAUCGGUCGUUACUAAAAAAAAAAAAAAAAAAAAUAAUAAAAAUAAAAUAAAGUGAUAUUCUUAAACUGAAACGUAUACACAAUAAUAUUGCAUUGUAUAUUAUUUGUGUUUAAUACAAAAGGAGAAAACUAAAAAAUACGUAUAUAGUGUUGUACAGUAAUUUAUUAUAUUUACGUCUUGACUUUUCGAGUGAAAUAUACAUUGUAUAAAAUGUAAAUUAUUUAAAAUGCUAAAACAAUAUAUGUAUUAUGUAUUAUUAUUUUCCCCGAGGGAGGAUAAUUUAUUAUCACAAUAUUAUAUAGUAUUUUAAAAAAAAAAAAAAAAAAAAAAAAAAACCCCNNNNNNNNNNNNNNNNNNNNNNNNNNNNNNNNNNNNNNNNNNUUUUUUGUUUUUCGGAAAUUAUCGGUCGUUACUAAAAAAAAAAAAAAAAAAAAAAAAUGAAACCCUCCUCCGUUCGAAUCGUCUAUAAUGUACGUUUGUUUUGUUUUGUUUCAGGUAAAUAAUACAUAUUAUACGAGACGCAUAUUAUU